UCAUCAAGAUUUAUUUCCUUUUAGAAAGGACUUCCUCCACUGAUCGAACACUUCUCAAGUGGUACCUCUAUACUCGAGAAGAGAGAGAGAGAGGGAGAGAUGUGUUUCAUCAUCUUAUUUGACUUGGUGACAAUAUGCAUCUUGUUAUAUACUUGUUUUAGUCCUGAUUCAGGCCUUAUCAAAGGAAAUGCAUUUUUCCAGACUUGUCUCAGCUUCCCCUGCCAACUUAUUUCUGAGGUCUUACUUCUUUACGUUUUUCCUAUCCAUUUCUUUCCUGUUCAGAACACCAUGAUCUCAAAGAGGUACCAUUUCUUGCUUUUCUGAAUUUAGAUUCUUUCUGUAUAUACUAUGAUAGAUUGUUGGUUUGCUGCUGCUGGAUAUCACUGCUCUUUCUUAUGAACAAUGAUUUUGUCAGUAAUUUGUCUUGGAACUGAUUUACCUUGGUUUAAUUAUUUCUGGAUUUUAGAUCGUGGUUCAGGAUGGCAGGAACCUAAAUCUAGAGAUCUACUAAUUCGAUAAACAUCUUGGGAGUAUCGCCAUGUACGAUGUAUGGAGAUGUGGUCAUUGUCUGUUGUACUCGGAGAACAGUUACAAAGAACAAUGUCAAGAAACAUGUAUACAUUUUUAUAAUAUCUUUGGUAGGAAUCUAGUAGCAACUCCAAGAGUUGCUAAAAUUGAUCGAUCAUAGGUUGCUGCAACAGGCUGAUUACUAAAUUCUUGAAAUUGUUUGUUGUCAUGUAGAAUGCAGUAUCUUGUUUAUUCCUCUAUCGUUACCAGCUUGAUUCUCUUUGGUGUUAAGAUGUAAUUGGUCAAGCAGAUGUUGAUACAUCUACGGAUCAUGACCGAGGAAAUGAACUCGCAGUGUUUAUAUGCUGUUUAAUAUUUUUGUUUCCCUAAUGUGAAGUUCAUUACAUACCAAAAUGAUGGAUGAGCAUGUUGCAAUGCUUGUGGCUGUGUUGUUUGGUGUCUAGCAUGGAUAACAUAUCUGACAUGGUGCAGAAAUGUGUGCCAGAGGCUUUCUAGAAUCCUUGCUUAAUUGACUUGUUGAUGAGUGGUCCAAGAGCCCUUGUCGUUUUGCAAUGGUUGACUUUAAAUGCGGACCACUUAGAACAAGAACAACCAUCAAGGGCCAUGAGAAGCCUGCCCGUUGACUUUGCUCAUCCCCAAUCUGCAACAAAAAAUUGUGUGGGAAUGGAAGCAUGCUUGUCAAGUUGUUUCUUCUAAUUCAGAUACAAGUUGUUAUCAGAUGCUUGGACAUAAAACAGUGUAUUCUUGGAUUUGUGUGAAUAAAUUAGUGUUCAUGGUUGAAACAGGAAUUUUGUAUGGCAUACCAAAAAGUUUAUUCUAUAUGAAAUGUGGAUUGGUUGUGGAAGGUUUGAUUGGAAUUUUUUUUUUUAAUGAAAAGAUCACAACCUCAUUCCAUUGUCAGGGAAGAACAAAGAACAGCAGGAUCAGUGUAAAAAUUGAGGGGAAUUCAUUUCCCCAACUCAUGCUAUCAGAUCUAUCUUUGGCACAAUUAAGUCAAGACAAGAGUUGUCUUAUUGAGGUUUGCAUGUAUGUAACAAAAUAUAGUGACAAUAGAUUGUUGUCAGUAAUGUUCAUUUUGCUAAAUUUUGUAAAUGAGAAGUUAAUAAUUCAAAUUAAUUCACAUAUUAUGCAUACUCACAUUGAUGUAGAGAAAUAAAUUAAUGGUCAUAUUAAUUAUUAUUUUUAUUAAAAUUAAUAUUUUUUCUGACUAUUCAAAUUUGAAAUAUUUUUUUAUAAAAAAAAUAUAUUACAGUUUUGAUAUAAUAAAAAAGUCUUCGGAUUGUCUCUUUUUUUUUAUUAUAAAAAAUCGUAUCUUUGUCUCUUGUUUAAUUAAAGUAUCGAAGGAACAUUAUCGAGUGUGCACUCGGAUCAAAUCAAUUUAGAUGAUCCUAAAUCUUUUAUCAUUAAAUAUAAAAUAAUUUAAAAAUCGAUCAUAGCACUCCCAAAAUUAAUUAUGUAUUUUAUAUAAACAAAUUGAACUAGAUCAACUUUAGUCAUGCGUCUCCGAUGAUUGAUCCAAGUCAUUUUUCAUUAGAUAUAAAAGAAAAUUUUAAAUAUUAUUUUUAAGUUUGAGAAAAUAACGGGCGUAUUUUAAAAUGAUCCUUAAUGCAAUUAUUUAGUCUCCUCUUGCCAACAACUACUUUUACGUGGCUCCAACUUUGGUACGUGGAGCCAACCAUGCAUGCGUCCCCUGCUAUGCCUUUCCCGUUCACCCAAUGCACAAUUGACUUGGUCCAACCGAGCUAUUUUGCAGGACCAAAAAUAGCAUCUCCCAUCCCUAUAUUGACAUAUGUACAAGUGGAAACAGCCCAAACCCCCUUAUUUCCUCACACAACCAUACCUCUCUCUCUCUCUCUCUCUCUCUCUCUCUCUCUCUCUCUCUGUGCUGGACACCCUCCCUUCCCCUUCUAUCCUCUCUUUUUCUCUCACUAUGCGUAACCCUUCUCCGUCGGCUUUGCCUUGUUACUAGUUUUGUGGAAAGAAGAACACAACAGGGGAAGGAGGACACCGAUGGAGUGCAACCAGCCUCAUGUUCCCAAGAAAUCCAGCAGCUUCUCCUCCAGCCGCGACGAGAAGCACCGCGAGAUCAACCGCAACCUCUCCUUAGGCUCCAUCAAGCUCGAACAGAGCUAUGAGAAGAAGGAGAGACACGACCAGGAGACAAUAGAGGAGGAUCGGGAGGAGGAGAAGGCCACAAAGGAGCAGGAGGAGGAGAAAGAAGCAAGCAAUGACGAGGAGCCUGAAGCUACUUUGCUCACCAUCUCCGAGGACAUAGAUAGAUUCCUCCGCUUGCUCCUCGCCGUCGAAGAUGGCCAAGAUGGGAGCCACGAGCCGCCGGAGAUCCCCGAAUCCACCGUCGAGAAGUUUGUCAUUUUGGUGGAGGAGGAGAUCGCCAAAUACGAGACCGGCGAGGAGAAAUGGCCCUCGUGCGACGACGAACUCUCGCUCCUCGAUGCCAUCGACAGGGUCUCGAAACUGACAUCGGCGGUGGCGAAAUUCUCGUCGGAGCUCAAGUACAACGAGGCGAUGAACCAUUCCGGCAGCGUCCUCCACCACGCCAUGUGCUUCCUCGAAGACGAAUUCCACUCGUUGCUUCAGGACUCCAGAACAAAGCAGGAAGCAGCCAGCAGCAGUUCGAGGACCAAGCAGCUGCCGUCACUAAUCUACCGCUUUCACGAGCCGGAACGCAGCGUGUCACCCUCGUCGGAAUCCAGUCCCUGCGAGUCUUCCCAGGCAUACAUACCGGAGAACACCGAGAGGCUGCACAGGAUCGCCGACGCCAUGAUCUCUGCCGGGUACGUUACAGAGUGCUGCCAGGUGUUCUCCAUUGCUCGACGCAAUGCAUUCGAGGCAGGACUGCCGAGCCUCGGGUUCGAGAAGGUUGGCAUCGAAGACGUGAUCAAGAUGGCGUGGGAGAACUUGGAAUCUGAGAUCGCUACGUGGGUUAAGGCCUUUCGCCACACCAUCACGGCCUCCUUUACCGCCGAGCGCGAGCUGUGCGAGGCUGUGUUCGCCAGCCACCGCGCCAUCUCCGACCGCCUCUUUCUCGGCUUCGCCAACGGUGCCAUCGUCCAGCUCCUCACCUUCGCGGAGGCUGUCACGAUGACAAAACGCUCCGCCGAGAAGCUGUUCAAGGUGCUCGACGUCUACGAGGCCAUGCGCGACGUGCUGCCGACGGUCGAAGCCCUGCUCCCCGACGAUGGCGAGCAGGACGAACCCUCCGUCUUUGCGGAUCCCAAGACGGAGAUAUCGUCAUUGCGGUAUCGCCUUGGAGAGGCAGCCGUCGCAAUCUUCUGCGAUCUGGAGAGCUCGAUCAAGGCCGACAACAGCAAGACCCCUGUACCGGGCGGCGCAGUCCACCCUCUCACCCGCUACGUCAUGAACUACCUCAAGUACGCCUGCGAGUACAAGAGCACAUUGGAGCAGGUCUUCAAGGAGCACAAGCAUGCCGAGAAGCCAUCAUCCUUCGACGAGGACCGCGAAAAUUCUCAGACAAGCGGUGGAGGAGACGGCGACCGCAACAGCAACAGUAGCGGCAAUGACAAUUACAAUCCGUUCGCAGCUCAACUAAUCGAGGUAAUGGACUUGCUGCACUCCAAUCUGGAGUCGAAAUCGAAGCUCUACAAGGAUCUGGCCUUGAGCAACAUUUUCUUGAUGAACAACGGGAGGUACAUCGCGAAGAAGGUGAAGGGGUCGCCNNNNNNNNNNNNNNNNNNNNACAGUACCUCGACCCCGGGAGGCAGACGGAGAAGUACAUCAAGUUCGGGCCGGAAGACCUCGAGAAUCUGAUCGAUGAGCUCUUCGAUGGCACUCCUUCGUCGUCCAUCGCGAGCCGGAGGAGGACAUGAACAGUAGGGUAGCGGGAACGGCCGGUGGUGGUGAGCUUCUUCUACUCUGUUUAUAUACUGUUAACCAUUGAGAUUCACUGUAAGAUUCUACGUAGGAGGCGAUCAAAAAGCUGCGCUCACGUCCCAGAAGUUGAGAUCACGCCUCGUUUCGUGUCGUCCUCGACAAAGGCAGCCGGCACACAAGAGUUAACACAGAGGGUGACGACCAUUCCGCCAUUGUUGUUGCUUGUGUGUUUCCUUCCGUCAUUAUGCGUUGUUUGUUGCCAAUGACAACAAGAGCUUCAAGUUAUAAUUGUUAGAUCUUUUGCAAAUUGAAAGUAUAUCUUUGUGUGAAUGUUAUCUGUGAAAUUGAUGGGUUUUGAUCCACAUAAAUCAUUUGUGCAACCAAUGCUCUUGCUAAAAACAGAGCAUAAGAUCUUCAAAAGGGAUGGAUGCCUUUGAACAUGGCGUGGAAUCUUAAUCGACACAUAAAAAAGAAGAAUUCAUUGCCAAGAACAUCAUUCUCUGCAGGAUUUCCAUCCGCUAGCAGUGAGCCAAGGAGAGUUUAAAGCCCAUGGAAGGCCACCUCGUUUCAUCAUCCCCAAGAGUCGAACAACGUCGAUCCAAAGCUCUACCUCCUCUUCCAGAUGAGUUGAAGACCCCGAUACCCUUCCAACGAGAUUCCAUGCGGCAGGAGCUGCAUGCUAUCUUGCACGACAUCCACGAAAACCUCGACCAUCCUUGCACCCACGUCAUGGAUCACGUUCGACCUGAACCAUCUCUUGUAGAUGUCCUCUUCCACGAUCAAUCUGUUGGAGCACCUCGGUCUGCAAUUGUAGACGCACAGCAUCAUGGUUAUGUUCGUCCCAAGUGACUCCUCUCCGCCAUAGACUGGUUUGAUGCCCGCUCCUGAUGUGCCACUGGAAACGAUAAGUUCUAUUACAGGUCGAGGAGAUGGAAGAGAUGAGAAGAAGGCUGGGAUGGAGAAGAUGACUGAGCGAGAUCAGUGUUCGCUUCAUUGACACCACCUGUUGAUUGCGUUUGGAUGACAACAAUCUCAAUAUGCCUUGUAAAUGUAUCAGAUGAGGACGAUGUAAAACCAUGAAACAGACGUUCUACAUGUCUACCUUGAGUGAAGCAAUGAAAAGCAAGCAGAUUCUCCAACUUAUGUGAUCCAAUAAUGAGCUUCUCUUUCAUAUAUCUAAAUGAUCUUUUCAAAAAAGCCAGAAUAUAUAUACUUGUUUGUGUGUGUGUUUGUGCAGUGUUUAAUGGAGAAAGAAACUAGUCAAGACAGCAGGAUCAUGUCAUUGUUCCAAAUAAUGUCCAAACAACAGAAUAAGUUUACAGAAAAGACCCAUAAAAUCACAUAUAAAGUACAACACAUACUUUAAAAAAGUACAACAGAGGUUACAACCAUCAGAUACAGAAGCUGGUGAUAAUUUCACAACGAAUUACCCGUCGCUGGUCAGCGUAAAGGCGAGGAGCACCAUAAUGAGGGAGACAGUAAUGGUUGUGCCAGCAAAUAACCAUAUAGCCCAUUGAGAGGAGCCCCGCCUCUCUUGACCAGCCCUCUCCACCUCCUUCAAGAGAUCCCUAAUCUCAUCGAUGUCUGAAUCCUUAGCCGCAUGAAUCAGUCUGCUCUGGACCUCAUCAAGUUUGGCGAGUCUUUUGGUUUUGGUUGCAUCUUUAGCAGACCAAAUGAAGCCAGUCAUUCUCCACAGAAGGAUGCCGACAUAGAUUGCCACUAUACAGUCUACGGUGUAAUGGUGGCGUUCUCGAAUCUCUCUCUGGGCACUGUGCAGCACUAGAAUCCAUGUCAGAGCUGACGUCCAGCCACCAUAUGCUUCCUGAGGCCAGAAACAAUUAAAGUAUAUUUUAGCAGUUCUACCAAGAAUUCCAAUAUGCAGCUCAGAAAUAAAAUAAAAAAUUGAGAACUGCAGGUAUGCCACCUUACCACUCUAAAUUCAUUCUGUUAAAUCAAGAAUAUGAAACUUAAAACUAUAGAUUGUUUAGAUAUGACUUUCAACAUUAAACUGAGGUGCUCGUGCAACAUUUGUUCUGCUAGAACCUAUGAUUAUGAAGUCACUGCUCUGAAUUUAUGAAAAUUUCCUGAUCACAAUAAUAGAGUGGAUGGGUUUUUCUGCUUCUCAUUCCAUUGUUUUACUUCCAUUUAUGAGCUCCCUUUGCAUCAAACACAUGACAGAGAAUAAUAAAACCAACAGCAUAAGUUUCAGAGGCAAUUGGAUAUCUAUGAAGCUUAAGGCAAUGCAAUUAGAGGAUGUGAUUUUGUUUCAACAAUAAACUGAGGCAUCAUUUGUUUCCUUCCAUAGUACUUGUGAUUUUGAUCAUGGUCUGCAGUACCGAACUGUACCGCCCGGUACGGGCGGUACGUACCGGUCCGACAGGUUGUCGGUACGCGGACCGCCUGUUACCGGUCCGAGUGCACUGUAACACUGUAGCAGUGCUACAGUACUCAGCACACCUGGGUGUACUGCUCAGUAUACCGUACCGUACUGGUACCAAGCCCAGAUCGAAAUACCGGUAUGGUACGAUAUUGCGAACCUUGAUUUUGAUAUUCUUGCAAACUAUAAAUAUAGGAUAAAAAGAAAUUCAGAAAAGAGGAUAUGAGAAACAAAAUGAUAGAUUAGAUGCAAUUAAUUGAUAUCAACCACAAUUAGUCGGAUAAAAUUGUCAAGAUAACAACAAGGAGCAAAAGGUGAUUUAUGUAUCAGAAUGUGGCUAAUAUUAAAAGAUGGUGAAGCUAUAGUAAAAAACAUGGUUCGUAUGAUAACAAGCAACAAUAAGCCGAAAAUGUCCCAACAGUCACAAACAUUGUCCAUACACCACACCAAAUGCCUCAAGCAAAUUUAUCCAUUAUCAUCUAUAAUUAAAUUAUGCUGUUUAAAAAAAUAAAACACAUGCACAAAGAACUAAGCAUACCGUCCAUGCCAUAGCAGUCAAUACAGCAACAAGCAUAUGACCACUGUAUAGCAGGUCAUUACAACCGCCACCAGCUUUCUUCAACAAUUGAUACCAUGAAGAUCCCUCUGAAACAGUGGGCCUCAAUAUAUCUAUCAGAAAGUUCAUCCGGCCCCAAUUAGGCCGAUAUUCACCAGGAUAUUCUCCAAUUGUGGCUAAAAGACAAGCAGGAAAAAAAAAAAGCUUUCAAUUAGCAGCUUAUAGAUUUAUAAUGUUAAACUAAUAAAUAAGUUAGAUCUUGACCAAUCCUAACUAAACUAACCGUAGGGCAUAUCUGUUUGUAUUAGCUUGCGAAUGGCAUCCGAGUUAGAAGCAUAUGGCAUAUAAUAUUUCUGUACCCAAGGAUGAGGAUGAUAGGGUACUGGAAAUCGGACUUCAGCACACCAAGGUCGUACCGAUGGAAGAAUUGUAGAAACAAAUGUUACAGCACGAAGAAGACGCCCUAUAGCCAUGGUAAACAUAUACCUCGCGGCGAGUCCAAGACCAGGGGCUUUAACAGAGUUAAAAACCACAGAGAAAGCCAACAUCACAAACAGCAUUAAGAAAUGAUGUAGUCCAAUUAUAUGUGCUCUUAGCACUUCAACCACAACCUGUGGAAGCUUCUCAUUCAGGAACAAAAGCAACCACUGACCACUAUCAGGAAGUGGGGGUGAAGAUCUGCCAAUUGAGAAUUUCUUGAAUCAGCAAAGUUGAAAACCAUAAUAAAUAAUCAAUAUUAGAAUGCAUGCUAAUCUUUUGAGAUGUAUAAAUAAUUAUGGGCAAACACUGAAAAUUAUUUUGUAAAUAGAAUUGUCUAAAAACAACAGCUUCUGAUAGAGCCAUGAAGAAAAGUUUUCUGACAUUUCCAAGGAAAAGUUCUAGCUUGAUGAUACAAUAGAUGUACCACAAAACCUAAAAGGCUUUCUUUUCAUUCUGCAGAAAGCUUAAAAAUGAUGUGCAUAGUGGCCUCACUAACAUAGCCAGUAAGAAAAAUUGUUGCUUAAAGGAUAUACUAUAAGAAAAACAACCACAUGAACAGAUAUGUUUCUGGUGAAUAUCUACUUAAGAAACCAAAGGAAAGAGAAAUCCUAUGAUUUCUUAAAAGUGUCAUUCUAAGAAUAUAACAAUGUUAUUGAACAAGGACUUUUGUAAUUAUUGUGACGGAGCAUAUGACACUUUUUAUUUCUUUGACAUGGAAAAUUGAACAAGCUAGAAGAUAGUCAGAACAUUAGCUUCUAAUUCUGCACAAGAGCAAUGACCUCUACAUACGCUUCAAAGAUAAUAGAGGUGAAUUGGUAAACUAUAAGCAAUUUGGUUAAAUAUAUGCAUCACUGCUUCAUUUUUCACUGCAGAUAUUAUAAUAUCCUGAUUUACACUGUUUCAAUUGUACAUAUUACUCAUCUCUCCAACCUGCCUAAGACAUAUUCGUUACUCUUCACAUACACCGUAUAUUUAAAAGCAUUGGUAGUAAAGAAGUGUUAUAUUGAUGACCUGAAGCAUGCAUGGGAUCGACAUGACAAUCUAAAAUGAAUCAUCUUUUUGUUCUUUUUUGCAUAUACAAGCACUGUGUUACCCCAAAUUAACUGAUAUCAUGAGCAAUUCUUCUUUUUCUGAUCAUAAGACUGUAUGUCAUUUCUACUAGUUGGUUAAAUUAAUUAUGGCCGGGUCCCAAAAAGCAGGUGGCGAAAUGUUGCAACUAUAUCACAUCAAAAUGCCUUCUUUUUUCCAGGUUGUAAUUCCAGUUUUUGACAUGAAAUUUCUCAGACAUGAUAAAGAGUAGCAUCUGUGGAGAAAAUCGAUGUAUAACUGAAAUUUAUCACCAAAUAAUUUAACUACAUUGACCUCCUUCAGACCAAAAAUCACCAGGAACAUGCUCGAAACAGGCAAAAAUGACUUCUUCUAAACUUAGUUUGCAGCAUUGGAUCCGCAGAGGUGGUACUUACGUAUGCCAAUCGAGGCCGAGGACAGCGGUCACGAAUCGGACGGAGAGGGCUUCGCAGAGCAGGGCGGAGAGCAUGAAGACCAGCGAAGCGAGGAAGGGGAUCGCGGCCCGUAGCUCUAACGGCCAGUGCCGGUAGAAGGGGGCGCGACAGGCCGCGGCGAGGGCCAGGACCGCCCACAGGGCCGGCUGGAGUCGCCCGUGCCACGAGGGCGAGACAUAGCGCAGGUAAUCGACCGCCACGUACGAGAUCGCCGCGAGGCCGAGACCCUCAUUGGCUCUCGGCAUCGCCGGCGAGAGGUGCUGGCGGCCGCCCCGGGCUUCUCCUCCUGAGGCCUCCCGCGAUGGACGAAGGGAAGGGACGGAGGGAGAAGAGAAGAAGAGGGGAAGUGUUCGAUUAAUUGCCAGGUGAAUUUAAAGGAAAGCAAAGCUGCCGAGCGGAAGGAAGGCACGACAAAAGGGGCGGAACGGAGGAGUCAAGCGGAAUUUUAAGGCAGUGGAAAUUUUGAUGACCGAUGAUGGAGGAAUUCGAGUUUUCAUGAACUUAAAGGGCUUUUCUGCGUAUUNNNNNNNNNNNNNNNNNNNNNNNNNNNNNNNNNNNNNNNNNNNNNNNNNNNNNNNNNNNNNNNNNNNNNNNNNNNNNNNNNNNNNNNNNNNNNNNNNNNNNNNNNNNNNNNNNNNNNNNNNNNNNNNNNNNNNNNNNNNNNNNNNNNNNNNNNNNNNNNNNNNNNNNNNNNNNNNNNNNNNNNNNNNNNNNNNNNNNNNNNNNNNNNNNNNNNNNNNNNNNNNNNNNNNNNNNNNNNNNNNNNNNNNNNNNNNNNNNNNNNNNNNNNNNNNNNNNNNNNNNNNNNNNNNNNNNNNNNNNNNNNNNNNNNNNNNNNNNNNNNNNNNNNNNNNNNNNNNNNNNNNNNNNNNNNNNNNNNNNNNNNNNNNNNNNNNNNNNNNNNNNNNNNNNNNNNNNNNNNNNNNNNNNNNNNNNNNNNNNNNNNNNNNNNNNNNNNNNNNNNNNNNNNNNNNNNNNNNNNNNNNNNNNNNNNNNNNNNNNNNNNNNNNNNNNNNNNNNNNNNNNNNNNNNNNNNNNNNNNNNNNNNNNNNNNNNNNNNNNNNNNNNNNNNNNNNNNNNNNNNNNNNNNNNNNNNNNNNNNNNNNNNNNNNNNNNNNNNNNNNNNNNNNNNNNNNNNNNNNNNNNNNNNNNNNNNNNNNNNNNNNNNNNNNNNNNNNNNNNNNNNNNNNNNNNNNNNNNNNNNNNNNNNNNNNNNNNNNNNNNNNNNNNNNNNNNNNNNNNNNNNNNNNNNNNNNNNNNNNNNNNNNNNNNNNNNNNNNNNNNNNNNNNNNNNNNNNNNNNNNNNNNNNNNNNNNNNNNNNNNNUUACAUAUUUAUGAAGGAUCUAUUUGUAAACAUGCACAUAAACGUGGUUCGCGGUUCCCUGUCCUCCGCCGUCCCCUAACACUCUUUAAACUCCCCUGUAACCCUAACCCCAGAAAGGGGCCGGCAAAAGGAUCGAAAACCCCCCCUCGACGAACUCCCUCGUCAGCGAUGCAGCACGACGACGUGAUAUGGCAGGUCAUCAGGCACAACCACUGCAGCUACAUGGCCAAGUACUUCCCAAGGCCUUCGCCCCUCUCGUUUGUCGGAGACCAUCAAUCCGAGUGAUUUUUAAUGGGUCUCUAAUACUUGUUGGUUGGUGUUGUGUAGAAUCACCACGGGGAUUUUCUGUAGAAACCCGUACAAUGUUACCGGAAUCUGCAACCGCAGCUCUUGCCCGCUCGCCAACAGUCGAUACGCCACGAUUCGUGAUCAUGACGGUACCUUGUUUCGAAUUUAGCCCCUAAAAUGUCUUGCUAUUUGGACUGCUGGUAGGAAAUUUAUGUGUGGCGUUGAUUGGUUUCUGCUUCACACUUAUUUUUUCGUUUGUCUAACAUCUAUUAAUCGAAGAAGAUGGACGUGUGAUAAAACUAUGUAAAGUUUUUGAAGACUAUGAUCUAUAUGCUGGAGUUGUAAGUUUUCAUUCUGGUCUAAAAUUUGAUUACAGAAUGAGGACAUUGACAUUGUUACUGCCUACCUUUUUUUUAAUUUUUUGUUUGUUAUUUAGAGGCUGCAUUUGAAUCAAGGAAGAAAUAAAGAAUUUGUUUCACAGAAGGAUUUGGUAUCUCAAGAUCAUAAGUUUGGGGCAGCCUUUUGUUAUGAUUAAUUUUAACAUAAACUUGCUUCUUAUAUGCAUAAUUGAAAUUUGUAACAAAAACUGGCAUGCGAUUUAACUGGCAAAGGUAGACAUCGAUGAAGAAGAUAAGAGUCAAAUCCAUAAUGGAAAUUACUGUUGAAAGAUAAUAUUUUUUUUUUAUAAUUUAUAUGUUUAAGCUUCCUUAUGGAACUAGGUCAUUGUGGUCUUCAAUAAGUAUUAUCUGGAUUGCUAAUAAUUGGAUUAGUUUAAUUGGGUGGUUGUAAAGAAAUUAGUGUACUGAAGCAUUUGUCUUCUUUUAAAAUUUCCAUACAGUUAGUGAAUUUAUAAUUGAGGAUUGACGUAUUUUACCUUCAUGUACUUUCUGAAAUGAAACCGGAUAAGUUCCCCAUCUCCCAUGCCCCUUUCUGAAGUUGACCUUGUUGAUGUGCAUCUGAGCUAGCUUGAAUGGGUUUUAGAAUGUAUCAGUUCUAGUUUUAUAGUCUAGCUUUAAUAGAACUGAUAUCACUUAUUUCUUGUUCCUUAAUAAUUUUAUAUAUUUUUCUAGUUCUACUCCUGAAAAUGCUUUGGUACUUUUUAUCCUGACUUGCUGUCUUGUGCAGGAGUGUUUUACUUGUAUAUGAAAACAAUUGAAAGGGCUCAUAAACCAAAUGAAUUGUGGGAAAGAGUUAAACUUCCUAGAAAUUAUGAGAAGGCACUAGAAACUAUUGGCAAGCAUCUGGUACUUGAUAUUCUUAAUGACAAGCUAACCUGACUUUUAACUUUUGGAAGCACUAGAUGCAUCAUCCUUUUGGUUUUGGCAGGAGUACUGGCCUAAAUUACUUGUGCACAAAAUCAAGCAGCGCUUAACCAAAAUGACUCAGUAUCGAAUACGCAUGAGGAAGCUAGAACUGAAAGUGAGGUACGUAUUUAUUUCAGUCAUUCCGUAGUUUCAAUAUGUUACAUGUAGAGUAGCUGGAGAUCAGGGUUUCAGACACGAAAAUAGCAUCUCUGUAUUUAAAAUCAAGGCUCCAUAUGUUGAUCCUCCCCAAACCUUGCUUCGGUGGGAGUUUCAUGGAUCGAGUAUCCUUUUAGAGUAGCUGGAGACUCGAUAAUAUCAAAACUCUCCUUGUCUUGUCCUCAUAGAGGUAAAGCAUGUGUCAAUAAAGAACGACAGUGUAGGUGUAGGGUAUUAGACAAUUUUUUUUAUAAUUCCAUGUUUUGGCCUUUGGGCAACAAACAUAUUUUGAAUCCACAUCUUUUUUUUGUCCUUUGUGUUGGAGGCAAGGGAUGUCUCUUUUUUCAACAAUAUUUGGUCUUUAUAAAAAUGGGAACCAGCAAACAAUCUUUAAAAACUGGGAAGCUUUUGUUUGAUACAGGGAGAAGAUAAUUACUGUGCCUAGAAAAGAGAAAAAAAGAGAGGCAAGGAGGGAGGAAAAAGCUGAAAAAGCUGCAAUUCUUGAUAAGGUUUGUUACAUUUCUUCUUUUGUUAAUUAUUUUAUAGUCCUGUUGUCAGCAUCAGCACGUAUGACUUGUUGUAAGUGUUAUGCAGAGUAUCGAGAAUGAGCUGCUGGAGCGUCUCAAGAAAGGUGUUUAUGGUGAUAUAUAUAACUAUCCUGUUCAGGCAUAUAACAAUGUCCUGGAAAUGGAAGGCCUACAACCAAGUGCUGAGGAAGAAGAUGAAGAAGUAUGAUUUAGAGUCAAUUUCUGGCUCAUCUUCUGUUUCUUUGGCUGUUUAUAGUAACUUGUACUUGUUCUCAUUUUACCAGGAGCCAGAAGUAGAAUAUGUUGAAGGUUAUGAUGGACUCGAGGAAGAAGAGGACAUGGAAGAUUUUGGUGGUUUCGUGAAAAAUGAAUCUUUGAUGGAUGAUGAUUAUGGUAUAGAUUUUUGACCCAAGGCAUUUAUUAUUUACAUUUCUUUUUUGUUGUUGUCUGAUUAAUGCAAUAACCAUAGAAGUUCGAUACAAUAGUGACAACACUAUACUAGUGGUUCCAUUAAAAAUUUCAAUAAUGUCCGGCUCUGAACUCAAGUGGAUCACAGUUCCGCUCCCAGUUAGUCGAUCUUAUCAUCUUGGGAUGUGAAGUUUCUGCUAAAUAUGCUAAUUUGGUGCAGAUGAAAUGGAUGAAGAAAAUGAAGAAAUAGAACCAUUAGAUCAACACCCUGCCAAGAAAAUACGAAAAGCAUCUGCAUCUGAAGCUAGAAAGAUAGAAGGUGGUGAUUCUGGGAAAAAGUCAAAAAGAAAGGGGAGGGUAAUCAUUGAGGUACUGUGCCUUAUUCUCUGUAACUGAUUAAAAUCCUUCUCCUCCUUUUGCAAGUAGAAUAGUCUCAUUACAACAACAAUAGAUCCAUUGAGAUUUUUUUUUCUUUCUAAAAUAUGUAAUUUGCAGCACUCAAUCCCUUUCCGUCUUUUCCUUCCUCCCUCUGUAUUUUUUUUUUCUUUCACCUCCUUUUUGCCUUUUCUAUCUUUUCGAAGAACAUUAUAACUGAUGAGAAUUUCAACUGCUGUAACUUAAUAAUACUUUUGGAUUACACAGGUUGAGCAGGAUGAGGAAUUGGGUGAGAGACAAAAGGCACAUGUAUAAAAGCUCAAGUUCCCUUGGUUUCCUGCAUGCCCUUCACAUCAAGCAUCAUCCCAUGGUAUGUACCUCGAGGGCAGACACUUAUGGAGCGGCGAGACCGAUGUUUCCGACCCCGAACAAUUUUUGAUAUGAUGUUGGUGUUAAUGCAACAAAAUGAGUUCUGUUAGUGUAACAUCUAAUUAGUUGAAAUGUUUUGUCAUCCUUUGUGGGACUCUCGUAAGGUUAAUAUUCGUGAUUGGUAAGCAUGCAGUUUGCAUUGUCUUCCCAAAUUUAUCGAUAUCUUUAUAAAUGAAUUGUUUCGGUAGUCCACUUUCAGCCUUAAGAAAGUGUAUCAAUCACUUCAUUACCUGUUGCUAUGAUUUGAUUUUGGGUUCAAUUCUUUAGUUUUUUUUUAUCCCUUUGAAAGAAUAAGUAUGUUCGUUCACUAUUGCUAAAAUAUCAAUUCCGAACAUUAUCUAUUGGAUUUGGUGCUCUGAUGGCUAAGCUAAUAAUCAUGUUUUAAUAGCUAUAUUAAUAAAUAUGACAAUUGAAUGAACUCAAUUGUUUUAUUUGCAUCGCUUUUUUUUUUGGCCUAAAGGGCAAAACAAUAAUAAUAAUAAUAAUAACAAUAAUAAUAAUAAUAAUAAUAAUAAUGACAUGGCACUCUAUCUUCUUCUGUUUGAUGUCACGUUGUGUAUGCCUAAACCAGUUCGACCUCGACCCGACAAUCCUCUGUUCUCUUUGCUCUUCCCCGACCAACCAAUUCUCCUCCCGGCCACAACCGUUCUUUUUGGUGCCGCUUCAGGUACUCCUUCGCCCGGCAUUUCUCUUCCUUCCUCCGAUCUUGAUCUCCGUCGUCCUUCCCCUAUUCCGUGCCAUCCGCGUCUUUGUGCGCUUCGAUCCGGCCGACCCAACCGCUAUCUCGUUGCCGGAGCCUCGUGUCUUGUGCCCUUUCUCGUAGACCAUGGAUCUGGGUUUGGUUGGUUUCUUGUUCGUUUUAUACUGUUAAUUAUGAUGCCGUCGAUCUUUGUUUGCUCUUUGGCUGCAGCAGUUGGUCUCUGAACAGAGGUGCCGAUCGAUCUCUCUCGAGGAAUGCGCUGAGAUGACACCUGCUCAGGAUCCAUUCUAUGUUGUUAAAGAGGAGAUUCAAGAGUCCGUAAGUCACUGUCCCCUGAUCAUUUGCGAAUUCGUGACCAAGAGAAUUGGUCAUUUUUCUUUAGCAAGCAAUUCGAUGAUCGAUCAAGGCAUUUGUCCAAAACCUGUGCAUUCUGAGAAAUUGGACAGUUUGUUUGAUGUUCCUAUGCAAGUGGGCAUAACUUUAUUAUUUUCCAAAUCAAACGAGAACUCUGUCUAGCGGAUUUCUCAUAUUCUAAAGGCAGUCAUAUCUGUUUAUGAUUUCAUCUGCUGUUUUUUUUUUUUUUUUUCUGGUUGCAGAUUAACAAACUGCAAGUUACUUUUCAACAAUGGGAACAAACCCCUUCAAACACCGAGAGAGUGUACACCUUACAAAACAGCUUGUUGUCAGCUGUGAGAGCGUAGAGUGGCAGGUUUUACUUUAAGCAAAUACAAGUGAUUCAUGUUAUGUGUUUCUUGUUAUGUUUUAAGAAAUCUCCAUCAUCUCAAAAUGUUCAUCGUGGUAAAACUUGUGAGAGUAGAGAAGCAAGUGCACUGAACUGAAAGAUACCUUUUAGUGAAGGUAAUUUCAGCAUAAUAGUCUCCCUAAUGCUUUAAUUUCACAUAUGGGUCCCUUAUUCUCAUUAUUUAUAUGAAAGUCGCUAAGUUUUUUCUUCCAUCCUGCAAGUUAUCCCCUUCCAUCCAUUUUUCUCAAACUAUGAUCAAAAUGAAGACCUUUUUAGCCCAACAGCUAACAAAAGUUGGCUUAUGACAUAGCAAAAGAUAUCAUUAAGGGAAAACUUAUAUGGAGUACAAAGGAAGCAAAAAAAAAUGAAGAGUAAAAUUUUUCUGUUAUAUGUGUGUUGUUAAUGAUCUAAAACUGUUGGUGGAAUAUACUUGCAAUAUUCCUUCAGAUUUAACCUAAGGACCAAUAUGUACAACUUAAGAGAUUUGUAUAAGUUUCAUAUAAUCAACUAAACUGGAGGGCUGUAAAAAAUUGAAAGAUUUUGCUGCUUGUGUCUCUAUGCUUUCAUGUUAAGAAAUUUGAUAGAUUUUUUUAGCUUUCUCUAAUGUUGAUGGAAGUCAGAUGCUUCUGGACUCUAUCAAAUCUAACAAAACUUUCUUUCCUGGUUGUCUCUGAUGGUUGAACUCUUUUGUUGAACUUGAUCAUUCUCUUAAUGGAAAGGUGGAUGAAUUGGAUAUGGCAAUUGCAGUUGCUGUGAGAGAUCCUGCAUGGUAUGGUCUUGAUGAAGUUGAACUUGAAAAGCGCAGGAGAUGGACUAGCACUGCACGUUAUCAGGUAAAGCUUAAAGUAAAGUUUGGAACUAUUUCUUUAUUAUCAUUUUUUUUACGUCUUGGAUUGGUUUAAAUUUUUUGCUUAUAAUAUAGGUAACACCUUGUCCUGUGCUUGAGCUUGUGGAGACAUGCAUAUUCAGAAGUGUUACGGUCAGUAACUGUUCAGCCGUGGCCCUGAGAUCGUCGCGGCUUGGUUCGGGUCCGGAAGGUGGUGGUCAAAGGAGGGGGAGUCUCCUUGAGCCCGCUGAGUCUCCGUAGGCGAUGGACCCCGAAGGCUUCUCACCUGCACCAAGGCCGGGUCGGGGUGCUCGACCCGACCCCUCCGACGAUCAAGUUAGCGAAAGGUGCGGAGGGGGUUUUAGGAGGAGAAGAAACCUCCGAGUAUUCAGUAUGUUGAGAGUCUUUUCCCUUUUGCUUAGGACUUAGGGGUAUUUAUAGAGGAGGUUAGCAUUACCUGAUUCGACCGCCUGCUGGGGUGAGGGGGUACCUCUGAUGGCGUCUGACGCGGCUGCUGGGGUCGCGUGGUGGAGCGGUUCGUAGCAGGGUAUGGGCGAGGGGCAGGUCAUUGUCCGGCCUGGUCGUGGUCAACCAUGCGGGGUCGGAGGUCGCCUCUCAACAGCGGGAGUCGUCAGGGCGGGUCUAGUCAGCGUUAUUGCCUUGGCCGGGGGCUGUCGUCACGGCGCGUCAACGGCGCCAUUAUUUUCCCUAUCAAGAAGCACAACCAUUACAUAUUUUUAUUUGUUUCCAUUUUCUUCAUAAUUUCUGAUCAUUUCAGCAGUAAUGUAGGUGGGUAAUAUUAGGAAAACUGUAGAAGCAGGAAAGGAGAAGCAGAAUUCAUUCAGCUUAGGUACAAAUGGUGUGCGUAAAGAGCUGAUGGGGCUUCCGAAUGAUCAUGCUUCUCAGGCAGGCAGAUCAAACAAUUACAUUAACCAAGAUAAUGAGGAUUUUAUCUCUUCAGAAUCAGAUCAGCAGCUGCUCCUGAUAAAGUAAUUCUUUGUCUUUUUUCAUUUUCUGUUUUUUGUUAUAGUAGUGAAUGAGGUAUAAAAGUUUAGGAUGCAUCUUCUGCAGCAGAUUUGGGAUCUGCGAUCAGUUUUCCUAUUGGUCAGUUCAUAGUUGGUGGUCAACCAAGUUGAUAACUUUAAAUUUCUUGUUCUGGCACUCAUUGGCCAUGCUCUAUUUUGUUGGUUUUAUCAAUGCUUUCUAGGAUAUGAGAGGGGCAGUGUAAGUAGUAGGACCAGUGUUUUAUAAAUUAUAUGAAGUUUGUAUUCUUUUAAAGCUUCCACGAGUCUUUGGUCCUUGGAUACAAACUCUAGUUUCUUACUGGAGCUGUGAUAUUUAUUGACACCACGAACUGUGAAGGAAAAAUCCAUCUUCUCUAUAACAAAGAACCUCCUUAUUCAAGUUUAUUAUUAAAAAAAAAUUUAGGUACAAUAAGUGUAGAUUAGGUUACAUAAAAGAUUGCAUUUUGUUGACACCUCUUUUAUUUCCUAAAUCUUACUUCAGGAAACAAGAUGAGGAGCUGGAUGAGCUUAGUGCUAGUGUUCGGAGAAUUGGAGAUGUAGGACUUACUAUACAUGAUGAACUUGUUGGGCAGGUAUGUUCAACAACAAAAUGCCUAAAAAUGUCCUGCAAUGAUUAGUUGACUGAUAGGAAAAAAGACUCCUGUCAAACUAACAAGAUCCAAUGGUGUUGCACAUUUUGAGUAUAGUGUUCUUGCAUAAUAGAGAAUCAGGAGUUAUUUUGCCUUCCUCUAUGUAAUGAACAAUAAGUUCUCUUUUCCUAAAAAGUUCUGCUCCAAUAUUGUGGAAAAUGGAAAACAUUAUGUCUUCCGACUUGUAAAUGAUUCUGGUUGGAUCUGGUCUCAAGAACUUUGUUAUACAUUAUCUUGGUGUAUAAUGUUCGAUACAUACACAUCCUUCUUGGUGUUUAAUGUUCAAUAAUAUUCAGUAAGAUGUUUUUUGGUCAUUGCUGGAUCCUUUAGAUUUAUUAACAGCAUGGCCAUGUGAAUUCCUCACUAUAAAGAUACUUUCAUUGGGGUCAAAUAUCCUAUCAUCUUCAUAACCAUGCAAACUAGUCUCUGGUUUACAAGACAUAACAGAGCUCCUUAGUGAAGAGUUAAAUUUCAUAUUCAGUGUGUAAGACUUUCUGCUGCUGCAGGGAAAAUUAUUGGAUGAAUUCGGCAUGGAAAUGGAGACUACUUCAAACAGGCUUGACUUCGUCCAGGUUCGUUUCCGCUCCUCCCCCUCUUUUUAUUAUUGUUUUUUUCAAAAGCAAAAUUGUUGUUCAGCUUAGUGUAACCUUAGGAACAGGAUUGUUUUAUUCAUUAUGUACAUUGUUCCAAUUUAAGAUUUGAUUCAACUAAGAUCGACUUUAUUCGUGAUAUGUCUUGCUUUCAUUUUCCCAUGAGCUCGUGGUUUAUUUGAAGAUUGAUCUGGGCUUUCAUAAAUAUCUCCAAAACCAUACCGAAAGAGAAUAUUUUUCUUUGCAGAAAAAAGUUGCUAAGGUGAUGAAAAGGCGGGCGCCAAGGGCCAAAUCAUGAUGAUAGCAUUCUUGAUAGGUCUCUUCAUUAUUCUUUUAUUUUUGGUUUUAUUCACAUAGAUGGAGACUAAAUUGAUUUGGGCAGAAACACUUCGACUGUGAGCCAUGGUUCUUCGAAGAAAUAUUGAGGCUUUGUUACUUGGUGUCUUAUCAGGUUAUACAAUUCUCAAACCAGUAAAGGAUUCAUGCGUACCGCCCGCAUGGCGCAUUGUGGAUUGGACUCAUCAGCUGCUGCCACCACCAGCAUAUACUGAGUUUCUACCCUCCUGGACUGGUAGACAAAUUGCUCGUCAUCACAGCAUCUUCAAUCGAGUUACCACAUUUACCAAGGUAGAGCAACACUGACAUCCGUUUCGUUUGGGCUGCUCAAUCCAUGCACGCAUUCGGCAAUUCUGGACUAACAUAAUCUUAGGGGAAGGGAGUAAGUUUGGUUCUGCCCCAUCCUCAGCACAUAUUCAGGUGAAGCACGUAAGGCACUGUAGCUAUUCGCAUAUUCUUUGUUUCUUUUAUUUCAUCUGUGCCUAUCCUAACUAUCUCGCUGACUUUUUCCUCUCGUUUGCUUGAUUCGUUUCGAAGUCGGGCAGCCGCGUCCCAAACGUAUACGGUCACCUGAAGCAACCUCGGCAAAUCAUAUAUUAUACAAAGCAAAGAAGGUAAGUGUUGCUUUUGACCAAUAAAUCUUAGAUGAGAACGCAAACAAGUUAAGCAUUCACCGCAUUUGCUUUUCUUUUUCACGUGUUUUGAUUGAAUAAAGCAAAUAAAAAAGAAUGGGGAUUUGGUCAACUUUGCAAAGAAGACCAUCCAACAUCCAAUUCCCGAGUCAAACACAUCAACCAAUCAAGAUACCAACAACAGCGCCACGACGACAAAAACCUUUCGGUGCCAAACUAGAGCCUGUGUUUUAGAUCCAAGAAAUGCGCUCUGAAGCUCCGGGAGUAUAGUGUCAAUGCGAGGAAGAAGAUGGAGGAUAAUGGCUGCAUCCACUCCAAGGUGGAGGUUGAAGAUAAUCCAUCUGUUGCUCUGAUUCUGGAGGAUAGAUGAGCGGAGAUGAGGGAGGAAAGGGAGCAGAAGCAAAGGAAGAAGAAGCCAAGGAAGCAUCCGUGAAAGGAGAAGCUGCAGAAGCUCCAGAAUACAUCAUUUGAUCCAACAGUGCAGUCGGAGGCAUCCUCUGGUACUCCCCUUCUCCCCGCAGCAGCCUCGAGUACUCCAUGUAGUCUCUCGCGGCAACGGCGGCGGUGGAGCCGGAGGCUCCGUGUCUGCCGAACGGCUGGGACUCCAUGUGAGCCUCCGGAGUGACCGCCGGCGCUUUCCGAAGCCCGGCUUCCUCGGGGAAGUUGAGCUUGGCUCUGUUUCCUCGGAACCGGAGGGCGGCCUCGUCGUAGGCCCGGGCGGCGGCCUCGGCGGUGUCGAAGGUGCCGAGCCAGACGCGGGCGGCCUUGUGGGGGUCACGUAUCUCGGCGGCCCAUUUGCCCCAGGGGCGUCGCCGAACGCCCCUGUACCUUACUCUCUCUCCUUGCUCUGUUCCUGCCAUGGCGGCCGCCGCUUCCGCUGCAGGAGCUGCAGUUUGCUCUGUUGCUGCAAUCACAUGAAACCAGGUCACUAAUCUUACAGACUAGAAUGCGGAAGAUCAGAAAUGAACGCCUUCGCUCCUCCAACCAUCUGCCGAAGCCGCCGACGACGACGACCUCCCAAAGUCCCCAAAGCUAGCAUGCAACUCGGACGCGGCCUCAUGCACGAAGCCCUCGUUCCACCUCGUCUGCCCAUUGCCACCACCCGGCGGCGCCUCCGUGCCGCGGCCUCCCGCGACCACGUGCACCAGCGCCGACACCAUCACCGACCUCUCGUACUCCAUGAACGAGGAAGUCAGUCUUCCCGUCGGCGGCACGUGCGCUUCACCGUCGCUCCCUCCGCCGCCGUCGCCCGCUCCUGUAUCGCUAGCCACCUUGAAACACAUGCAAGCUUUGAGCUUGUUGGCUCCUCAGCGACGGUCGAAAGCCUCCAACCGUUCCAAACUUGGAUGACGAAACCAUAUAUAUAUGAAGGAAAAUGAUGAGGCCGUCGGAACGUGGUAAGCCGCCGCGAGAACUGUCAUUUGGGCCGUUGCCUCCAAGAAUCCACGUCUCUUCCAUAGACUUCAACGCGCUGCAACGUCGACAGACACAUAUAUCCCACCCAGCCAUGCUAUUGGGUAAAAAGUCAAUCAUGAGGGCGUUUUGUGGUAGUAAAAGUGUCGACGAAAUGGAGAGGAGCGUGUUCAUAUGGGUUUGACCACCGAGUCGGCGCUGCGUGUGGUUGGCCGUUGGCAACGUCGGUGCCGCCGCAUGUAUUUAGUAUAUAAUAAGGAAAGCGUGGCUGAGGAUGAGAGAGAAGGAAGAGGAUUUUUUAUCCCUUUCUAUUCCUCAAUAUAUAUAUAAUUCUGACAUAAAGAGAUUCACGGGCACUUUUAUUUUCUGUUUCAAACAUCAGAAUUAUAAAGAAAUACUCCUUGUUUUAAACAAAAAUAACAUAUUUUUGUUUUGGAUGUUUGUAGUUUCAUUUUUAACAUAUGUUCCUUGGGUGAACACAAGAAAUGUUUUCCAAUGUUAUUACGGAUAUAAAAAAAAAUCAGGUGUUUUAUAUAUACAAAAAUAAUAUGUUAUUUUCUUUAGCUGUGAUUCAAAUGGUCUCUCCGUUGAGAUUGUAGCGUGUUGAAAACCUUUGAGAUGACUAUUAAUGCAUCAAUAAGUUGGAAGUCAAAAUGUCGGGUUGCAAGCUCGGAAUCGGACACUCUGUAUGGAUCACAGCGACGCCUCUCCAUUAGCUUUCCAGCCUUCUCCAACUUGUUCUUCUUUCCACCACGGAAAUAGGAUUCUCGAGUUGCCUUGUCGGAAGGACAAGUAUCCAAUAAUAUCUCAAUCCGAUUGGAUCCAAUAAUACUUCUUUAUAGAUACCAUGGGGGGCAGGUGGUCUUCAUAUGGCAUCUGAUAAAAGUCAUCCUCUUCCAAAGGUGUAUGCUAUUGUGGUCAAAUUCGAUGGUCAUUCGAGUUGAACCGCUAUCUACAGUGAGCCUUUAAUCUGGCAAUUAACAUUGUUGGAGCUCUUUGAAGGUCGUCCUUUGCCUACGGAGCUCCGCGAACCCCGGGCUUUUGUAAACCAAGUCAAACACGAAAUGGUCAACCCCACACACGUGUCAACUGUACACUAAGAGCCGACAAAUUGGAAGCGUGUGAUGGGUUGUUGCUUCUAUAUGUUUGAUUCAAUGGCGGUGCUUUGGAUCAUCUCAUGUUGGGUUGAUUCGUUGACUAGGAUCGAAGACAAUGGAGACCAACACAUCAUGACCACCGACUCAUCCAAUUUGUAUUUUAUUAGCACGGAACAGUUGACUAUGGGGUAAAAAUCAAAGUAGGAUAGCUAGCUAGCAUCAAUGAAGUUCUCCCCAUGAUGCUCGCAUUAGCAGAGAAAGAACAUGAGCAGUGGAAAUCCAUUCUCUUACUAUCAAAUCUACGUAUGCAUGCAACGACGCCUCGUGAACGCCAACGUCAACGCUCACGACAUGUUGUGGUCCGAACAGUUGCUCUACAGUACUUCGUGUUGGUGGUGAUGAUAACAAGUGCAGGGAAAUGCAACACCAUCGAAUCGAACGGAUGAACGAUAAUGCUGCAACCAUAAGCCGCUUCCUCGGUGGCUGCCCCCAUGGUCAACUGUUGAGUUUGUACUGUGCUAAGAACACACGAAUUGGAUGAUGUGUUGGUCUCCAUUGCACUCGAUCCUAGUCAUAGAUAUAUAUAUGUUGUGUGGUCGAAGUUGGUGCGCAUAUCGAUUUCUUCUCCCUCCACGACAUUGGAACCACUUACAAGGAUGGAUGGAAGUAUUCAGCGAUUGGUUGAGGAAUAUAAAGGACUCGUGGUGGGGAAGGCAUUAGUUUUGACCGCAAUAACUUGUCAAAGCUUCUUUAUGGUUGGCUGGCAAAUUUAGUGAGCCCUUUUCAUGUCUUCCUAUGUCGACGGCUUUUGGUUUUUGGUUUUCAUGAUUACUGUUGAAACAUAGACUAUAGAUUCGACAGAUGAUGGUUUUCAUUUUCACCAUCUUUUAUACUGGUCUGUUUCGGGGUUGACUAUCUUGGAAGCCCAACAUGCAUGAACAUCCAAUCAGAUAAGAGUAUGGCUGGCUUUAGUCUCUUUCUAUGAUCAUAGACAUGUAGGUAUAUGGUCUUGAGCUCUUUCCUCUUGCUUUCCUGAUCAUGUUCUUAAUUGCUCCAUUGUUUAUAUUCAUGCUUUCAUACGUGUUCGAGUUGUAUUUUUUCUAACAGUGAUAAUUUAAUUAGAUCUACAUCGAAAAUGAACAAGAUUAAGAUUGAUUUAUAAAGGUCUAUUAAGUAUAUUAUUUAAAUUUUACUUUGAUCGGUGUUGGUAAAUGAACAGAUGAUGAUACCAAAGGCUAAUUCAAAAGGAUGUAAUGUUGUGCUUACAAACAUGUUCAAAGUGUUAUGAAAUGUCGAGGAUGGUCAAAGUCAAACGGGUGUUUGGUUGCUUGCAAGUGGAUUGUUUGCUUGCAGUAUAUUGACACGCAAUUAGAUAGAUCCCUAAGUGGACUUUCGAGGUUAAAAGACCACAUGAUUCAUUUGUUAGCUAUGAUGUAAUUGAAAGUUGGAUUCGAAUGCUCUUUUCGUUCUUUCACGUUUUGCCUUGUCAUCAAUGAUCAAAGAUCUUUUUGAAAUCAGUCAUCUCGAAUUUUGACAAUUUGAAGACAUCCAAGGAGGAUUCCAACAAGACUUAAUAACACUAAAUAGCUCACAAUAAUCAAUCCAAAAAAUUAAAAAUGUGUUUGUUAUUACUAUGAGCAUCACAAACAUUAAACGUGAUAGAACAAUGAUAGAAAGACUUUUAAAAUUUUAAAAUUUAAAUUUGUGUUUACGAUUACUACGAGCAUCACAAACAUUAAAGGACAAUGAUUAGAAAACAAUCAUGAAAGAUGGGACCUUGAAGUUGAAAAAUAGACUCGUCGAUAGUAUUAUCAUGCGGAAUCAAUCUUACCAAUCUCUUAUUCAAAUAAAAUUGAUUAAUUUAGAAGUAAUUUUGUAUAUUAUAAGUUGCCACAUAGUGACAUACUGAAUAAUUCAGAUCAUGUUCCCUAAUAUACUUAAGAAAAAAUAAAAAAUAGUAAAUAUUAAAUAUUAAUUAUGAUUAAAGAUUCUAAAUCAUGAAAUGAUUAUAUAAAGAUUGAUCUUCAUGAGGAUGGAAUCAUAUCAAUCAAUAAUAUUAUUUUUUUAAAGAAAAUAUCAAAUUAUAUAUUUGAUUUGAAUCAAUUAUUUUUAUUUAUUUUUUACUUUUUUUUUCUUUUGUUUUCUUAUACUUUAGCCUAUAAAAGAGGCAUAAAUAUUUGUAAAGGAAAUCAAUCGCAAGUGGAUCAAUCAAAUAAAUUUGGUAUGAGACAAUAUUUAUUUUUCGAUAGUAUGAUUCCACAAGACGUGCCAAGGUAUAAGACCUUCAUCCUAAAAAAUUUUUUUUAGCGAGCGAUAGUUAUUAAUUUAUUAUCUUAUUAUCUUUUAGAUACUAUUUUCUAUUCAUAUCUUUAAUAUUUCUCUAUUAUCAAAAAAAUAUUAUAUCACUCGAGAGAGUGUUCAAACUAACUUGAAGGUAUAAUUACGUUACAAGAACUACGUUUCCUUAAGCAUUUUCAGAUAUGAAUAUGAAACUUCUUCCACCUAAGUUUAACCGAAAUAUUCUAUUAUCAAGAUUUAUUCAUAUCUUAAUUAUGAAAACAUAUGAUGUGGAACCAAUAUUAUUUAUUUUUAUUUAAAUAAAAUUGAUUAAUUUACAUAUCAUAAGUUGUCAUAGGAUAACAUACUAAAUAAUUUUAUUCAAGUUUCUUAGUUUAUUAAGGAAGAAGAAAAUAUAGAAAGAAUUUAAGAAAAAUCAUAAUUAUGAUUAAAUAUUUAAAAUCCUAACGGAAGAUUUUGCUAAUAAAUCAUAUAUUUGAUUUGAUUCAUUUUAUUUUUUUUCCUUUUAUUUUUUCUUUUAUUGUAUUUAGUCUAUAAAAAAGGGUAAGUAAGAUAUUAUAAUAAAAAUCAAUCAAAGAUGAAUCAAUGGAAUAAGUUAUUUUAUUAUUUUAUUAUCCCGAGUGAGUGAUACAAGACCAACAUGAGAUCAUUUCUGAUAAUAUGAUUCUAAUAUACAAAAGUAAUCCCGAGAGUAUUCUUCUUAAGUCAGAGUAAAUAUGAUAAUUAUUCAUUUAUUUUUUAAUAUCUUUCGUAUCUCUCUUUUUUAUAUUUUUCUAUUGUCAUAAAAAAUAUUUUAUUGCUCACAUCAUAAGUCACGUUACAAACACAUUAAAAAAAUACGAUCGAAACAUCCAAAUCGACCUUAUAUGUUGUUACACCAAGUAAAAUUAUAAUCAUCGAAACCUAAAAUAUAGUUAAAACUCCCCAAAAUAAUCAUAGAGUACCAGAGAAAUCAAAAGAAAUGGAAUCAUUCCAAAGAGAAUUGCAAACUAAAACACGCAUUACUUGCAUAAAUAACAUACACUAACCAAGACUUAUCUUUAGAAAAUUGAUGAAUGAAAAGUUAGCACCUUAACAUUUGUGACACGAUAGUCGGGUGAGCAACACUCCUCCAACCUCGCCCAAAGCAGGAUGCUGCUGCCUUCUCUACCGAGGACUUAAGACAAAUGUGUUUCCUACUACAACACAAUGACAUGAGGCUUAUAUUGACUUCUUAGCUUAGUGAGAUAAUCCGUAACAUGCCUUCUUCUAAGGUCUCUCUACGAUACCGGCUAAGAACAAUCAUAAGCUAAGCUAGGAGGAAUGAGGAGAGGAGGAGAAAACAUGCUCAAUGUUCUUUAUAACAUCAGUCGAUGGCUGGCUGGUCUUUCUCUUUUUAUGCUUCGAUCGAUCAUCCCUCUCGUGCCUAUGACCAAGUUACUCCAAUUCAAAUAUAAAAUCUACAGUAUUGUCGAAGAGAACUAGACUCAUCUUUAAUUUAAUUAAUAGAUUACGGACAAGAAGAGAUAAGAGAAGAUAUAUAAUCUCGAAAAAAAUAAAAAAUUAUAAUCUCUAAAAAAUAUUCACGUCUCCACUUUGAGUUCCUAAAAGAUACUAUUAUUUAUGAUAAAUAAUUAAAAAAUUAUUCUCAUCAAGAUGAUCUUGUAAAAAAUUCUAUCAUAAUUAAAAUUUUUUACUGAUAAUUAUCAUUAGAUACUAAUUAAAUAUAUAAUAUAUUUUUUUUUAUCAAAUUAGAUAAAACUAAAUAAUCUGCUUUAAUUUUUCCCUUCCAAUGCGACAAAUCUCAAGGCUUAAUUGUCAUCGUUUUAUCUGCACUCUGUACUCUCUUAUACUAUUAUUUGGGCCGUGCAUAUUUGGAUCCACGGCCCAAAUCUCCUUGAUGUUUCAUCCUCACCGCGUGAUCGAAGAGCCUUCCAACCUUGCCAGGUGCGUUGCCGUCCACAGAGUGCCGUGCUUUAGUGGUGUUGACACGGUCCACCAAUUUGUGCCCUCCACAACCACAGUGGAACCAAACUAUCUUUUCAAGAGCAUUACGUGUUAAAAUAUGGGUUCAUUUGAUGUCAAUUUCUCACUUUAUUUUUGUAGAAAUUAAUUUUUUUUAAAAUCUUAAUAUGGAUGAUUUUACCUCAUGUCAACUCAUCUGUCACGGAGACUAAUACUUAAGCAGGACUCUAAGUCAUCAACCCAAAAUGAUACAGUAAUGCAUCUCGACGUGUCCCGCAUCAAUAACUGACAAUGAUCGUCCUACCUUAUCAAGAUCAUAGAAUAAUCAGACGAUUCACUUAAUUUCGUUCAAGAGCAACAAAUAAGAAGGCACAUGAAUUAAGUCUAAAAAGAAGAGGAAACUAUUUAUACACUAAAUUAAUUAUAUAGUUUAUAUUACUAUUUUUUUUACUAAUUUAAGCAUCAGAGGGAUUGUAUCAAAUAACCUUCAACAUCGACCUGUCAUAUAUGAUCGUUGAUCGCUUAACGACACACGAUUUCCAAUUAGACGAUUUCACCCCAAAAAAAAAAAAAAACACGAAUAAACUUGCACCUUAGGUAAUAAAUGAAUCAUACUAUGAUUCUCGUAACAUCACACCUAAAUUCAUGCUUUGCUGAGGAAAUUAGGAAAUUCGAGAGAAGUCUAGAAUCUCAUCAAGGUGACAUGACAAGCGGGCAAAGUCCCACUCAAUGUGUGGUGUAGAAUGUCAUACUUUCUAUUACCGUGGGACAUACUUUGACUUAGUCGUCCAAUGCCUUUGAUGCACUGUAGCCGACAGGAUAGACGAGCUCUGCAAUGAACAUCCCAACGUCCAGAAAAUAACACAUCUCUCCUCUCCUCUCCUCUCCUGCUUACAGCAAGAAAAACCUAUUCUUACAACCAGCAAAUGAGUUCACAGAGCCUGUCGAUCAUGCAGUCAACUGCAUCCAACAACGUAAAAACCUGAAAGGAUCAGCUGACGAUAUCAUAUCUGACAGUGGUUGCAAACAGUAUCCACACCGCUCGGAUGAGAAGUGAAAUGUGAAUCGAGCCUGAUUAUGAUUGGAUUUGAUCGUGGAAGAUCUAUUUCAGAUGCGACGACAGGUAUAAUAAAAAUCUAGUCGGGUCAACAAAUCGAGUUAUGGCGUGCGGCCUUUUCUUCGUCUUAGACCAACUUGGAUAGAGAGCCAUGCCAUGGACAAGUCUGAUCUUUCUCCCACCUGCACGGCAUCUGCCUGAAGCUUCUGCCUUCUGAGGCGCUUGCGAAGACCGCAGAAACAGAUAAAAACCACAGCAGUUGACUCCGAUGGAAGACCGAAUAGCUUAACCAAUAGAAAGCGAGUCGCCUUCCCGAUGGCGGUUUCGUCGCCUUUCCUCCUCGCAGUCAAACUUUCUUCCUCCUCUUACGUAUCUUUCAAGCAAUCGACACCCACCAAACCCUAGCCUCGACCUCCCGAUUGCCAUCGACCGCGGCCAUGGAGGUCGGUCUCCAGGUGCUGAUCGCCGCCGCCGCCAGCUUCCUCUUCGUCGCCCUUCUCAUCGGGAGCCUGUUCCUCGUCUGCCGCGGCCGGGCCAAGCCCCGACCUUUCGGCUCCCAGAUCGCCUCCGACGUCGAGGGGGCGCCCGACUUCCGCUCGCUGGACCGCCUGCGCUCCUCGUCGUCCCACUCCGGCGCCGGGGACGAGAGCAGCGCGUCGUACGACCCGUCGCUGGACCGGAUCUCCAUGUCGGAGCUGAUCGCCGCGACGAGGAACUUCGCGCCCGACGGCAUCAUCGGGGACGGCAGCUUCGGGUUCGUCUACAAGGCCCAGCUGUCGUCGGGCGCCACGGUCGCGGUGAAGCGGUUGUCCGCCGACGCCGUUCACGGCGUGCGGGAGUUCCGAGCGGAGAUGGACACCCUGGGGCGGAUCCGGCACCCGAACCUGGCGCGCAUGCUGGGGUUCUGCGUCGCCGGCCGCGACCACGUGCUCAUCUACGAGUACCUGGAGAACGGCAGCCUGGACCAGUGGCUGCACGAGCCGGACGCCGAGGGGCGCCCGCGGCGGCUGCCAUGGCCGGCUCGGGUGAGGAUCAUGCGAGGUGUGGCGGCGGGGUUGGCGUUCCUGCACGACGGCUGCCGGCCGGCGGUGAUCCACCGCGACAUCAAGGCCAGCAACGUGCUGCUCGACGAGGGCUUCGAGGCGCGGAUCACCGACUUCGGGCUGGCGCGGGUGGUGGAGGCGCCCCGGACCCACGUCUCGACGCAGGCGGCGGGGACGAUGGGGUACAUGGCGCCGGAGAACCGGGAGGGGGCAACAGCGGUCACGCCCAUGGCGGACGUCUACAGCUUCGGAAUACUGAUGCUGGAGGUGGCGACGGGGCAGCGGCCUAACCUGACGGUGCGACCGGAGGGCGGCGCCGGGGGGGAGGUCGGGCUGGCGCGGUGGGCCCGGGGGAUGGUGGAGCAGGGGCGGGGCCCGGAGGUCCUGGACCGCGAGAUGGGGGAGGCAGAGACGAUGGAGAGCCAGGUGCGGGGUUUCCUGGACGUGGCCUACCGCUGCACCGAGGAUGGACCCCGCGACAGGCCCGCCAUGAUCGAGGUAGUCGCUGCUCUGGCCCAGCUCUGAGACACCAGGAAAAGACGUUUCUAUCCAUGUUCCUUAUCUCGUUUCACUGUACCCAUGACACCGAACAAGGAAUAUACAAUUCAUCCACUCUGUUAAUUGUUCAUAGACGUUAAUAGCUACAUAGAUAGAUCGUAUCAUUCAUUAUAUAUAUAUUUAUAUAUAUUCACGCAAUUUAUUCAUGCGAUUGUUUUAAGUUAGUGUUUAUUUUCCUUUUGUACUAUUUCAUCUUAAAUAUAAUGGGGCAUUUUAUCCAAAAAAAAAAAAAAAACCCUUGAUGUGUUUUUUUUAUGGAUGACCCCCUUAUUCGUUUGAAUUUUAAUAGUCGUAAUCUUAUUUUCCACUAUUGAUAAUCCAUUGCUAUAGACAAUCCCUUAAAAAUAUUAUUUAUUAUUUAUAAUUAUGGUAUAAAUGAUUUUAUCACUUUCUUUUUUUCUUCUUUAUAACCUUGUAUUUCAUCCUCGCUAUCAAUGUCGUCGCUUGUUGACGACAUUAUCGUCAACCCUAUUCGUUGCGGACGUCGCUCAUCACCCCCUUCGACAUUGUUCACUGUCAACACUUGACAUCACUCAAUGUCGUUCGAACCCACUCGUCAUUGAUGUCAUUCGAUCCUACUCAUCGACCUCUCGAUACUUUAAAGAACAAGAAGAAUAAAGUAUUUAUGUCCACUUACUAAAGGAUAGUUCAAUAGUAAUAAAAAAAAAAUAAAUUAUGAUAAUAAAUAAUAAAAAAACUAUAAAUUAAAAUUUUUAUUUAAUAAUAAUAUAAUAUUAUUUUAUUAUUUACAACCCUAGUAUUAUCGAUUUUUUUUUUCCAUCGCUAUCGACACCAUUCCCUAUCAACAUAAUUGAUGCUAACCCCACUUGUUGUGGAUGUCACUCAACCCUCUUUGAUGCCUCUUCACUUGUUGUGGGCACUGUUGACGCUCGCACGAUGAGCCCUCAUCGCUCGCUAUAGGUGUAGUUGGAAACGAUAUGAAGGAGGAAGAGGAGGAUAUUUAUGUUCAUUUAUAAAAGAAUAGUUUACAAUUGAUUAAAAUAUUUAAAAUAGGAUUGUAUAUAAUAAAAAUAGGUUACAAAUAGUAAUCUCCUUUCAUUUUUACUUGGGGGAAUUAAUUUUUUUUUAUAAACACUAAAAAAGUAUAAACCAAACCAAAUUCAACCUGUUGUAUUUGAACUACUUUGGAUUACACUGCAAUCGAGUCUAACCCUAACUCUAGUGUAAUUAUAGCGAAUGGUGGGUGACGACAUCUCAUUUGCUUUCUUUCCUCUGAUGUCUCCUCGGUGACGAUGUUUCUCCAAAACCAACGUUAUACUUAUGCUUACCAUUUAUAAUUGAAUGAUAAAAUUAAAUACUAAUUAUUGUAAUUAAUACUAUAGCUAGUAGAGUGCCAUUAAUUUGUAAGAAUCAUCAACCCAUGUUAAGACGAUCUCGACUCUUAAAAAAAUUAAGACAAAUCAUAAGAUAAAAGACUAUAAUCUAUAUUAUAUUUAUAUUUAUUUUUGAACAUUAGAUGUUUCAAAACAUUAGCAUCGAGGAGACAUCGAGAGGAGACAUGAGUGUUAAGGAAGGAAAGCCAACAAGAUAUCAUCGUCUAUCCUUUGUUACAGUUAUACUAGGGUUACACUCGGUUGUAAUGUAACUCAAAUUAUCUAAUGAGAGAAUUUUAAUUAAAUUAAUUUAAAAUUAAUUUAAUUUUAAACAAUUCAGAUGCAUAUGGUCAAUUUGAUUUUAGUUCAUGAGAUUUUUUGUCAUUUAUACAAAAAAAAAUGGUGUAAGAGAUAAUGAGAUUUAAUUAUGAGUUUGCUUAAUCAUAUUGGACUCUUACACAAUACGGAUAAAGUAUUUUCUUCUUUACUCGUAUUCACUAUUAACACUUCAUUAUAUUUUCUUUGAAAAGUAUAUAUUCGACAACCAUCCUUUCUCUCUAAAGUUAUCUCUGUCUUUAAGGAUGAUUCCUCUUCCACUAAUCUUGUGGUCACUCCCCAUCCACCAUCCAAUCAGGAUGCUAACUUUGUAGAGCACUACUAAUUAACUCUUUUUCUAAUAUAAUGUUUUCUUAGAGGUUCUAUAUUCUGCUUUGGUAAUCGUGAUAGAUACACAAUUCCUCUUCCACUAAUUAACAUGUUAAAGAUCAUGUUAUUUUGCUAAUCAAUUCUGUGGUGAAAUUUGAUUGCAUGGAACUCAUCUACAUACUUAAUCGUUUUACGUCUGCUGCUUGAUCACUUAUGGAUGUAAUUAUUUGAGCUCAUAUCAAUCGUUCAAGAAAUAUCGUAAAUUGCUGUGCUCGAAUUCUGUCUUUAUUGUUUAUCAUUCAUAAAAAUUAAUAAAACUAAAACUAUAUUCUAACGUUGAGCAAAACCUCCCAAUUAUAGGAAUCGAUCCUCGAUGCCUAAACAGGGAUCAGACUCCCACACUUUGAAUCCACCCAUUUCCAUUAUUCCGCAUAAUUAACUUAACCAUCGAAGAGGUCAGGAGGUCAGGUCAGGAAAUCUCUCCCAAUGUCAACUUUUGUGUAGGAUCCCUGAGGAGAUCUAAACCUACGUCAGCCUAGCUUUGGAACCAUCUCGGAUACUCGAAGUCCAUCUCGGAUCCACCUCAACUAACACAUCUCUAACAGUAACUCCCUCGCCUGAUCAUUAUGAGAGUCAUUUGGAUGACUUUGCAUCUUCAAUAUCAGAUCAAGUUUUGUUUGAGUUCUGGUUGAGGACAUCAAAACAAUAACAAGCAAAAAUUUCAUAAGAGAACCAGAUAGGUAUAUGUCUAGAAACACUUCAUAAUUAAAAAUUCUUAUUAUAUAUAAUAACUCACAACUAUGAGACAUUUCAUUUAUAUAUUUUUCUUUUUUUUUUAAUUUGAAGCAUUACAUUACCUCAUGCUUAUAGAAGAAACUAACAACUUCACUUUAACCAAUGAAAUAACUCUUUAAAAUGAUCACGUAUCUAAUUAUAAAAUUUAAUUCAAUAUUUCAUCAUGCAAACCAAAGAGAAAAGUAUGGCUUAUGUAAUUGUAUAUUAGUUCAUAAGUAUUGGAUCCAAUCAUCCCACGUGGCCGAUGGGGGACAAAAUGUCCCUUUCUGAAGGAAUGGAGGGCAAUACUGUCCAUUCAAUCGGAAUCAGCCCACCUCUUCAAUUCAAUUUACGAAGAAAAAGACCUCCGGUUCAAUUAAUUGAACCGAGUGGUUAAAUUGCCGACCAGACUCGUCCGACUCGAUCUCCGGUCCGGUUCUCAUCCCGUGGCGUUUCGUGAAGGAUCGCAGACCCUCUCCGUCUCCGAUCCAUUUCCCCACGCCAGAGAUCGAAGGAGUGGCGAGGGGAAGAGGAGGAGGAGACUAUGGCCUCCGCCGAUCUGAUCAGAUCUUGUAUCGACUCCAUUCGCCAGGUAAUGAAAAGGUCGCUUCCCUUGUAAAUUUCUUCUUCUGCUCCUCCUCAGUUGCUAUUUAGGAUUAACUUCGUAUUUCCUUGUUAUGUCAAAGAUAAGACUAGAAUUGGAUCGGAUUCAUAACGAAGGUGAUAGAUGAGAACUGUUGUUAUGUGAUGCCUGCGUAUUAUUAUUAUUAUUAUUAUUAUUAUUAUGCGAUCUGCAGUUUUGUUACUGUAGAAUGCAUGUGGCGCGGUGCUGCGCUUGCGAACAUUUCUGCUUAGGUUAUUGAAUUCUUAUGGAUUUAGGUAUGUCGACUGAGAGCAGACUAUCUUGGGGGGCAUUCCAGUAGGUUCUUCUUUUGCUAACCGUGUUCUGGCAGUGUACCUCUUUUGUUCUUUUACUUCUCUUGAGUUGGUGUUAUUGCCAGUGUUGCCUUACUCGAUUUAGGGGCAAAAGACUUUGCAUGCCGGUGAAUGAUAUAUUCGUUGAACAGAUUGAUACUAAUUGAUUCUCUUUUGGCAAUUGGCUCUUGCAGAGAUGACACUUAGCUAGGAUGAGUUUUGGGAAAAUUUUAGCCUGUUGAUGUUGCUUGUAACUGCAGAGAUUUGAUGAGCUAUAAAGGAUAAUUUUAUAUCAAUACCAUUCAGACAUAAAAUCAAGUCUUUUAUGACAAAGAAAUUAGGAUAUUGUGCAAUACUCGGUUAUAAUUUCUCUAGCAAAGGUGUAUAAGAACACCUUUCAAUUUUCUUGUUUCUUCAUGAUAAUAUAUCCUUAAUGGUUAGUAUAUAACGAGGGGCAAUUGUUUUUGGGGAAAUCCCAAAUAGAUGAUAACUUCCAUAUUUAAAGUUUGUACAUGAAAACAUCUCUGUCCCAAAAUGCAAUAUAAACUUAAUAGUAUUAUGGUUUUUGUCAUACAUAAGUGCCCUGCCAAAACAAUCUAAGUCAAGAAUAACAUCAUAGCAUUGAGAUAAUUAGCUACUUAAUGCUUAUUAAUGAAAAUGCAAUUCUCAUAUCAUGUUGGAGAAGAUGUUAUUGUGUUUUCUUUCAAUUAAUUCAUUGCUUACUUUUUUUUUUCCUAACAUGGUUUGAACUUUGAACUGUGGUGUUAGAAUGAACUACAACGACAGUUUCAGUGUCUUUGGGGUUUGCGACAAGAAAUAAUGAUAAGUAAUAAUAUUGAAAGUAAUAAUAUUUCAAAUAUUGUUAUAUAAAAAAAUUGUGAAGUACUAAAAAAUUAAAAGCUUCUGGGUAAUGUUUUUUGGUUUGUAUAUGCCAUAGGGAAUAUCAUUGCUACAAUGAUACUUGUAAAAUUUAUAAAUUAAAAAAAAAAAGCCUUGGCUGCCCUGGCUUACAUAGUGUCAUGUGUUUGGUACAUGUUUAUUUCACAGUUACCAGAACAACCUAACUAAAUGGCUCGAGAAAAAAGUAUCGUUGUGUCUUUUUUUUUUUUUCUAUUUUUGGUCUCCCAUUUCAGAGUACCUAAGUUAGGCAUUGUUUGAGACAAAUUCACAGUAGAGGACUAUUGAAUUUUAUGACAGAAAACUAACAUAUUUCACUACAGGAAUGUAUGAGACAAAAUUCUUUCUAUUUGCUAGCUACAUACUUUCAAUUUAUGGAAAUGAUCCUUUUUUUUGUUUUCAUACUUUCAGAUUUCAGAUCAACUUGCAGACUCCAUUCUUUAUCUUGAUGCGGGUUGUCUAGAGGCUUUCCAUUUCAUUGGAGCAUUCCCAGUUUUAUUGGAACUUGGAGUGCAUGCUGUUUGCAGCUUAGAAAAUGCAUCUCCACUUGAUAUGGUAAUGCUAAAUAGCCAUUACUAUUCAGUUUGCAGUUUAAUGUUCUUAGUUUCUCCAUGUGAAUAAUGAUGUAUGAUUGUAUGCUAAUAUUGUAAAAAGUGCACAUCGUCACAUGGUUUGUGUUCCAUCAAAAAGUUUGUCUGAAUCUGUCACUUAAGUUAGUUACUCCUUUUGGAAUUGAUGUUCUUAUAUUGCAUUUUGGUGCACUUGAUCACGAUUGCAGACUACAAAUAUUCUUUGUUGUAUUCUAUCAAAUAUAUACCUUUUAAUUUCUUCUUCUUUUAUCUAUAUUGCAGACUACGAGUUGGAACUCAAUGUUUGUGGGUCCUACAAGGAAGGUUGUAAUUAUUACCUCACGUCUCCUUAGUGAUGCACAUCGGUACAUAUUACGUUGCUUGGGUACCAACAGAACUGUUCUUCGAUGUAUUAUUUUUACUUCUAUCUCAGAGGUGCAGUCUUCAGUCCUAAACUGACUUGGUAAAUUAAGUUUCCAUAGGUGAUUAAUAAGGUUACAUUAAGAAUAAUAAACAUUCUUUCUUCUACUAUAUAAGAGCAAAUACCUUUUGCUUAUAGUGACAUUGUUGCAUGAUCUUCAUCUGGAAGCUGUUCAUUAUAUUUCUUCAGUGAAUUGCGAGCAUGAUUUGAAUAAUAUAAGCCACUACAUCAAGAAACUGCCUUAUGCAUUCCUUUGGUCUCCUUCAUUGUUUGUGUUAUGCUUUCUACCUGAUUAUAAUUUGAUCCUGUAUUAACUAGUCGUUUUUCAACUCUUUCCUAGUGUCACAUGGACUAGGCUCUCUUGGUUUUUAUUUAUUUAUUUAUUUUUGUUAUACUGUCAAUCCUUAUUUCUGCUCGUUACUUUCAGAUUGCUCAUUCAGCAUACAUCGAUUCACCUCUUGGGCCUGAUGCCUUUAAUGAAUAUGAGUCAUUGCUUAUUCAAGACUAUGAAGAGCUCUUGAAAAAAUCUGGAAAAAGGGGACUUCACUUUCAUCAAGAGAGAGAAGCAGAGGCUUCUGAAAAUGAUGGUUGGGCAGAUCUUGCUUCUGGUGCAAGUUAUCAAUCUGUUGAAGCUAGCUCCAAAGGAGACAUAUAUGCUGAUGAUUUGGUCAAUGUUACAGGAAAACAAGAGUCCAAAAAGUUGCUCGUUUCUGUUCAUCACUUCCCAAUGAUCUUGUGUCCUCUUUCCCCUCGAGUCUUUGUUUUGCCUUCAGAAGGAACAGUUGCAGAAGCAUGCUUGUCAAAUGACUCUGAUGAUUCUGUUAGUCCUGGAUUGCCCUCUAUUUCUACUGGAUUACCUUCUGAUGGUGAAGAUGUUCCUCCUGGUGCAACACUUACUGCUAAUUUCCUUUACCAUCUUGCAGCAAAGGUAGGUUUUAUUGCCAUUAUUCUUAAUUAUUAUGUUAAUUAUGACUCUUUAUUUUUUUCAUUUAUCUAGUUAAAUUAUGAUUGAUAGUUGUCUUCUACCAUAUUACUUGCUCCAUCUAUGGUUUUUGAAAAUGUUCAGAUGGAUUUGAAGAUGGAAAUAUUUUCUCUAGGAGAUACAUCAAGACUCAUUGGCAAGAUGUUGAUGGACAUGUCAAGUCUGUAUGAUGUAGGUCGGCGUAAUAAAAGAUCAGCUGGUUUGUUACUUAUUGAUCGCACCCUUGAUCUUCUUACACCCUGCUGCCAUGGUGACUCAUUUCUCGAUCGACUGUUUUGCUCUUUGCCUCGUAGAGAGAGGAUCUCAUCUUCUUUACCAGCUAAAAGCUCCCCAGCACCAAAACUAGGUACCCACAUUAAAGUUCAACGUGCACCACUUGAUAUACGGAUUCCAUUUGGAACUAUUUUCAGUACAGAUGAACAUGCAACGAACAGCACUCAGCUAUCUGAAGGAAUUGGAGCUUUUAUAUCAGGCUGGAACGCUGGUGCAAUUGUCAACGAAUCUUCUGAUCAUGCCGACAAAAUUAUCACUAGUGCGUUAGAUAAUGGAUAUAGUUUGCUGAGUGGAUCAUUUCAAUCUAAUUGUGCAGGAGCAAACUAUCUUGAAACCUUGCUUGAUAGAAGGGCAAAAGAUGGGGCAAUUCUAAUAAAGAAAUGGCUCUUGGAAACUCUGCAGCAUGAGAACAUAAAUGUUAAUCUAAAAGGUCGGCCAGGUCUUUUAUCUGCUUCAGAGAUUCAUGCUAUGCUUAAAAGACUGGCUCAAAAUCAGAUGUCUUUAAUUCAAAACAAGGGCAUCAUUCAAUUAGUGUUAGCUGCUGUACUUGCCCUUAGUGAGCCUCAUAACUCCCACUGGGAUGCCUUUGUUAAUGCUGAGAAGAUAUUGUCUAUAACUUCUCUAGACACUAGUCAAAGCCUUUCAAGUCAAAUUCGUGAUUUUAUCAAUACGAGUACUUCAGUAAGAUCUAAUGAACAAGAUAGAAGGGUCCGACCAUCUCAGAAUCUUCUCUCUUUUCAAGAUGCACUGCUUCUGUCAAUGAUCGGGUAUAUUCUAGCUGGGGAAAGCUUUCCGACAUCUGCAUCUAGUGGACCUUUUUCUUGGGAAGAGGAGCAUUCCCUUAAAGAAGCUAUAGUGGAUGCAGUUACGGAAAAUCCAUCAUCUGCAAAGCUUCAGUUCCUCCAUGGUCUAUGUAAUGAACUUGAAGCCAAGUUGAAUGAGCAGGAAGAUUCAGCCAAGCCACCAAAAGUUGAUGCCUUUGAUGAUCAGUGGGGUAGCUGGGAUGAUGAAGAAGCAGAUGAUCAAAAUGAACAAGCAUAUGGUGACAUGCAGCUUAAACUAGAGUUGCGAGAUAGGGUCGAUCAACUAUUCAAAUUCUUUAAUAAGUUAUCUAGUUUGAAGAGGAGAAACUUAACUCUCCGAGAAGGGUUGGUUGCAUCAAGUAAAUAUGGCAGUGAUGCGGACACACGGAAGGGUUUGCUUUAUAAGCUUCUAACAACUUUGUUGGCGAAGUAUGAUGUUCCUGGACUUGAGUACCAUUCAUCUGCAGUAGGGCGGUUUUUGAAGAGUGGGUUUGGUAGAUUUGGCCUUGGACAGGUGGGUCUUUUAUUUACACUUAUUGAAGUUUUGCCAAUAAUCUUAGCUGCAUUAACAUUUAGAAUUAAUUUUUUUCAGGCUAAACCAAGUUUUGGAGAUCAAAGUGUUCUUCUUGUUUUUGUUGUGGGGGGCAUUAAUAAUCUUGAGGUAAAUUUCUUUUCUUUACUUCAUGUGACCAUUUUUUUCCUGAAAAAAUGUUUUACUGUCCAGUAAAUAAGAUUUUUCUUGAAGUCGGAUCCUCAUUUGUUUCUCAAGCAUGGUAGGUAUUCCAUACCCUCACUGUUCUUGCAGAUUGCAUAAAAUUGUUGAGGUGCUUUUUAAUGAAUGGAUCGUUCCUAUUUUGUUUAUAUGGACACUGGAGAAAGCAUUGCGUCAAUUUUUCAUCUUACAUAGAAGUUGAUCUUGUUUGAAUAUUCAAAUUAGUUUUUCAAAUUGUAAUCUGAAGAUGUGUGUUUCACAUUAGUCUUUUUGUAAUUAUCUUGGGCAUCGAUAGCGCUAAUGUCAAGAGAUGUGAUGUAGCAAUUGCAGAUGAUAUGAACCUUUUACUUAACGUCAAUAUUCAUCUCAAUAGUCGACUUACAACUAAUGUCAGUUAUGGUUCUUUUUGAAGUACGUUACCAGACAGCGCUAAUUAACUAACAUACUGAAUUUUUUACUUAUCCAAGAUUCGGGAAGCUAUGGAAGCAGUUGCAGAAUAUGGUAGGCCCGACAUAGAGCUGAUUGUUGGUGGUACAACUUUGCUGACACCAAGUGAUAUGUUUGAUCUUCUCUUGGGCUCUUCCAGCUACAUUUGACAUUGUCUAAGGGCUUCAAAAUUCAAAAUUAGAAGUCCAUUUCUCUCAUUUGAGAUGACAAAUUCACAUGCUAGUCUUCUGGACAAAGCGUGUAGGCUGUCAUCUCUUAAAGCAGAAGUAGUUGCUGUUCCUUUGACUAAUUAUACAGAGUAAGCUUCCUUUUUUCUACUAACCUUUGCGCACACCACCUGUAGAAAAGUUUGAUGGAUAUAUAAUAGGAUGAUUCCACAGAGAGUUUUGUUUGUUUAAGUCAAGAUUCAGGGAGAAAGAUGCCAUGGGUAUCGAACAAGCUGGCAGAGAAACCUGAUUUCAGAUAAAGCUGCGGCCAUAGAGAACGCUCGAGAGGAAAGAAAUCAUGCUGACAUUCAGAUGUUGGUUUAGCGAAACCCGUCUGCAAAGCAAGCUGGCAAAAUCAUGAACCAAGAAAAUUGCUAUCCGGUUGGAAACCUUUUUUGUGGGAACUUGAUUGGUUUUUCCUGGUUCUUCAUGAAUGUAAAGGUUUUGGCACUAUCCCUGCUUCAUCUAGUAUUGCACUAAAUGGUGGAUUGUGGGAGCUCGUGAGGGAUCACCAAACACUUGUAUCAACUUCAAGUGCUGUUUAGGUCAAAUAACCGACUGCAUUGUUCAAUCUCAUGCUUUGAGUUUACUGCUUUUCUUGGUUAGCAGCUUAAAGUUGGUUGUAACUUUUUGAUUUCUGUAGAACCAUUUGUCUUGAGCCUCAUUAGUUUGAUUUGUUCUUAAUAGAUAUUUAUCAUGGGAACUCUCAUUUUUUGGGUGGGCUGGCAGUUCUGUUGUAUCUGGACAAGUUUAUGCCUCCAACUUACUACUCUCUUUCCCAGUUUUGGUAAUGAUGACAAUUUGGCUUGACUUUUACAUGGCAAUUAAUUUAUGAAUAUGAUUAUUGAAAGACAAAAUGAAGGGCAUGUCGUAAUGUGCAUAGAACGUGCAAACUAAUAGUAAAAUACCAAAAGGAAAAAAAUACAUAUAUGCGAACACAUUACUUCAUGAACAAUAUACCAACAGAGAAGGAAGAAAGCAGCCCAAUGAAGAGACAUCUCAUUUAGUGGAUGAGAACCGGGAAGUAGUCAACGCAUUUCUCCCUGUUGACUACUAAUGCAGAAAGAAAAGAAAAGCCAUCACAUCAGAAAGAUCAAUUUAAUGCUAAUAAGAAUUGCAAUUACUGAAGGAGGAGCAGCAGGUCAUCAUCGAUUUGAAACCGUCAACUAUUGAUAGCACUGACGUGCAUAACACGUCCCCAUUUCUUUGUCUCCACUAGAUUGGAGCAGCGAAGAAGGGAAGAAGGCUUGACGUAGUUGUGGUUUUCCUUACAGAGAAGAGAGCAGAAGCAGGAAGAAGAAGAGACCGAAGUUGGCAUCUCGAUCGCCAUGUACACUCACGGGAAGCAUGCCAAGACGGAGUCUGAGACGUCGAGCAUCUCGCUGUCGUCCCCUCCUCCCUCCCCUCCCCGGCCCGCCUACUACGUCCAGAGCCCACUGGAAUACGGCGACAGGGCGACGGCCACAUCGUACCACUCCACACCGGCGCGCCCCCCGACCCACAACCACCAUUCCCGGGAUUCCUUCACCGCCCGCCUCUCGUCGACUCCCGGCACCAGGAAGGUCUCCCUCAACUACGGCGUGACGGGCGCUGAUCGCCACCGGGACGACAUGCCAUGGCGGGACACCGCGGCGAUCGAGGAGGAAAGCCUGCUCCGCGACGGCGAGCAAGAAGAGAAGCGCCUUCCCCGUAGAUUCUACGUCCUCGCGUUCGUCGCGGUGUUCCUCGUCCUCUUCUUCCUCUUCGCGCUGGUCCUGUGGGGCGCCAGUCGCCAUCAGAGCCCGCAGGUCACCAUGAACGUAAUCUCCUCGCCUCUUCGCCCCGUUCUAUGCUUCCAAGCAUUUCGUCGAACACAACCAUAGGUUAAUAACGGAGCGACUCCGCGUUGUCACAGAGCAUCACGUUCGAGGAUUUCUACGUCCAAGCCGGCACCGAUUCCUCCCUCGUGCCCACCGAUCUGCUGACUCUGAACUCGACGGUGAAGCUCACCUACCGCAACACCGGGAGCUUCUUCGGCGUGCACGUGACCUCGACGCCGGUGCUGCUCAACUACUACCAGCUCGCGAUCGCCAGCGGCAGCGUGAGCACGCAUCAUCAUCUCUGCGACUUGAUCUGUGGAUGUCGUGGUUGACUCGGAGUUGCUCGUUUUGCAGAUAGAUUACUUCUACCAAUCCCGGAAGAGUCAGAGGAACCUCCAUGUGGCGGUGAUGAGCAGCAAGCUCCCACUCUACGGCGGCGGGUCGGGUCUCAGCGGCCGGCCAAAUGGUCAACCAGUGAACCUGACCCUCAGCGUCACCGUCAGGUCAAGGGCACACGUGCUGGGAAAACUGGUGAAGCCCAAGUUCUACAGCCAUGUCCGGUGUGCUAUUGUGAUGGACCAGACCAGGUUGGACACGCCUGUGUCUCUCAAGAACUCAUGCCAGUACAGUUGAAAGCACACAGCAAGCUCGAGAUAAAUGUGUAUUGGAGGAAGACUUCACAUAGAGGAGGAAGAAGAAGGAUUGGAUUCAUUCUCUUUUGUUCUUACAUGGGUUAUAGAUCUUUGAAUACAUUUUGUAUACGAUUCUGUGUUCUUCUUCUAAUAAAGAAAGCUUUUUUUCUGAAACAAAAAUGUCAGCUAUAUGUACAUGCCAUCCUCACUUCAUCAGCAUAUUGUUGUAGAGAGUUGAUGCAGAUAUGUCAAAGAAGACUCAUUCAACUAAGUAGCUCGAUUGCUUUGAAACACUCCUCUUUUGAUGCUUUUCUUCUACAUGAGGAGUGGUUAGCACGAUUUGGAGGAAGUCAAUUUACCACUUAAAUAGAUGUUUAGGUGCAACUGCAUGUCUACGCAUUGGUUGCGUGCAACAUUGUCUAAAAGAUGUACUAUGACCAAUACAUAUCAUGACCGACACUUGAUAUCGAAUUAAAGAAGAAUAUUUGAAUUUAGAAUUAUUAAUGACUGAAAUAUCAAGAUUGAAUGCACAAUAAAAAGAUUGGAUAACUCAUCAUCACUAUCUUCAAUCCUAAUUCUCACGGGCAUACCUCGGAUUCUUGCAAUCAUCAGUCAUUUAGCAUUCUUUAGCUUCUGAGCUGAUGUAAGGGAAUAUGAUCUAAUCAAACUCUUUUUAGAUUUCGUAUUGAAUUAAAUCAUUUGAACCGAUUUAUUAACUUAAAUAUCGAACGGGUUUUGUCGGAUAGUGAUAGAUAAAAUUCUAAACAGGAUGUUUGAUAUAAUACUUAUGUAUGACUGUGUCUUUUGAUUUGUUCAUGCUUUGCACAACAUAUAGAGGGACGAUCGAAGGUUUAACUGUUUCAUUUUAGUUGGGUUUAGUGGCCGAUCUAAGAUUGUAAAUAAAGGUUAUAUUAUGUAGACACUUGUGAUAGAUAUUCAGUCUGUAGUGAACCAUUUUAACCUUUUGUUGUGUAACCGUUCAAAGCUUGUAAAGUUUGUUUGUAAUUUACAUUAACUAUGAAGUAUUUUCUGAAAUGUUUGCUCAUGGAUCCUGAGUGAGGCACUUUCUCUAACCCGUUUUCUCUUUUGUAGGUCCUAAGGGACUAUGGGAGUUUUCGGGGAGGUUGACCUUUGUAGACGGACAUGUAAGGGUGUCGCACAACUUAGACAAAAUCAGCUAAGUCUGUGACAUAUGGUCUUAGAACGGGACAAGCAUUCAUAGAAACACUUAGCAUACAAACGUGGGGGACUUAGCGGGGUAGCGUUGAGGGCAGCUAGCACGCGCGACCGUUUCGAGGAAAACAUGUAUGAAGAUGUAGGGAAAAGGAGUCGCUCAGAGGAGCGGGCAUCUGAGAUUGACAUUCAGAGGAAUGAUCAACCCUUCGCGCAAGAGGCACCACAAGGGCAAGCAAGUUGGGAAGAAUACAUAGCGCACAAAGAUUGGGAUGACUAAGUUCGAGCUAUGACUCGACGUUGACAACCAUACUUGAUGGUGCUCAAGACAAAUAAGGCGCUUGGUAAAGGAUGAGACCAGGUAAGAUGGAAUGAGUUGCUCAGCGAUUGAAAGAGUUAUGCAAAACUCACAAAAGUGAGGAAAAUUGCUAACUCAAAGAAUUCGGUACUCAUGCAAGGGUUUGUAUGUGGAUGAUGGAAUGUUCGUGGCGACCGAAACUUAAUGUCAUGGAGCAUUGAAACUUUCUCUUCAGCAUGAGAAGGAUACGUCCGUAGAAGGCUAAAGUGUGCAUUGAGUUCAGCAUGUUGCUAGGCCUUGAGUGGUGCAGUGGGGGUUGUAUUGAUGUGGAGUCGCAAUCUAGCAAGUGCAUUUGUAGGAGGUAGAACAAUACACAUUUUGUUCAGCAAGUCGGAGUAGUCCAAGGAGAUUGUGAUCUCCGAAACUUUCAAAGAGAAGGAAGCGAAGAGAGAUAUUGCUCCAAUGGAAUAGAUAUCCAGGAGGGAUAGGUCCUGGUACUCCAAAGGGAGAAUCAUAUAUAACAGAUCGUACAUGUUGAGGGGUACUUAAAAAAUAAUAAUAACUCUAUGAUGCUCAACGGACUGAGCGAGCGGUAAGGAGUCGUUGCAUGAUCUUGCUUGAGAGAAUGCAUUGAUAGAUAUAUUGCGAGAUCAAGUAGGGGAGCGAUCCAAAGCAAUACAAAUGAAGGCACACUUUGAGUCGAUAUGGAGAUCGGACUCAAUGGUGGGCUGACUUGUGGAAUGGUGGGUGCGAGGGCCACCAUCAACUCAAUGCAAAACAAGAAGCAGAGCAACUUGGGUGUAACUUGGCGAAGUGCCUAAGUCGUAUAAAGGGAGCCAGCAUAGAAAAGAGAAUAUGGAGCGGAGGCAUAGAGCUUCCCUUGGACAGAGGUCAAGGACAUGAACUCUUGUAGAGGCCAGAGCGAGAUCAUGUCGUUCUAUGGGCCCGUCAUUCUGAUAGAUCGAACUUAUCUUGUAUGGUGCCAAAGAUGAAGGGAGCUUCUGGGCACAUGCACCUUAUCUUGAAGAAGCAUUUGAUAGAGGAACUAGGGAGACUCAACUUACAAAGGCAAAGUUGGGUUCAGAAUGCCUUCGCACAAGGCAAGAGGACGCGGAGAUAAGUACUCUUGAAGAAUAUGCUAUAGUGCUGCGAUUCAAGUUGCAAUAAAGGAAGUGAUGCACAGUAGAUAUUGUGCUGGUAGGGGCAGAGGCCUAGGAUCCAGACAAUGGUGCACUAAUUUUAACGAAGUCGGUGGACUUCCAGAGCUAUUAGGCGACGGACUAUCCUAGAGCAAUACUUUGUUCAGGUAUGACCCGAGAGGAGAAGGGGGGGAGGGGGGGGGGUACAAAGGUCAAUUGCUAAUAGAGUAAACACAAUUAAAGGUGGAAGAGGCCUUAUGAUGUGUUGGCAGAGGCCACACAUGGAGGGAUCACAAACCGAGUUCAUCCCACAAGGAUCGAAAUGCAAUGAAGAUGUCACUAUGAGGUGACUUGGUGCAACAGAUCGUGGUGGAAUAGUUCGUGGCAAUACGAUACACACGAAUAUAGUCCCGAAAAGGACUAUAUCAUAUAGAGAUAUGAUCGGGAACUACUGAUAGCUCUAUUUUGCUGAACAACAUUAUGGCAAGAAGGGUCACAAAUUCAAGGAGUGAAAGCUAUGAUACCGUAGAGGUGGGACUUCCAUGCAUGCAAAGAAUUUUGCAUCAGAUGAAAGUCUUGGUCAUCAGCAUAUAAGGGUUGUGUACCACCGAGGGAAAAGUUCGAAUGUAAGUACUAGUGAGUCCCAUUGGAGGGACUUGAUCAUGUAGAGGUAUGAUUUAAGCAGUUGGAGAGUUGGACUGCUCCAGAGUCUAUAUUUGCUUAAGGGAGCCUAACAAGUCAGAGGACAAGGUCAAGUAAGUGAGCGUUGCUACCAAGGAAGCUAAGGAGAACAGAAUCGGUGUAAACCCUAUAACAUAAUGAUAGAGACAAUGCAUGAGAGUUACAGUUUAUCUUUCCAUCAACCAAGGGGAACUACUUAGAGAACAUAGAGGUGUUGAAGCAAGAGGUCGAAAGGGGCGAGGAAGUGACGAUAAGUAUAGAGGGACUUAGCUAUCCAAAACAAAGCAUCGGUUAGAAUGGAGGUGGAUUCAAAGGAGUGCCACAGAGGCAGAUCUACUGAUCAUGAAGAAAAUGGAUGUAAAUGUUGAAUCUCGUAUUUUGAUGAUGAAACCACUUGAUAUAUGUUUAUAAUUUAAUCUACGUUUUGAGUGACGCAGGAUGCUUCGAUUAGGAUGAGACAAUUAAAGCAGAAAAAAUCAUGUUGUGUCGGAGGAACAUGUUAGAAGAUUGGACGUUAGGCCGGUAGAUCGGUCGACGUAUCGACAGAAGGCUUCGGGUCGUGGACUCGGGCAUCGGGCCAAGAAGAGCAGGUAUUGCUCCAAGGAUAUCGGAGUUGCGAAGUCAACUGGCCGAUUGGGCAAUAGGCCGUAGGAGAGGAUGAUGCGCCGAAGAAUCGGACGAAGCGUCGAGGGAUCAAUGACAUGCCGGACAACUUGGUUAAUUGUUUAGGAUUAAUUGUCUCGAUCGAAGUUUUGUUUUACAUGUGCAGGAUUAACUACGAUGGAUGUAAGACAUGCAGCAGGAGUUGCACCGGAGUCAAGACUAUGAUCACGUUGGGAGUUCGAGAGUUCGACGGAAGUCCGGACGGUCGUCGGAGGUUCUGCGGGAACAAAUCCGAAAAGUCAAGGAGCUUGCCCAAAGAAGCUCGUCGGAACUCGCCAAGUGGAUCGUCGCAAGUCCAGGAGUUUGCCGGAAGUCCGCAGGAGCAUCACCGAGGGUUCAUCUGAUGAUCGACGGAAGUUCGCCGGAAGCUCGUCGGAAGAAGCGAUUGACGCACUAGAGCAAGUUGCAGUAAAUGUCUUAAGAAAUAUCGUAGUUAGCAUGUAGAUUAAGUUAGGAAUGGGAGGUGAUCCCAUUAACUUAAUCUGGGGGCAAUUGGGCCCUUGAUAGACCCAAAUUGGGCCGAAUGGAUCAACCUAUUCGGACCAAAAUUCCUGCCAAGUGGUGCAACCGCCUAGGAGAUGGUCUCCUAGGAAAGCUGGGCGGUGCAACCGCCCUAGUCAGGCGGUGGCACCGCCUGGGCUCAGUCUCCGAGCGAGACUAGGCAGUGCAACCGCCCCUGAUAGGCCGUGGAACCGCCUGAGCUCGGUCUCUGAGCUCUACCAAGCGGUGCAACCGCCCCAGUCAGGCAGUGGCUGCUAGUCAUAGGUGCCCAGCAAGCCAAUCACGUGAGUGAUGGCACGUGUGACUUGAUACAGAAUCUUUUUGCUUAUUAUAUUUUGGCGUAUAUCACUUUAUAACUAUUGCAUAAAUGCAUAUAUAUAUAUAUAUAUAUAUAUAUAUAUAUAUAUAUAUAUAUANNNNNNNNNNNNNNNNNNNNNNNNNNNNNNNNNNNNNNNNNNNNNNNNNNNNNNNNNNNNNNNNNNNNNNNNNNNNNNNNNNNNNNNNNNNNNNNNNNNNNNNNNNNNNNNNNNNNNNNNNNNNNNNNNNNNNNNNNNNNNNNNNNNNNNNNNNNNNNNNNNNNNNNNNNNNNNNNNNNNNNNNNNNNNNNNNNNNNNNNNNNNNNNNNNNNNNNNNNNNNNNNNNNNNNNNNNNNNNNNNNNNNNNNNNNNNNNNNNNNNNNNNNNNNNNNNNNNNNNNNNNNNNNNNNNNNNNNNNNNNNNNNNNNNNNNNNNNNNNNNNNNNNNNNNNNNNNNNNNNNNNNNNNNNNNNNCCCUCUCCACCUCAGAGUAGGCCUGGAGUUUUGAGGAGCGUCGUCGCAACCCUGCUGUGUGGAUCACCGCUAGAGAGGAGGACGCUUGACCUCCUUCACCCUCUCUUAAGGAUCUGCAAGGAAACAGGGAUAUACGAUCUCCCUAGGUAACACAAUCUCUAUACGCAGUUUUGUGUUUUGCGGAUUUUUGCACACCAAUCUUCGCACGACGACGAAUAUCUUUUUGGGAAUCGGGGAUUUUGUUUUUCUUGUUCUUCCGCUGCGCAUAUGAUGUCGCCCCCAUGAUUUCCCAAUAGUGGCACUGCCUGGGCUCAGUCUUCGAGCGAGACUGGGCGGUGCAACCGCCCCUGUCAGGCGGUGGCACCGCCCCCGUAAGGGUUGUCUCCUAAAUCCAGUAAAAGGAGAAGAGGGGUGUAAGAAGGAGGUUGAUCUUCGCCUAGUAAAGGAAGAUUGUUAGUGGAUGUCAGUGGCCUCGACGGAAGAGAAAUCAGAGGAGUGGAUGUAGGUCACGAUUGACCGAACCACUAUAAACUCCCGUCUUCUCUGGUUUGCAUUUUAUUUCCUACUAUUACCUUACUGCAAACCCCUUUAAUAGCUUACUGCCUUCAAUAAAUUUACGUAUGCUUUCAAGUUAAGUUUUCGAAAUCGAUUUUACAUCGGAAACGAUUUUAUCGUAUGAGAGAUUUAACGAAGUUGAUGUUUUUAUCCGCUGCACUAAUUCACCCCCCCUUCUUAGUGCUCUUGAUCCUAACAUUAAAUACGAGACGAUGGAUAAUAGGGCCAUGGGCAUGGUAGCGCUAUGGUACCGUAGAGGCGGGACUUCUGUGAAGUCACCGAUCCCUUACUCUUAUAGAGGGAGAGUGCUUAGUCGUGAAAGGGGUCGAGGAGGUGGAGCAUGCAGAGGCAAACUCCAAGUAUCGAGACAAGGCCUAAAGAACUUCGUAAGACUAGUGUCAAUGAGCUUCUCAUCAAAAUAGCCGAAAGUGAAGAACUUUAGGUCGUACAAGAGUGCACGACUAAAGAAAGAAGUAGGCAGUACGUAGUGCUAUACCUUUGCUACUCAAUGGAGUAGCGGUAGGGUUGAUGGAGAAGACGAUACAAUCCCAGAGGUGACCAAAACUAUUAGCUACUUACUCCAAGUUGGGGUAAAAACUUUCUGCAUUUCAGAAGUUCGAUGGUAUUGAAAAGGUGAAUCAUAGUAGCUAACUCAAUGCAAGGAGUGCAAACACUUUGAGUGUUUCAGAAGUAUGAGUAAAGAGCAGGUGAAGGUUAGUAACCAGCUCGAUAUAUGAAGUACAACCCUCGAGGAGGCGGGCGAAGUCAAGUAACCAUUGUCUUCUCAACUCUUAAGAGAAUAGGCGAAACCAAGUACCCCAAUUCUCUUAUCUAUCCAAUAAAGGAGCUCUACACAGGUGUAAAGACCCUUCAAAGAUAAUGGAAGAUAAUAGUUGUCAAAUUCUCACCAAUAAUAAUCUAUGCUACUGAGAGUAGAUUAUCCGCUUCAUUUCCCAAUAGAAUGUCAAUCAAAAGCGGAAGUGAUGUAAAUCUACUUGGAAGUGACAACUAAGUGAAAGAAGAGUCGAUGGGCAAAUUUUAUGGAAGAAUGGCCCAAAACUUCAAAAGUUUAUGUGGCGAUGCUCGUUAAAGCUCCAACAAGCAUCCACCUAGUUCAAGUAGCAUAAAGCAUUUGAGAGACUAGCGUAUAAUAAGGAUGGUUUUUUCCUUCAUCUGAAGGAUCCGUAGGAACCAACAGGGAUCAACACAACUCAGCCAACCACACACUAGAGUCAGAAUCACUAGCGAGUUGAAGUAGCAUAAUGGAUCAAAAGUUCGACUACUUAACAAUAGUAGCAGAGAGCAGUUGGGAGCCAAGAGGCGUAUUGCAGCUGGAGCAGAAGAUUGAAGACUCGGCAAAGGUGAGGAGUUGCAACGUCGGCAAAGACUUCGACGAGGAUGUCGAAUGAAUAAGUAGGGGAGAAUGUCAUAGACAAAAUUCUAAAUAGGAUGUUUGAUGUAAUACUUAUGUAUGUCCAUAUCAUUUGAUUUGUUUAUGCUCUGCACAGCAUGUAGAAGGAUAGUCGAAAGCUUAACAACCUCAUUUUAGUUGGUUUAGUGGUUGUUUUAGGCUUAUAAAUAAAUAUUAUGUCAUGUGGACACUUGUGAGAGAUAUUCGAUCUAUAGUCGACCAUUUUGACCCUUUGUUAUGAAAUCAUUCAGAGCUUGUAAAAUCUGUUUAUAAUUUGCAUAGGCUAUGAAGUGUUUUCUGAAAUGUUUGCUUAUGAAUCCCGAGUGAGGUGCUUUGUCUAACCUGUUUUCUCUUUUGUAGGUCCUAAGGGACCAUGAGAGAUUUCAGGGAGGUUGACCUUUGCGGAUGAACAUGCAAGAGUGACACCCGACUUAGGCAAAACCAACUAAAUCCAUGACAGGACACACUUUGAUAUAAUCUUUAAGAUCUCGAUUUAGUAUUUUUACCUUUCGUUUGUCUACGACAUACUUGGAUUGAAUUUGACCUAUUUUCAAAUUAUAUAAAUAAUUAGAAUACGAGAGAAUAAUAAUAUUAUCUUAUAUAUAUAUAUAUAUAUAUAUAUAUAUAUAUAUAUAGUCAAAAGUAACAGAAUUAUAUAUAUUAUGAAUCUGCUACUUAAUACAAAAAUUGAAAAAAAAGCUAUAAUCACAGGGAGAACAGAAUCAAUUAUAGAGAAAAAGUAUGCCAAAGAAACACAAAAAUAAUAAGAGCUAAUGUUCCUACUAGUUGAAUUUUUUGUCAUUAUUGAGCUCUAUAUAACAUAAUAUCCCUAAUUAAAUUAAGAGCAUCUGUAUCUUUAUUUAUAGUUUUUAGUAAAUUUUUUACAAGUAAAAUAAUAUGGAAUCAGAAUACAAAAACACCAAAACUAAAGAUAUCAUUUUCAGUCCAAUAAUUAGCAUGUGAUUCUGGUAAAAUGCUGUGGCAAGCUUCAAAGUAUGGAAACUCCAAAAAGUGCAUCCACAACAUCAAAGUUCCUUCUAUUUGAUGUUGGUAGUGACAUCAAUUUCUUGCACUUAAUAUCUAGUUAUAUAGCUGUUGGACAUAAGAAUAGUAUUUAUGGUAUCUGAACCAUUGGCCAUCAGUUCAUGCAGUUAACAUCAUUCCAAUCCAAACACUUUCACAAAGACAAAUUUCACAGUAAUGACCAUCAUUAUGAUUCUUCUGUUCUCAUAUUAUAGAAUGAUCUCUGAUUAGAAUCUUUCAUGAAUUGUUCUGAUUCAUGAACUAAUAAUAGAAUGAUAUGAUUUCAUGUAGUAUUAUUGCACAUUCCAUUGCUUUCUUAUGAGAACAGAUUCAUACAGAGAAUAAUCAUUCUUCUUGGGCAAACAAUGAUCAAUUGAUUCACAAAGAUAAGUUCAUUCUUUUUACUGUAUGAUCUGUCGAAAUCUAUUGUUGUUGGAAGUUAGGCGUCGUCUUCAAUCAAGCUUGAAUCUGAAGCAAGUAACAAUUAAUUGGGGACACAAUCCUCAUCAUCACUAAGAACAUCAACACUUUGGUGUCAGCUUCUCACAAGAUCCAAAACACAUCUGUUCCUUGAGGAGGAAUAAGCUUGCUUUAAUCCAAAGGUGAUGCAGAUCUGAACAUAUCUAAUGCCCAAAGUGAAUGCAUAUUUGUGCUUUUUAGAUAAGAUGUGAUAACAUCUUCCAUUGAAGACUAUCAAGCUGCAAUUUUCUUUUGUGCACAUCAUCCAGGACCUCUGCAGCAGCUGGCAUCUCUGAGCAAAUCUUCACAUAUCUUCUUACAGAGAUACAUUGCCUUUGGAUUAGGAUGAACUGAUGUAUGAGUUUGAUUCUAUAGCUAAGAAUAGCAACAAAGAUGAGCAUUCUGUACUCAGUUGUGAUCUUGCAAAUCUACAAUUCUGUGCCAGAAAUAGAUUGACAGCAAACACAUUCAUUUGGUAUCUCAAAAUCUUGUCACUGUCACUUCCCUAUCCAACCAUGAAGAGCAUUUCUUUCAGCAAAAGCUUAUUCCAUCACAGAAUAAUUCGAGUGUGAGCUUUUGUCAACAAGGAUCUCAUCCCCCAUAUUGGAGAAGGCAGAACCACUGCUUUUGUGUUGGCAUUGGCUUCUAUCAGUAUCCUAUCCUUCCAUCAGCUCAAGCCAAAUGCUUGAAAGAUACAUAUUCUUCUUACACAGGGAAAGAAAAAACAUAUCCCAUAUUGAUCUUUGAAUGGUGACAGAAUUCUUCUUCUUCCUGAUCUCCUCAAAGUAAUGCUUCUUAGCUUUGGGAUUCUUUGAGCCAGUUGCUCAGUGUCCAUAUGUACUGACAGCAUUAGAGUGCAUUCAGCCAAAUUGCUCAGUGGCAAUUUUAAUUGAUUGUGUCACAUUUUAUUCUCCACAAAAAAAGAAAAAAAAAGUAGUUUUGUAUGUUUUUUUGUCCUCUUAAUUAUAUUUUUUAAGUGUUAAAAAUAGAAAGAAUAAAAAGGAAAAUGAAAGGAGAAGUCGACAGUUAAUACUGUUGGCGACGGGAAGUGGCGAAGAGGUGACUGUUUCGCUCCACCACCAGCUUAAGUAUCUUAUCGUGAUUCCUUCCUUCGCGGAUAAGGCCCGAUCACAGCCGUCCGUUGUGUGAAUAACCAGCGAAGAGGGAGAGGGGAGAACAGAGAGCGAGGUUGGAUCGGAGAGUCUCGAUCGAGAUGGCGCAUGCAAGGCGGCAGACGGGGACGGUGAUCUGGUUCAGCGGCGCCAAGGGCUUUGGCUUCAUCGCGCCAGACGGCGGCGGCGAGGAUCUCUUCGUCCACCAGAGCGCCAUCCGGGCCGAGGGAUUCCGGGCGUUGUCGGAGGGUGACGCCGUCGAGUUCUCCGUGGAUCAGGCCGAUGACGGCCGGAGCAAGGCCGUGGACGUCACCGGGCCCAAUGGGGCGGCCAUCUUCCUCGGCGGCGGCGGAAGGGGUGGUUCCGGCGGCAGGGGUAGGGCCGGGGGCGGCGGGUAUGGGUAUGGAGGUGGCUAUGGGGGUAGUGGGUAUGGGAGAGGGUGGAGGAGUGGUGGAAGAGGUGGAAGGAUGGGCGGUGGCGGCGGCGGCGGCGGUGGUUAUGGUGGGGCCGGUGGUGGCGGAUAUGGUGGUGGUGGUGGUGGUGGUGUUGGGCCUUGUUACAACUGCGGGAGAAAUGGGCAUCUAGCUAGGGAUUGCAGACAAGGAGGAGGAAGUGGUGGAGGAGGCGGUGGAGGGGGAGGGAAGUACGGCGGUUAUGGUGGUGGUGGUGGUGCUGCUGCUGGUGGAGGAGGAGGUGGAUGUUACAAUUGUGGAGAGCAUGGCCAUUUUGCAAGGGAUUGCCCCAACGUCAAUUGAUGGAUGGCUUCAUGCACCCACAAAAAAGGGAAAAAUAAGAAAAAGAAUGGUUCUUGUUCUCCUAAUUGAUGGUAUGUUUUCCCUUUCUUUUUCUGGUGAGCUUUUUUUUGAGUUUUGCUGAUAUUGAUCCGUAAUGAUGUCCAUUUCUUGUUUUGAUUUAACUAUAAAUUCACAUCGUAUGUAUCUUCAAUCAUGUGAUUAAUGAAGUUAUUGUUCUUAUUAACCGAGCUUCCCCAAUUGAUCUCCAACUUUAUGUGAUGUUUUGCUUUGUGUACAAGUCGAAAGAUUCUCGGUACAGGCAAUUGCCUGUUCUGACAUAUAGUGGCAUGCAGCUUACCAUAUAAUUUUGCCUGCUCUGACUGUUGUCCGUUGUUGCCUGCUUAGAGAAAGGAGGAUUAGCAGUAGAUGGUGAAGAGGUCACGCAAUGUGAAGAAAGAGAAGAAAAGUAGAGAGUAAAAGAAGAGAUGAGGAUGGAAGCAAUCAGAAGAAAGGAAAGUGUGUGACACUGAAAAUAGUUAUAACUUUAUUAAGUUCUUUUAGAUCUUUAGAUGUCAUGCCUAACAGUAUGAUUCUUAUUGCACUUCACACUCCAGAUCUGAGCCCCAGCAACAUAAAUUUGGGCUUUAUAUGUCAUAUGAAGAACUUUUGUAUCUGCAAACUGCAUACUUUUACUAUCUACUACUACUACUACAAUAAUCACUUGUUGCUAAUGUAGUAUUACUAUUCUAUUGUGCAAGAAUUCCUGCUUUUGUGUUUAACCAUGCAUUAGAGUUUCUGUCAGCCUGAGAUAUCAACUAGGCAACUUAUUUUGGAGCACUUCUUUAUCUUUUGGGCUCUACAACAGCAUUAGAUUCGCCUUUAAUUGCAUUGUCCUCUAGCAGAAAAACAUUACCAUGACUGUUGAAAACUCCAUUUCUUUUUUACAUUUUUCAUCGAAAAAAUGAGUAUCCAGAUUUUGAUAAUAGUACAGAACCAUCCAAUAUAUCAGAUAAUAGCUUUCUUCAUGUUUUGUGCUUGUUUAGAAGCAUGGUCCAUAUUGUUGUCAGAUAUCUUUUCUAUAAAUAUAACAUUUUGUUUAUAUAUGUGUUUUCUUCUUUUUCCAUCUGACCUCUCUUCUCCAGUUCCUUGCUAGAAUAUUGUUGGUCCUACAACAAAAAAUGUAAGGUUUUCAUGUUAAAUUGCAUCUUUCAGAUGCUACUUAAAUGCCAAAAUGCAUGUAGAUCACUAACCAUGCAUGCAUAUGUCAUACUCAUACCUUAGAGAAUCCAUCAAGUAAUUUUUAACUUAAUGAGAAUUUAUUGUCAUGGAAGGAAACUUUAUGCUGCAGCUUGUGAACACAGAACCAUAUUUGUUGUCCAAACUAUACGAUUUGGUGCAUCAUGGCCUCAUGGAUGCCCAGAGUAUAAAUUGCUGAAAGUACUGUUGGGCUAAAUAUUUUCUUUCCUGUGGCUUAUUUAAAGUGAUGCUCCAAUUGCAACAGGAAAUGAUGACAAGUAGCAUUAAACUAAAGCAUAAAUGUUUCCAGAAUGAACUGGCAAAUUAUUCGAUGCCGUUGCUUCUGUGAAACUUGCCCCACAAACACUGGUGAGAGAAUAUGAAGUCUGAUAGCUUAAUCAACAUAUAAGCUUCUCCUCUCUGUCUUCCCUUGGUGAUUAAAGGGGAAGCCAAGAAAUACUUACUCUGAUCCAUAUCCAGCUGAAGGGAAUAAUUUGUGUGCAGUAACUUGUGCUUAUAUAUACAGUGGAGAAACUGUGGAUUGCCCUUUCUAUGCUGUAAGGAACAUCUUCCAAGCAGAAGCUUUGGUUAAGAGAUCAUGCUGAAGAAUAUGGCCUUAACCUCAAAAGGCUACUCAAUACAUUUUUAUUCUUUAUGGAUUAUAUAAAUUUCAAGUAACUGUUCUGUUUUAUAUGUUAUUAGCUGCAAGAUUGAAGACUUCUUGUUUGGUAUUUUGGUGGUGUUGACUGCAACAUUAUUGUCUUCCUUUAUAUGAAAUGAAGACAGAAAUGGGGUAAAGACUGGAUCUUUGGUUGCCGGUUCAGCUCGAGGUAUCUCUUCUUCCUUCGGCUCGAAAUCAAACAGGAAGGGUAAAGGGAAUCAGGACAAUUGGUAGAACAGGUCAAACUCUGUGAGAGGAAAAAAGAUGGCUACACAAUACUUGAUGAGAAAUCAAGUUCUCUUGUGUUUUUUACUUUGAUAAUGCAAUAUACUUUGAUGGUUACUGAGAUGAAUUCAUCUUUUGAUUAAAGAGUUUGGAAUUUGCAUCAGGGGACAAAGUUGAGUAUCUUUCUUUGAAGAAGUCAUUGAUAAACCUUUAUGCUUUCGAGUCCCUCAGCCUCUAUCUGCAUCAUAAUGGGUGUACACAGAGACAAAGAUUCCAUGCGCAACUAUAUAUUUCUUUGCUUUGCAUCACAUCAGGCAUAAAAUAUUUGUGAGAUUCGGCACUAUGACUUAAAGAUGAGAUUUAGUGCUAUUGAGUUUGGGUUGUGCGGAUUUGAAUCCAAUAAUAGGUUAAAUAGAUUAAUUAGAUUGAAAAUUGUAAUUGUUCAAACCUAAUUUUGGAGAUAAUUAUAUAAAAUAUGAUUUUUUGCUUUUUUAUUGAUAUUAUUGACUGGAAAACCAACGCAUGCAAUUUUCUCAAGGCGGAUGACUUAUAACGGUAUGUAAUUUUCAAUAUAAACACUAUACCGGUUUUCUGUAUAUUAUAACGGUUCUGAGCAAUCGUAUAAAGCGAUCCGUGGUUCAUGCCCCCCGACCUCGUUACAGAUUGUGCUCUCUCUCUCUCUCUCUCUCUCUCUCUCUUGGGCGAUUCUUCAUCGCAGCGUGAGAGAUGGCGGCGGCGACGGCAGCAGGAGGUGGUGGGAAGGUCUCGUUCAAGGUGAUCCUGACAUCCGAUCCGAAGCUACCCUACAAAGUGUAAGCCCCGUUUUCGCUUUCCAACUGUCGUCGCCCUCUUUCGAUUCCUAGGUUGUUCUCCGCUAAUCUGUCGAUCGGAUUUCAGUUUCAACGUACCUGAGGCGGCGCCCUUUACUGCGGUGCUAAAGUUUGCGGCAGAGGAGUUCAAGGUCCCUCCUCAGACCAGCGCCAUCAUCACCAAUGGUAAAUUCUUGUAGAUUGUGAUUCUAAUCCUAGGUUGAAGAAACAGGUUGAAUUUUGGCAGGCUUUGAUGAUUGUGUGAGAAUCGUUAGAUCUGAAGGUUCCCUUUCGUGUUUUCCAAGUGAUUUGUCUAUUAAGUUUCGGCACAGUUGCGGCCUUAAUGCGAAAUUAGACUUUAAGUGGAAGUGCUUUGUGUAGAUUUCUACAUUAAAGAGUUCUUUUUGUGGAUGCUAAACAAAAUGAAAUAUAGCUGUGGAGAAUUUCUGUUCAGCUUUUUCUUCCGCUGCAAUAUAAUGGAUUGGAAAUAUUUUCUUUGGUAGAUGUAAAUGAAACCCACACAGUUUCUAGCUUCAUGUCGACAAUAAUAAUUGUACUACAUUUUUCAUAGGAUUUAUCUGUGCAGCACGUGAAAUUCAUGAACUUUUUGCCCUUUGCAGAUGGUGUGGGAAUUAACCCGCAACAAAGUGCUGGUAUGUUGUGACCAUCUUGACCUUUCCUUAUCUGUCGAUAGUUUAUGUUUCCUUCACGAUUGUGCAAUUUUUUUGUGACACUUUCACCUUGGCCAAUGAUAGUUGAAAAUUAGCUUUUCAUAUUUUUUGUUGAAAUCCGGCUUCAGGCUUGCCCAUAUAUCAGUGUUUUACUUGUAGUCAAAGAAUGAUAAUUUUAAUGUUAGGAAGUAUUUUGAGGUAAUGAUUCUUAGAAUGCAAGAAGUGAUACAAACAACGAUGAAUUAUAUCUUUUGGUUCUUUCUAGUUUGGACAGGUUUAGGAUAUUAAAGUUGGUUUACAUAUUGUCACAUCUGAGAUCUUGCAAAACUAGCAAGGUAUCUGUGUUGUUGAAGGUUUAAGUAGGCACUUAAAGUGUAUUUUUACUCCUAAUCGUAUAUAUAGCAAAAUUAUGUUAGCUUGCAUAAUUAUUGAGUUUAGUGGUGGAUUAGACUCACAGUUCUAUGUCUUGUAAUGGCAAUCCAAAAUAAGGGAGAGAGCUUGAUGAUAUUUGAUCCGUUGAUCUUUACUUGUACUUUCGACUAGUAUGUCAGUUGGAUGAUGGAUGUUAGUUACUAUAGGGAGGACAAAGAAAAUAACUAUCGUGGAGCUUCAAGACAAUUGGUCAAUAUUCUCUACAAAGAGUGGAAAUUGCAAAAGUAAAUAAAUGACCCAGCUCCUUUUAAUAGUCUCUGUGCUAAGAUGAACAUACAGAAGAUAUGAUAUUUGAUACUACUUGUUUACUUGGCCAAUUUGUGUUAGUCUUGUUUUCAGUUCACACUUUCAAGUAAUUCACAACAAAGGCCAAUCUACAUAUACCUUCAUAAUUUGUCCUUUUAGUCUGCAGGAAAAUUUAUUUAUUUGUUUCAAAAAAAUAUAAAAAAUAACAAGCUAUCAAAUGGGCAGACCAUUGAAGUUUCAUUGUGGCGGCAUAGUUCACAAGAUCAGUUUCAUUAUUGGAGUUGGUUAGUGACGAUUUGAGAAGAGAUAUUAUAAACAGUCAUUUCCUUGUAUAUGGACACUUUUGUGAGUUUUAGUUGUUCAUUUGUUCGAACUGAUCAUUUUAUUUAGAGUUAAUUUGUUUGCAACUUGUAUGCGGAAGGACACAUGACUAGACCUUUCAAAAGAACCUGCAAGGAUUAUUCUACCGAUCAAAGCUAAAUAAGCAGCAUUAGUUUUAUUUUCUCUGCUUAAUACCAUCCUGAUUAGUUCAUUUCUUUUAGUAUAUGGAAUAUGGAACGUUGUUCUAGAGAGUGUAGGAUUGAGGCACUGUAAUUGCUCAACUCGUGUGCAGACAAAUAACUGACACUUGAUUGAUAGUCUUAAGCAUGUGAGGAAUCGAGACCGAGGAAUUGGCACUUCAAAGUGAUAUUUUCUUAAAUAUAAAGGUUGCCGUUACUUGAUUUGUUGAACUGUUCCGGCGUCACUCCGCUGACCCUUCAAAGAGGAUCACAUCGCCAUUUGGUUCUGCAACCCCCUCGCUUGAAGUUGUUCUUUCCCUUUUUUGCUCCCAGAAGCUUGAUUUUUCUUGUCACUUGUCAUCAUAAUUGGCAUUUCCUGAUUCACACAAGAAAUGUGAUUUUGGGACAUCAGAUCAUUAUACACAUCUGCUAUUCAAUAUGCUUUAUGCAGGUAAUGUGUUUCUGAAGCAUGGCUCAGAGUUGCGUCUCAUACCUCGCGACAGAGUUGGAGGGAGCGUAUCGGACGGUUACUGCUACUAAUUUUUCAGCACUUUGGAGUCUGCCUCUGCGACUACGAGAGGUUAAAAGGCAUCAAUCAUGUGGUAACUAUAUCAUGGGUGCUUGUAAAAUCUAGCGUAGAAUGAUUUCCAAUAUUUAUGUAUUGGAUUAUAGUAAGAGUUGAAAAUGCAACAUGAGCCUAAUAAAAAUAACUCUUUACCUGAUCUGUUUGAUUGAUUUAUUUUUGAACAGUAGUCAGAGCUCCAUAGGUAAGCAAUCCUUUUCUUGUCCUUGCUACUGCAACGUGCUGCUAGUCAACAUUAUGGCUAUUCUUUAUAAUUUUUAUUUUUAUUUAAGUAUUACUUCUUUUUGGUAACAUCUGCAUAUUUUCACUUUCAUUAUAAUAUUUUUCCACGUUUAUCCCUAUCUUGCAUAGUAUUAUUCUAUUUAAUGAGUGUUUAUGAUAGCCAGCUUCACCCAACCUGCACACGUUGAUCUCCUUCCUAUUAAUCAACUCGAUAGGCACAACUUGCAUUCUGAAGUCAACAAUUACUCUUUUGUUUUUUGUGAUUUAGAAGAAGAAAUAAUAAUUAUAAUAGUAAUGAUAUCUACUUCAUAUAAAAUAGUAAUAAUAAUAAUAAUAAUAAUAAUGUUAGUUCCCAUGACAUCGUCCACGUACGAUCAUGCAUGUGCAUGACCUGUCGGCAAUGGUACGGCCAUCUUGGCUGACCUAAGACCGGGGGUUCAUUACCCAAAAUCCGACCCAUGUGAGGCCUCUCUCACACACAAACCUGGCCAUGUGGAGCCCAUGGGUUACAUCAGGGUUAAUUGAAUUUCCUCGAUUAAUAAUAAGAGCCUUAUUUUAGCGUGCUCUGAUGUCAUGCUGAGACUUUAAAUUAUAUAGUAGUCCAGUCCACAAGCAUAAGAAUCAAUAUCGAGAUCAUCGGGUCCCCGUCGGCCCGGACAAAUCGUGGCUUGAUGCUUUAACAACCGUGCGUAAUCAGCCCAUCAUGUGGGCUAUCCUUCGUCAAUCGCCGUCACUAUCCGCUCCAUCACGAACGAUUCAUCGCUUCCACGUGUCUUAUCCACUCGUUUUCAAGGAAGAUAUUUCGUGACGCCAGGAAUUGAACGGUCUACGAAAUGAGAUAUGGACCAACGUAUGGGUCCCGCAUCGUUUUGCCCAACCACAAGUUUGGUAGGGGACUUGAGUCGGCGAAUGCUGCUCGUGUAAAAAGGCGGCGGACGAGUCGCGUCUUGUCCGAGCUCGGCCGCUAUUUUGUACUGCUACUACCCGUCUUCCCUCUCGCGUCGUUCGCUUUUCCCCUGUUAUGAGUCGAAGGCAAGUCUUUGGGAUAAAUAUGUCCAAAGUAUUCCUCGCACCGCGUUCCUUUGUCCUCACGCUUUCUUCUUCCUCCUCCUCUUCUGGAUCCUCUUCUUUAGAGCUUUCGAAGAACUCGUGAUCUUUCACCUCCGAUCGACCAGAAAAAAGGCGUCUACUUUCGUGUUCUUGGGGUCUGACCUUGGCGGGAGAGAUAAUGGAGAAGUACGAGCUGGUGAAGGAUAUCGGGUCGGGCAACUUCGGCGUGGCGCGGUUGAUGAGGGACAAGGUGACGGGAGAGCUCGUCGCCAUGAAGUACAUCCCCAGAGGCCAAAAGGUCCGGUUUUUCUUCUCUUUAAUCCCCUGCUUUUGGUGGUGGAUGUCGUCUCACUUUGGGUCUCGCAGAUCAACGAGAACGUCGCGAGAGAGAUCAUUAACCAGCGGUCGCUUUGCCAUCCCAAUAUCAUCCGAUUCAAAGAGGUAAAUGUGUCGGCAUUAGCAAGUCCCUAAAAUUGCCUCUGCUUAGCCUUUCAUCUCUCUGUUUCACGACCAAAAAAUGGUUCUUUUUUGCUUGUCCUGACCGUGAUUUGAGCUGCAGGUCGUGCUGACGCCCACGCAUCUGGCGAUCGUGAUGGAGUACGCCGCCGGCGGAGAGCUCUUCGAGCGCAUCUGUCACGCGGGAAGAUUCAGCGAAGAUGAGGUUCCUUGUUCCCUCCCCCGUUGCUUUUUCUUCGGCCUCAUGUUUCUGAUUUCCUCCGCAAUUUCGCAUCAAUCGCUGUCUCUGACCUUUCAGCUGUCGCUUCCACAGGCAAGAUAUUUCUUUCAGCAGCUCAUCUCCGGCGUCAGCUACUGCCAUUACAUGGUAAAUUCCCUUCAAACUCUCAUCUUUAUCCCAAAUUACUGAACCAAUCGGUUGUUUUCAGCAAAUCUGCCACCGCGAUCUGAAACUGGAGAACACGUUGCUCGAUGGCAGCCCGGCGCCGCGCCUCAAGAUCUGCGACUUCGGUUACUCCAAGGUUAUCCAUCCUCAAAACCUCUUCCCCUUCGCCUCAGAGCCAAAUCGAUUCGAAUUUUCGAGUGAAGAUCCCUUUUUGCAUUCGUUUCUUGCAUGGAAGAGCAGUCGUCGUUGCUCCACUCUCGCCCCAAGUCCACGGUGGGUACGCCGGCAUACAUCGCCCCCGAGGUGCUCUCCCGGCGUGAGUACGACGGCAAGGUCAGUUCCGUAAUUUGAUCCAUCCAUCGCUCUCCUCUGUUCCUUCCUCUAUUCUUCCUCCUCGUGUUGCGCCGCAACCAGUACGUUGACGAGGCCCGACGGUGGCGGAGAAUGGCGUGUGGGGCCCUUUUGGCUGACACUUGGCUUCCAGAGAAUACGGAUUCCUGUGAUGAAUAGCUUUCCAUUCUCCCUUAUGAUUUCGCUUUUAGUAAAUUGGCAAAGCAGAUAGACAUCAUUGCCGGUCGGUGCAGAUGGCUGAUGUGUGGUCAUGUGGAGUAACAUUGUAUGUGAUGCUGGUGGGAGCGUACCCAUUUGAAGACCCGGACGACCCCAAGAAUUUUAGGAAGACCAUGGCGGUAUUAGCUUUAUCUCCAUCAUCUCAUUCCUGUCAUCAUUCUUCUGGUCUCAGUUGGACUGUCUUCUUCGAUUGCAGAGGAUAGUUUCAGUGCAGUACAGAAUACCCGAGUACGUUCAUAUUUCCCAGGAUUGCAGACAACUGAUAUCCAGGAUCUUUGUUGCUGACCCAUCAAAGGUAAAUCCUGAGUACAAGUUCCAGUGGCAUCUCAGAUCACUGAGUUGGUCUUUGUGCAGAGGAUUACUGUGAGGGAGAUAAGGAACCACCCUUGGUUCUUGAAGAACUUGCCCAGGGGACUAACAGAGGUAGCACAAGCAAUGUACUACAAGAGGGAUGCCAGCGGACUUGCCUACUCUCUUCAAAGCGAGGAGGAGAUAAUGAAGAUUGUUGAGGAGGCAAGGAUCCCGCCGGCGGCGUCAACACCAUCGACGGCAGGCUCGGGUUGGGCCAAGGAAGAUGAGCAGGAGGAGGGCAAGCAAGAGAAAAGGGAGACCGAAGAGGAAGAAGAAGAAGAAGAAGAAGAAGAUGAUGAUGAUGAGUAUGAGUAUGACAUGAGGGUCAAGGAAGUGCAUGCCAGUGGAGAAUUUCCAAUUAUAUGUUUGGAUCAAUGAGAGAAUCUUCGUUGUCUUAUAUGCUGCUAAUUAAUCUUAUUGUACUGUUUAUAUCGAUGAAUGUUGAUAUGUUUGCAACAGAUGAAAUCGAUCAAGGUAUGGUAGUCUUAAUACCAAAUGUUGUCUGAUGCUUUGGAAUGCUUGACCACAGCGAUCAUCUCCUACCUUGAACACAGCAGUAAUCAAAAUUAAUGGCGUUGCUCGGUUCUCAGUACCUGUAGUUCUUGACGGACAUCCCUUCUUUAGCUUCCGCCGAUUCGCCUUCUCCUGUAUACUUGCGGCGCUGAGCGAGGGAGUCGGCCUUGGCACGGACGAGGAGAGCAUCUUGGGCAGCCUUUUCCUUCUCCGGCCUUCCUCCCCACGGCUUCAGGCAUGUGUUCUGCAGAGCUCAGGCGUAGGAGGAGACAUGCCAUGGGUUGGGGCUCUGGUUCAUGUGCAUUCAAGUUCGAGGUUGCCUCCACUUCCGACCGCCCACCGGAGAGGAACUGUUCAAGAGUGCAUGCAAGAGCAUCGAUCAUCAUCACCUGUGUUAGGGAAUCUAAUGCAAAGAUCACGAUGAUGGUUUAGUGCUGUAGCAUGAUGCCAGGAGCAGCUGGUGGGAUUCUUCUGUGCGGGAGCUUCAAGGUGUACUCGGCAACCUGUUCCGGUGUGGCUUUCUCUGUGCAUUCAGCGCCAGGGGUGAGAGGAGGACACCCUCGAACAUGACAUUGUUCUCAGCCAGGUGGAAGAAGACCUCAGCCCACACUUUCUGUACCACCUCGAAGGUCCUUUCGAUUCCAUGGCUUCCAUCAAGCAACAUCUUAGGCUCAACAACUGGAACCAAGCCAUUGUCCUCCAAAGAAAUUGAGAAGCUUGUCGGAGUAGGCACCGACAAUCGCGGUUUCCCCGUCCGAGGAUAUAAUUGUCGCAAUAAGCAAACAGCAAAUAUACAUACAAUUACAAUCCUCGCAAAUGAAGGAACUCUGUGAACCAAACAAUUUUCCUCUAUGGUAAUUUAAUUCUUCAUAUACACACAACACCCAUAUUUUCUUUAGAACAAAUAUACAAUGAAGAUAAUUGACUGAGACUUGAGACUGUCCACACUGGACCAGAAGCAUUUUAAUGAAAUAAAGUUCCAACAUUACGAAACUCGAUAACAACAUUGUCUUCAUUUUUGUGUCAAUCCUCGGUAUCAGCAUCAGAAGGGAGCCAGUAUCGCCAUACGGCACCAAGGGAGCUACCCAUGAUGUUCAUGAUAAUAGCCGAUAGCGCAGGCGGCAAGGCGACCAGCGGGGAGGAAAAGUGCGAAGUCGCUAAGACAACACCCAACGAACAGUUUUGCAUACCGACCUGAGUGUGAAAAAGGAACCAUAAUAUUCUAAGAAAGUUUGGAACUAUCAUCUUUAUGUGCCUAUUUGCAUGAAGGAUGAUAGGAUGGUAGAAUAGUAACAACACUAGUGAUAACUCUUCGAUUGUAUGCACUUAAGAGAAAAGAGCUCAUCUAGUAACAAAAGUCGGCAAGAAUGGUAAACAUGCAUGAAUAGUUCCUACUAACAAUCUACAAGUUGGACUUGAGUGCCUUUAAAAGGUUCAUAUUAACUUAAUCUACAAAGUGAAAAGCUUUAUUUACACUAAAUGUUCGGAAGCUAGAGAUUAGAAAUUGACUAGGUGAAUGUUCUGUUCUCAGAUGAACAGAUACCUCGAUUGAGAUUGCUCGUCGCUGUUUUUCUCCCAUGCCACACAUAGCUGCUGACAGGUAUCUAUACAAAAAAGCAUACACAUACUAUCAGAAAGGAUUCUAAUCGUCUUUACUAUGUUUAAGAAAUUAUCUUUUCAACUGGUUAAAUAAAUAAAUAAAUAAAUAAGAAAAUACAUCUCCUGCUUGAUGAUAAAAAUUUUCUGAUGUAUAAUAAGCUUGAGGGAAAAUCCAUACCCCAACAAAAAGCCUGCAAAAUGUAAUAAAAACACUGCAAGUAUCACAACACCCAUAUCUCCAGAAAUUAUGUCAGAACCACCAGAACCAUUCAGAGUUGAUGUUCUAAAUCGCACAACAUUUUCCGAGAACACACUGCAACAUCCGAGAAACUUGUGUGAAGGACAACAUGCAGAUAGAAAAGAAACAAGAAAUAGGCAACUAAGCAAAUCUUCUCAUCCCAGACCUGCUUGAGAGAAGCGAAGAAGCUAAUACAGCAAGAAGGGGAGCAAAUGGGAUGAUGGCUUUCACGAUAGCUGGAAAUGCACUUUGCAAAUAAGAUCCCAACAGAACCGGAGCAACAACUACCUAAAAGCAAAAAACACAUUAUUCCUGACGAAGGAAAAAGUAACAAAAAGAGAUCGAUGAACUGUUUGAAUUUUACCUGGAGAGUACUGAUGGACAGUCUAAUGACAUCCACAGACACAAAAGUUCCAGCAAGAAUUUUGGUUAAAAGAGGAGUAAGAAGUACUGCAGCAAGGGUGGUGCAUACAGUCAUCACGAUGGCUAAUGGCACAUCUCCUCUAGCAAUUAAUGUCACCUGCAACACUAUUUGAAAGAAGGAUAUUAAAGAACAGGAGAAUUUUUAAAACCUGGGACUUCUCAUCAGGUGAUAUAUUUUUUUUCCUGAAAUGCAUAAUUUCCUAAUUUUAUGCAACCCAUCUACAUCAGAAUUACUUUAUAGCAAUAUUUAAGGGAAUAAAAAAAACUUGGAUUAUAGGAAAGAUCAUACACAUGGGGCAUCAGCAUUGAAAUAUAUAGGAAAAUGAUGAUAGUGAAAGAAGAGAGGAUAAAGAAGUUAGCAGUCUUGAGUUCAUGAAUCUUCUUCUCGCAUAAAAAGAGCAAGAAUGCUUUUGGUAUUAUGAAAGUUUUGUUACUGGAUCAUGAGAAAUAUGACAACAGUUUUAAGUGAAGAAUCAGAAAGUAACUCUAGGUAAGAGCAUUUCAUUGAUCUCGUCCAGAAAUGAAAUGACUUACCACAUUGGAUGCAGUUCCCGCAGGACAACAGGCGAGCAGAAUUAGACCUACCGAAAGAGAUGGUGGAAGACCGACUGCUUUGCUCAGUAUAACUCCAAAAGCUGGCAUAAUUGUGUAUUGAGCAACAAAACCCAACAGUAUCUACAAACACAAACAGAAGAGAAAACAGUAAGAAAACAUUUAAAGGGAUGUCUUAUCCAUGAGUGCAGAAAAUAGGUGGUGAGCAAUCAGAUAAAAUCCAUAUUAAGCCAAGUAGAUUCCGAAGAUCUUAGCAGGAUUUAUUCUCCUAUAUCAGCAACUACAGAGCCCACAGAAGAGAAGUUCUUCAAGUCAUUUCUUUUCCAGAUUAACAAACAAGCAGUCACCAUCCAACUACACAAAGAAGACCAAACAACAUUUUUACUCCUCAGAAUUCACAUUUUGAGGCUAACUAGAAAUCCAGCAGCAAUUUUAAUAUCUCUCAGACGGUUGAAAGACGAUAUUGUCAGACUUCAGCAAUAGCUGCUUGUCCUCUUCCAAACAUUAAUAUGCAUUCCUACAAUAUCAUUUUUCUUGAAUUUUCUUGCCAAGUACUCUUGAACAUGACCAAUUCGUUGAUAUGGUGAUGUGAUACUUGGAUCGAUAAUAGGUUUGACUUUGGACUACUCACAAAAUUGUCAAACUCCAAACCAUAUUGCAAGUAGUAAUCCUCUGAUGUAUCGCCGGGACCAACUAAAACGAACACAUCACAUCAUUACAUACUUUACUUGUCUGAAUUUAUACACAGUUGCGACUCUCAACCAAAACAUAAGCUCUGGAAUGACACCGUGAGUCAACUUAAGAGAUCCAUCAGGAUCCAAUUUAAAGAUAAGCAUUCGAGAAAUUCCCUAACACAGAUGAAGAAUAAAUCUUUUCAAAUUAGACAUCCUGAAUUCCAAAAAAAAGGAACAUAGAAGUCAAAAGAGUUUGAAUAUUUUAUGGUUCGUCCAAUUAUUCCUUUGUAAUUACUCACAGAGAAAGGCCUUUCCCGGAAGAGUGCGAACAGGUCCUUCAGUUCCAGAGUGAGACCCGUAGCCAGCAUGAUAAAACCCAAAGAUAAGCUAUAAGAAGCCGGCCCACGCUUCACGAACCAAGAGAAAGCCGACGGAUUCACGCAGGCGACGGUCCCUCCGAUGGUCACAUAGAGAGGGUAGAGGCUGGCAGCGGUGGUGAGAACCUUCUUCCAUCUGCGAGACCUCGGGUCGGCUUGGUCCGGGAUGCCGGAGAGGGCUCUGACAGUGGAGCGCGUCGGGCGUCGAUAAAAACCGCACCUUGGAGGAGCUCGGUGGAGGAGCAGAUUGGGGCGGGAUUGAUGGGGGAAGACCAACGACCGGAAGCAGACGAUAGACAUUGGAGGUGACGGGAGCACUGGGAAGCAGCAGAGGAGCCGACACGUGGGGCUUUUGUAGUCCCCGGGCGCCUUGGAGAUAGUGUCGGGCGUUAUCGGAUCCGGGUACCAUCUAUCGUCAACCCGAUCCGAGGAAUGGACAUUUGAUGACGUGCAUGACAUCGUUCAGUUUAGAAACCUUUUAAUCGGUUUGACAUCGAUUUUGAUGGAUAUAGGAAGUCAACAAAUUAGAUUUUCAGAUACUAUUAAAUUAAAUUAAAAAUGAUAUUACAUAAAAUAAAAUAUGCAUAGAUAAACUGACUCGAAUGCAUUUAGAAUUGCAUCUCGACAAUCUUGAAGAGAGAUUUGCUUCCUCUUUUUUGUCACUUGACUGGAUUACUUUGUCCAUACUGGGAAUUAUGCAUCAGUAUAAGCUUUAAACCUUUAGCAGCCUCGGCUGCUUUCCCUACUGUUCUUACAGGUUGACGGAGGAGGGGAUUGUGGAGCAGACCAACAUCACUCGACGAACAACGCCACGUCGAUCCUCUCGGACUGCUGCUCCCCCAGAGAAACCUGUUGGAAAAUGGAUUCACGAGACUUGCGCGGAAUUCCUUGGGAGUCUCGCAUAGCAGCCCCUGCAACGCGCACAAACCCAAGUUUUAGCUUCACAGGGCGAGGAAGAAACCUCUCUAUCCGAACUAUAUGCACACCUCUGCCAUGGCUUUGAUCUUCAGCGUAAUGCUGUUGGAUAAGAGGAUGAAUUGUUGGCCGUCAUUCUUCGUUUUCUUGAACAAGAGCGCGCAGUCGAGGAUGUGGUCUUCCGCGGUCGGAGAAACGAUCUCAGUCAAGCUUCCGUAGGCGGAGAAGGAUUUGGAGUCGGUGCCGUCGCCAAAUGGUGAUCGAGGUGAGGCAGGGGGGGUUGGCAGCACCGGCAGCGUCUCGGAUGAGCUCUGAACAUGAAUCCACCAACUUGUGUUCACCAUACACUCUUCUAUCCAUUGCAGUCCUUUGGAUGCCAUUUUUGUUGAUUUGCUGAAGAGGCUCUCGCGCCGCUUGAGGCAGUCGAGUUCCCUUAUGACUGCAAGACAAGAGAACAGCAGCUGAUGUUUAGCUGCAUAAAGAUGUUAGAUUGAAACAGGGGAAGAAUCAAGCUGAGCUUACCGAUUCGUGGGACGAUGAGGUGAGUCCCCUUUAGGCCUUCGAGGAGCUGCAGGGACCUUCUUGAUUCUUCAUCCAGAAAGCAAUUUGCUUCGACCACAAUGUUCCAGAUCUUCCUCUCUUCUGCUUUGGGGAUCACUUCGCCCAUGGGUUGUCUCUGCAACUAAGGAUCGAAAUCAAUCAAACAUUUGGCUGACAAAUAAAUUCAUGCAGCAGCAGUAUCUUACUAAAAACUUACGGAAGAGCGACUCGGUCCACAUUCUGAAGUCGGAGCAUCCUUGGUGGAAGCACAGUUACCCUCCGAAGUAGCAUCGCAGCUUUUCGAAGCAGAAAUCUCCAGCAGAGGUUGAAAGGGAAUCCGUUCCACUCUUCUCUUCAAGAUCUCCUUCUCAAUUCUCGCACAGCUACUGAAGGAAGACUCCUUCGACUUCGCAGAUCGCGAGAUGUCGGGCGUCAGAUUCUCCUUGUCUGAAGGAAACGUGUUAUCAUUGUCUUCAACCUUCAUAAGAAUUCCACCACACACUUUCCUCGAUUUCAUAUGUUUACAAGAGUCUGGUGUCCAGUUCUCUUUGUCACCAUAGAGCACAUCUUCUUCCAACACACUUGAAUUUGUGAUGGAGUUAGAAUGUAGUAUCUGCAGAUCUUCCUGAUAUUUCUUUGACUUCCCAGCACAAGUGCUAGAUUUAAAGAUGUUACACUUUACUAGGUUCUCAGAGGAGGCUUUUCUAGUCCUCAAGUCACUGAGUACCUCAUGUUUGCAGUUGUCUUCUUGAGCUGGCCGAACCUUAUCUGCAACAUUAGAAUGUUCUGCAACACACCCAGAUUUCUGCAGAACCCUGCUGGUCCUCUUAAUCUUUCGGCUUGACAUUGGUGUUACGUUCUCCUUAUCUGAAUCAAAAUGUUCUUCUCUAUCUUGAGCAUUUUCAAAGAGCACCCUGCAAAGUUUUUCCUCUCUCUGAGCUCGAUCACAAACACUGUUGUUCUCUUUCCCUGUACUUCCUCCGACCUCUGCAUCAGGUCUUGUAUUUGUGAUUUUCUCCUUGCCCCUCCCCGUCUCGAUUCGAAGGAAGCCAACAGACCUCGACUUACUCCUCCUUGACAAGAGGCUUGACGGAAAGCUCCCCUUCUCGGACCUCUCCAGGCUCAGGUGGUCCCCCUCGAAUGGUUGCUGAACAGCAGAUAACACCUGAGGAGACGAAUUCUUGUCCAUGGUUGGCAUCGAAGACACAACGAACUCAGGCAUCGGCAAGGCAGCAAAGAGGCUUGAGCCCUCUGCUUCGAGUAUUGGGCUCUGUUGUUCCAUUGUGGCUGGCAAAGGUGAUGGAUUCAUAGAUUCCGGCAAAGGUGGCGCCGAAGGUAUCACAGUAGGCCACAUUUCGAUCAUGUCAGUUAGUAACUCCUCGCAAUCAUCCUGUAAAAUCCCAAUUGAAGUAAACGGUUUUGCAGAGAUCGAAAGGACAGAACUUGAAUCUAGGAGAAGUGAAAAGAUCGAAAAACCUGAUUGGCUUCUACCUUGUCUUCAACCAAUGGCUCCAAUGGGUUAUCCAUCUCAAGCGCGCGGCUUGAUGAGACCCAUUGAAGCCUGUAAACCCUCGUCGAGGCGCCGAGCCUCAGAAUGUCGCCAUCUACCAUGUCGACCGCCACGUUGGGCGGGAUCUUGGUUCCGGAAACCCAAGUCCCAUGAACUGGAUACCGAAGGGAACCGAAUCAACCGCCGAUCCCGAAACAAUGAGAAGAAGAGGAAGAAGAAGAGAAAAAUAUCGGGAAUUGGAGGAGGAGGACGCACCGGAGGAGAGAUCGGUGACGGCAAGCUUCCGCAGCGAGGGAACGAGGCGGGCGGCGAGGUGGAAGCGGCUGAUGCUGGGGUGAUCGAGGACGACGUGACAAUCUGGAUGGCGACCGAAGAGGAUCGGGAGGUCCUCAUCGUCUACUUCUCCUCCACCUGGGUUAGGAAUGUGGCCGCCGUCUCCGGCCGUCGUCGGAUGCGGCGGAUGAGGAGGGGGCAAGUUAAGGAAGAGGCGCUUUAGGAUGCUGCCCUUCUUGAGGACGGAGAGGACGGCGAUCUUGAUCUCCUUCUCCUCCGAUUUCGAUCUCUCCUUGUCCCCCAUCAUGUCUUUCUUUCUUUCUUGUGUGUUGUUGAUUCGGGCGUUUAUUUAGAGAGGUGUUCGUGUGAAAUGGGGAUUUCAAAGCAGAGAAGCCCGUUGGCCGCCUCUCCAACGGCUACUUUGGUGUGACUGUAAUGUUCCUUCGCACUUUGUCCGAAUACUUGUUUCACCAAGACGUGCGAUUGGAUGGCCCACCGUGUCCCAUAAGGAGCUCAAAUCACAAAACAGGUACGUCUGCGGGUAACGUGAUUCCUUACCCACGAGCGAGAGCGCUGCUCUAUGUCCCGUCGUGAACGUUACGACUUACGUGACGACAGACGGCGUUUGACACAUACGCCCUACGCUGACGUGGCGACACACCAACCUGUUAGAAUAACGUAUAAGAAGGCUCCACAGGCGGGCCCCACAUUUGAAGGCAAGAUUGAUUUAGACUCAAAUCUUGACCCAAAUCUAUCCGAUGAAGAAGAUGGCUUUCCUUUGUUUUCUUCCUUCUUCUUUCGUCAGGAAACUUCUUCAGUGGCUUUGCAAUAUAUUCUUGUGGAGGAAAGAAAAGUUUGCUUUAUCCUUCUCAAGUCAAUCAAGAACAGCAUCUUUACAUACAAAAUGAGAAGGAAUCAAUCAUUUACUUUUCCUUUAAAGGAGUCAUUGCAGUGCAUGAAUGUGGCACGUAUGCUGAGGAGAUUUAGACCUGAGGUAUAUCUGCAUCCUCUGCUCUUAAAUCUUACCUAAGGUCAAGGAUUCUCCAAGCACACUGUAUCGAGGAUGCCAAGUCUAAGAUUUCACAGUGGUGUCCUGCAAAUCUUGGUUAGGUGGAAUCUAACUUGGAUGUCGUACUUAUUUGAAUCGACUGCAGUACUCAAGAAAAAAGGCAGCAUGGGAACCAUCUCUAUCCCAACUACACACAGGAAAGAAAUGAAGAUAUCAUGAUGUAAACAAAACAUUUUCUUGAUUUAAGCUCUAGAUCAUGACAUGUUCCAAAGUUAGCUUGGUUCAUUUUGCUCACAUGUACCCAGAUCACCUUGUGCAUUUCCAUGCAGAGACUGUGAUUAGAUUUCUAUCUUGCAAACACAAAGACAGUGUUCUUCCAUCAUCUGUCUCUGAAAUGCCAAACCCGCUGUUGCUCACAUGCUCUAUGGUCGAAAACUGGCCCUUAAUCUUCAGCAGCAGCUUUGCUUGGCUCACCGACCUCGAACUCAGCUUCAUUCCUUGGAACCCAGUGCUCUCCAUCCUCCCCUUCCACGCACUUGUCUUCUCACAGUUGCAGGUUAUGGCGCUUUUGAUCUCUCUCCCAAGAUGGUUCUUCUCGAUGCUCAGCCUCCCCAGGCUGUCUGCUGGGAGACAGUCAUGCAACGAGCGAAACAUGGCUGCAAAGUAGUUCAAGGACGACUCCACAAACCUCGCUGAGUAGCCUGCGGGGCGUUGGCUAAUUUCUUUCUCUGCUAAGACUACGACGGAGGGAUUCAAGGAGUGGAUGGACAUCAAUGUCGCGAGCAUCUCAGACGAGCUCUUCAUGGUCUGCAGAUAGAAGACCAAGUUCACGGCAAGGGUUGCGUUCUUCUCGAUCUUAAGGUCACUGGUUGUCGAGCCUCGCAAAAGCCCAUUGUACACGAACUCCAGAUUGCUGCAGCUCUUCGAGAAACCGACAAGCCUCGUUUCAGUGUUCUUGAGCUCCUCCGUGCUUCUGCCAAACCCUGUCAAGUGCAGAGAUAUUGGCUUACUCGUUGUAGCCUUGUCACAAAGGGAUUGGAUCAGAGAGGGCCACUGGAACCCGUAGGAGACGUCAAAAUCGAUCACAUAUAGUCUUCUGCCGUUUUGCUUCUCUUCCGCCUCGAAGGCUUCCACUAUAGUCUGGUUGGCGGUGAAAUGCGCGAACUGGUAGCACGGAGAAGCCCGGUAGAGCUCGGUGAAGCCCGUGAACUCCUCCUCCGGUGUCGGAUGCGCCAUGAUUGAUCGGUAGAAGGGGGAGCUAUCUGUCAGAAUCCUGGCAGCCAAGCCGUCGGCGAAGUAGGCCAUGACUCGUUGCAUCGGAUGGCCAUGCAGAGAAGCAUGCUGGUACAGGUCGACUAAGGCGUCGAUCGCUGCGUCUGCAUGAUCGGCGUCGAUCGCUGAGGCGGCGAGCAGAAGCAAACGACGCAGUUGUUCGUCCGUCGCGUCUUCCUGCCCGCUUCGCUUGGGGUCUUCUCUCAGCAUACGCUCUUUCGCUUGAAGCAGCACCAAGAACUUCCCAUCAUCUGCAUCUUUCGCCUUCACAUGGCAUGCACCGAAACCGUCCCUCGCCUUCCUCUUCUUGAUAGCAUGAGAACGCCAAGCGCGGACGUUGUCGUCUCCUUCCAUUCUCUGAAGUCGACGAAACUUGGGAGACAUGAGGAGGGGGAAAGGAGAGGAGGUAUCUUCUCCUCAGGUCAUUUCUCUUUUCUCAGUUUCUGGAAUUCUCGCGUCUUGGAUUCCCAGGUUGAGACGGUGGGCUGCUUUAUUCUCUUUGGUUGGCACCGCCUCUCCCCUUCUCUUUUCUCACUCGAUCUGGUCUCAGUGCGUGCCUGACGGUGGCGACAAGGAGCGAGACAGGGAAGUGGUUGGAAGAUUGGAAUGGUUCAAAAGAUGCCAUGAGGCAGUCGGCAAGGAACAGAGUGAGGCGGACGCAGGAGGGCGGAAUCAUCACUUGGUUUGACACGGCUUGUCCUCUUGUCCCGUUUCCCAGAAGCGAUCUCGUGUUCAUUCCCUUCCUUUUGUUCCAGCAUGACGCUAUCAGAGGAAGAAAUGUUACUGCCCAGGCUCUUUUCCCACAUGCGGAUCGGAUCCGGAACACAGGAUCCGAUUUCUUUAUCCAUCCCGCCGAUGUCGUGCUAUAGUGUGACGAAGGUCCCUCGCUAACCGUCCAUCGCUUUUUUUUCAAAUCUGAACCGUCCAUUAUUUCGAGUAAAAAAUAAAUACAAAACGUUGAUUUUGUCAUCAGAUAGGUGGACGGUUGAGAUUAUGGUACAAGAUGAGAUCAGACGGCUUUCUGCGGUUGCGAUAUAUAUCACAGCGUUUGCGUUCGUAUGUGAGGAGGGCGAGAGAGAGGGCGCGGCGGCUCUGGAAGCGGCGGAUGGAUCUGUGAGGAGAUGAGAAACCAAGCGAAUUCUGAUAUCCGUGAUGCAUUCCACGAUAGUUUUCAAUCUGAGAUCCGCAAUCCGUUGCUCGAGCUGUGCGCCCUCCUCUCCUCUCUUCGGCCUGGUGAUGGAACUUUUGAGUAUUCUCUCUGAAGGCCGCUCCUUGUUCGCCUAUUUCUCUCCUAUGAGUUGUCGAGCUCCGGUCAUGUUUCUGAUGCCUGGAAACCCUAGUUUUUUCUUCUAUUGUUAUAUCUCGUUUUCUCGUAUCUUGCUUAUUGCUCUUUUUUUGUGGUUCGAACUAGAGAUUGCAUUAUGUUGGAGAUUAAUUUGAACCUUCUUUUGGUCUUUGUUGUCUGAAAAAACUAGUUAGUUACUUGCAGAGUCUAGAAGUGACUCCGAGAUUGUAAUCGGUCGUCACUACCCCAAAUUUUGUGUUAUUUCUUGGAUUUUUCCCCAUUUUGUACGGUUCUCUUCUUAUUGUUGGAUUUAAAGUUCUAUUUGUUUGUAUUAUUCUUAAUGUUUCAGAGUUUUGGUGGCUUUAUACGUCCUCUUUUCACAGCUAUACGAUAUGUAGAUUCUAUUCUUAAUGUUUGAAAGUGUUGUUGGCUUUGAUUUUGAUACUCUGUGCUUUCUUUUGGGUUUAAAAGUCCAAGUUUUUUACUGAGAUUUAAAUGAGAAAUCAAAGUUCGUGAAACAAUAAAUGGAUUUUUGCUAGACAUCAUGGAAAAAGCUGCUGUACAGAUUCAUUUUUUCUUGCUUUACUUUCCAUGAAGUGCCUAACAAAUGGUGGAAGUAUCUUCAGAUGUCCCUAUAUGAGACUUAGUGAAACACAAGUGGAUAUGGAAUACUUUUGUAGGGAGCUGCAAAUUUGACUUGGGUCUUUGCAUGCCUUGUGAUUUGGAAAGUUAUGGCAUAUGCUGUUUCUGCUACUAAUACCACUAGCUACUGCUGUAUUAUUUUGACCAAAACAUGGUUAUCCAACAGUUAAAGAAUUUUUAUGUCUCAAAUAUCUGUUAAUUUUAAUAUAAAUUACUUCUUUGUUUUAAUGUCACCAGAAGACCAUAAUCUGUACAUAUGCUCACUAUUCUAUGUUAAUCCUGUCCUUAAGAAUAUAGAUAUGUCAUUCCUUCUGAUAAAGAAAUCAUUUUUAGUUAUGCUUUCAUAUGUAUUGGGGUCAAACUUUGAAAUGCUGUGCCUAUGAAAUGCGAAGCCCAAGAUUCGGUGAUUUUUAGAAUUGUGAUGCUACUCAGCACUUUUUUUCGGUUAUAUUGAUGCCUCUAUAGCAGACACUUGCUUUCAGUGGCAUAUGGUAGCACCAGCGCCCAUGGACAUGCAAGUUUAUAGCUUUCUAGGUGCCAGAGAUUUUGUGAAUAUGGUCGUGAUGCUUGAAUUUGAGUACCUUCUGGUCAAUGACAUUUAUGUAUGUGGUUCUAUUUGCUUAUGACAUAUCUAGUAUAUAGUUCUAUUUGUGUUGUUUGGCUGAUCUUGCAAAGCUACUUUCAUCCUGUGUGGAAGUGGUAGCAUUUUUAGUUUAUAGUAAUCUCAAGAUCAGUGCAGGUUUUUCAACUUGGCGAAUAUGUUCUUCAUUAGUUCUUAUACUUCCUUUUUGUUUACACUUUUUUUUCUUGUUUAAGAUUUUGUUGAUUUACCAGCAAAAAGCUUGCCCGAGUUCAUUCAUCAACGACUCUUUUAUAUUACUUAACUUUUGAAGUGCCUAGCCUUAAUAUUAGAGAUGCACCCAAUUUAUGAUUCAUACCUUUGAGCAUGAUAUAUAGCUCAUUUAGAUGCUAUUCAACUAAUGCAACAUGGUGAUCAGGUGUGGUGCACCUGUUGAUUUUUCAUGGCUGCAACAUGCUAUGACUUGAGAAAAAGGAAAACUAGGAAUCUAUGUGCUUACAAGUGAAAUGUGAUGCAAAUUGCUAUACAACCUUUCUUUUUUUUCCUCAGUCGCAACUUGAUGCAUAAGACCUUGAGCAAUAGACCUGUAUAACUCAAUUUUAAGAAUGAUAUUUUCAAUUGUAAGAAAUCAUACAUCAAGAAAAUGGUGGGACUUUCAACCAUGGUCCCUCUUGUAACGACAGUGCAGUAGUAGUUGGCUGAAUCCAUUGAGAGUCAAGCCGCCAUCGGAUGUCAGACCAUAUAGAUUGAUUUUGGCAAUAUUUCUCUCUUUUAUAUUUGGUGAUGCUGGAUUGGGCCAUGCAGAUUUCCAAAACAAGGUUUAAAACCUUGAUUUGAAAUGGUUCUGUAAGAUAGAAGUUUGUGUUGUUUGCAUUGCAGAAAAUGCCCCGGCAAUAUCCUCCUGCAUCUCAUUGUGUCUAGUAGGCCUGAUCAUAUGUUUUGAAUAGCUCAUAUUUUAUGGCACUUGAUAUGAUGUCUGUAAUGGAUGGUUAAAUCGAGGAUAACCGGGAAAAGUAUGUCUAAAAGUCAACACUGUGGGGCUGAUCCAGGAAAAGCAAACGAUAAGUUUUGUAUUCUGUUGUAGCUGUGAAAAGUGGAUGCGGCUGAGACCAAUUAGGUUGGCGUUGCUGUGCCGAUUGCAGUCGACAUCAAGAGGGAGUAGCAUCUACCAGAAAUCUUUGUAAUAUCUUAUUCCUAGUGUCAAGUUCUUUUCAUUUCAGCAAGACUGUUGACUUUGGUGGGUACUUUCUACCUGUUCAUUGACUUCAGCUCCUGCUAUGCAGGUCUCUAUUGGGCAAAGAUGGAUUCACAGCGUGCCUUUGUUCCCCUACAUGCAUUACAGGACUACAGGAGAUGAUGAAGACGACUCGAGGCAGGCUGUGCUUCUGCCGAGCCCGCAAGGGGGCACCGUCGCCUCCAUUUCAGAAAUCGUGUUCUUGCUCAACUGUUUCAUUUGUCCUUCCAAUUGGGUAUAUGAUCUGUAAAUGAUGGCUAUCUGUGACCAAGCAGUUGCCAUAAUUGCUCUAAUCAUGGAGCUCAAGACAAUCGCGUCGUGGAAUCCACUUCCAAAUAAUUCGACAAGAGAAUACAUGUUCAUUACCAUUUAUUUUUGUUUUCUAUUAUUUUGUUCAGUAACAUUGUUCGAAUGAUAAAUGAAAUGAUGAAAAGCUAAAGUUGAACGCAUCAAAUCAUCCACAGGGUCCGGAGGAACUCUCAGAUCAAAUUUGGCAGCGGCCAACACCCGACCCAUGAGACAAAUCACCUGUCAUCCCGGUACGAGACAAGCACUCCGCUGCGCCAACCACAAUAAAAGCAGGGAGACCGAGAUGAGAAAAGACAGAGAGAGAGAGAGAGAGAGAGAGGAAUCUCAUCGUCGCGGACGGUGACAACAUGAUAUGAGAGGAGGUGGGGAGGUCAGAGGGGGCACUGUCCCUCCCCACGUGUCUGGCGUCGUACGGGUCUGAUCGGAGAUGUACGCCCGCCUCCCGGUGGCUUUGAUGGGCGCGCAGCAGCGGUGGCGAAGCCUGUACGUAGCAUACGGCGUCCACCUCCGCUUGAUGCACACCACCUGUUCGCUCCGUGACCGCGCAGAAACCGGCACCAAUCGAUGCCCCGUUACUGUGAGUGCACUCUUUAUCAUAUCCACCUCCUCCCUCUUUCAUAAACACACCCCAACCGAUACACAAGACAACGACAGGUUGUCAUUAUAGAUCGCCUAUUGCACCCACCGGCGUUGUGAUUGGACGCAACAUGCGGUCCCACAUGGAGCCCAACCAUGCCUUCGAUCAUAAGCUAUGUAGGUGUUAGUUUUCUUUACAAUCUUAUGUUGACAGUAAUUUGAUCUUUAAAAAAUAUGUAUAUAUAAUUAUUAAAAUCUAGUGAAAGAUUAGCAUCAAUCUCCACACCCAUUAGAAUGCGAAGUGGUUGGUCGUUGGGUGUCAUAACUCAAAAACCAAGUCUCAGCUAUUGAAAUCAGGAUCAUGAUGAGCGUCCAUUCCGGCCUCCUUCAAUCAUAGAGCCAUCGAGAUAAGGUCAAACUUUGUGCACAUUAUUAUUCUAGCAAUCUAAAUCAUGGUCGAUCAUUAGUAUAUUUUCAUACAUCAUACAUCUUUUUCGAGAGUUUGUUGAUCAUUCCAACUGUAUCCAAAUAAUACGAGAUUUGAUUCUUAGGUAUGUUGAAUUUUCUACCUUUUGUUGGAAUUUAUCUUUAAUUUAGAGCAUUUAUGAUAAACUCUAAAGGUUGCAUUCUCCAUCCUUUUUUUUACUUUGUUCAGUAAAUGAAUUAUCUUAGAUGAUUUAAUAUAUAUAUAUAUAAUAAAAGUGACAAAAAUAAGAUUAUUUUGGUAAGAGAAGGCUACAAAAUUGCAGUCCCACUCGAUGGGUUGCUGCGGCGGCUGACCUUUUCCUGAGGAGUUGGAGGUCUCAGUGCCCACACGUUUCCUCAUCAUGAUAACCUGCAGAUCCCCACAUCAGUUCAUAGCUCGUCACUGCUUCUUGGAGUGCAGACAGACGAGGUAACAAGCGUGUCUUCUUCACCUGCUUUUUAGUGUUCUGGCUCGGCUCUCCAUCUUGAAGAGAUUUCAGCUCGAAAUGCUCGAGCAUUUGAGGGUGGCGAUCGGGCACCGCCGCGAGAGGUCGGUGAUCGAUGCAGAAGGAAACGCCAAUGGGCAUUGCAUCGUUAGCCGAACUCACACGGCAAGCCAUUUGCACGGAUCACGAAGAGCAACACGGACUCCGAGGGCCGUGUCCUUAACGGAUGACCAUUUAGGAUUUGGUCGUUCGGGAUUAGUCUUCUUCCCAGCUCGGUCGUCUUGGAGAUGAGGAUGUUUGCCUACUUUUGGACGUGACAGUGAAGGCCCUUCGUUUCUGUGUUGCGUCCAAAGGUGAAGCCGCGGCGACGCACAUCCAAGGCGUCGCAACAGAUGAUGCUUUUAUCCUCCAUUGCAGGAUAAAAGCAGGACUUAGGUAUGAGGAAGAUUCCAAAAGACAGAUUAAUGCAACAGUUUACAAGGGCAGGGAGAAGCACACCAGAAAAGGAUUAUGAGUUCUCGGUCAUCUAAAACCUCCAUCUCUCUCCCUCUCUCUCUCUCUCUCUCUCGCGCGCUCUCUCUGCGCUUAAACAAACAAAGAAUUACUACUGCACAGACGAAUUGGAUCCCUAUACAAAUCUUUGUCCCCCACUCUUGGAAGUAAGGUUCUUGAACUCACAACACUCAAGCAGAACGAAACAAAAACAAAGGGAAGGGGGAAAAUAAUGAUAAGAGAAGUGGCAGUGUUCUUUCGCAAGCUGAAAGAACGCCGUCCACUAAUUUGAAGGAUUCUUUAGCACCCAAAGCUCACCUUGUGCGAGUCAAAAGAGAAGAAGAAGAAGAAGAAGAAGAAGAAGAAGAAGAAGAGGAGGAGGAGGAAAGGAACACUCGCCGUUGCUGGAUUUGAAGCUCCAAUUGGAUUUUUUGUUUCUGCCUUGCAUGCGUGCGUCCAAGGUUGCUCUUUGACAUCCUAUGAACCCUCCUCCUUCUACUACUGUGAACUGGUUUGGUGGUCCUCUCCGCUGGCUGCACCUUGGUGCUGCUGAUGGGUACUGUGGGCUUGGUGAUGGUGGUCCAUUGGCUGGUGGUGUUCGGAAUUCAUGCUCAGGCCACCACCUCUAUUGUAUGCAUUGAGGGCCGCGAGCAUCCCGAGAUUGGUUUCCGACGUUCCCAGUCCGAGAUGCUGAGCCGCCAUGCCGCCCGUGGGCUGCUGCAGCACCAUCGAUCCCAGCGGAAGAGCGCGGCCGCCUUGGAACUCGGCACCGCCCGAUAAGUUUAUUCGCGACAUGAACUGGAGUGGCGCUUGGAUGCUGCUUCCGCCGCUGAUCCCGGGGCGGUACUGCCCGGCCAUGGCCGGGAACGUCCAGAUGGACGGCUCUGAGGGUCCGGUGGCUGCGGCCACCGCGGGCGCCGCUGAACCCGUGGACACUGGAAGCAUCCAGAAAGCUCCCCCAGCUCCGCUGUUCGGAGCAACCGCCCACAUUGCCGCCGCAGGGAGGAUCCCCUGCGGCCUCGUCAGACCUGCGGCUGCGGCAGCUGCAGCUUCUUGCUGCUGUGACCGUUGAUGCAAUUGGAGCCCGCUGCCAGCCCUCAUAGACUUGGAGGCCGACGACGGGGAGGACGGGCCUGCCCCUCCGCUUCCUUCCGGCUGCUCAUCUUUGAAGAGAUCCUCUCUAAAACGUUUCCUCAAAUAGGUGUCGGCAGAGUCGCCACCGCCGCUACUGCCUCCGCCUUGUAACCCUUCUCCAAUCUGAUCGGCGGACAGGAGCUGAUGUUGGUGGGGAUGAGGGUGGAGCUGGUGGAAACCGAGCAUUGCGGCAGCGUGGGACAUGCCGGGGUCGGUCACCUGCUCGAAGUCGGGGCGGUGGUGGGCGAGGGCAAGCGCGUGGAAGGAGAGCGGGGCGGACUUGGAGGGCGGGGCAGAGAGGGAGGAGCCGCUGCUCCUCAGCGAGAUGUUGAGUGUGGAGAAGUUGGCCGGGAUGGUGCCGGUACCGGUGGUAGCGAUGAUGGCGGGUUCCGCCUGCUGCAACAGCCACUCGAUGGUCUCGCCGUCCGUCUUGUGCCCGAGCUCCCGCGUCAGCUGGAACACACGCGCCGCACAGAUGGCCGGCAUGCGGAUCCGACGCCCGCGGCCGUCGACCUUGGUGUGGCGAUCUUUGGAGGAGCGUUUGGCUGGGGCGCCGCCGCCGGCGAGCUUCUUGGACGUGUCGGCGGCGGCAGAGGAAGAUGAGGGGCCAACGGCGCCGGGGGAAAGGGAGGGAUCGGGCUUGGCGGUGGAGAUGGCGAGGGAGGCGUCGACGACGCCGUGGUGGACGAUGGAGCCCAUGAAGGGGGCUACUGAGCUGGGGCCCGCUCUGUUCUUUAACGGGACCAGCUCGAGCGACGACGGGAUGCUGCUGUUUCCUUGCUGCUUCUGCUGCUGGUGGUGAUGGUGGCCAAAGUGGUGCUGUGGCUGGUGGUGUUCCGAAGUGCUUCUGCUGCUGCUGGUGCCACUGCUGCUGUUGCUAUUUGCCCGAACUCUUCCCCCUCUCCCUCCUCCUCCUCCUCCUCCUCCUGUUCCUGCACCACCACCUCCCUGUCCUCCAUGCCUACUAAGCUCGCUUUGUUCCAUGCUUUACUGUUUUCCAAUCUAUCCCUAAGAUCAACACCAAUUGCUUGCUUUUCUUUCUUUUCCUUUUCCUCUCCAACUGUGUAUAUAUAUUUAUCUUGACGGCAGCUCCAGUUCUUAUAUUUUUGGAUGGAGAAAAAAGUCGAGAAGAAAUAUUAAGGGGGGAGGGGAGGGUAGAGAGAGAGAGAGAGAGCGAUAUAACCUAGUUAGGGUUUGAGGAGGCAAACACGUGCAGGGGGCCGCUCCAUACUUGGCUGGAGACUGGCGUGGGGCUCUCCUGCUGAUUGACUGUUGUCUCUGUGCGCGCGUUGGUGCGGGCGAGAAUGAAAGGAAGGAAAGAAAGAGAGAGGAGGUGGGGAAGGAAGACGCUACCUGAGGUUGUUUAACCGCACAGAUAAGAAAAUGAUGCAACAAAAGAGUGAGAGCGAGCGGCAAACAAUAAGAUACGUCACCGAGAAAGAAAGGUGGGAGAGAAGGGGGAAGGCGAGAGAGGCGCGUAGGUUUAGAUCCUAAAACCCUAACUCCCUCAGCUUUUCUCCUUCCUCCUCUUUUCUUGCAUCGCUUUUCCCCACUGUUUCCUCUCCCCCUCUCUCUCUCUCUCUCUCUCUCUCUCUUUCUCUUUCUCUCUUAUGAUUCCUCUCUCUCUCUCUCUCUCUCUCUCUCUCUCUCUCUCACCUACACACGCUAUAACUGCAGCUUGCUCUCUCUCCUUGACACUGCUUGGGGGAGGGGGGGCCGCCUGAGAAAGAAGCAGUAGCCCGCUCGUGGGGCCUCGGAGAGAAUGAUGAAUAUAGACUUCUGAGUUAGAAAGAUGCAGUUAGGAACUUAACCAUCCUUCUCUUUCCAUGUCUCUCUAACUCCAUCUCCUCCAUUCCACCCGCCGGACGCUGCUAGUCUCCGCUUCGUUCGAUGAUUAGGAGCUUAAGCACCCUCUUUGCCGUGGUUUCCAUUAUUAUUACUGCGCCCAGGUAAUAUGAGGAGGAGGAGCAGCAGCAGCAGCAGUAGCAGCAGCAGCAGCAGCAGCAGACAUUGCAGGUGCGCGUCAGAUAAAGCAUCUAAUGCUGAUGACAGCUCAUCCCAACAUAAACAUCUCUUCUUUUAAAGAAAUUUCCUUUCCAAAAGAUAAAACCUUUGCACACUGUCCUCCAGUUAAAUGAGGCAGACUAAUACUCUUGUGAGAUACUCCCAACACCAGCAGUAGAAUACUCAUCUGCCAGUCAACUCCAGGUUGCCCCACUUCCCUCCUCGCACAACACAGCAAGCACACCCCUUUAUCCCCCUUCUUAUAUUAAACGUCACAGGGCGUUCCAUUACUUAACUCCUCCCACCUUUAUUCAUCCCCGCCACCCCCUCUUCUCGGUGCCUUCGGUGCACCAACCCGCGGAGAAGUGUAAGAGGAUGGCGUGAUCCGAUGCGUCUCUUUCUUGCCCUCCUUUUAAUAAGGCUUUUUUUUUUCUGUGGGUGCUGAUUAAAGGUGAGGUCGGUGCUCAUUUGUUUUCUCUCAAAGGCUGAAGCUGAAGCUGAAGCCAAGCUUUUGUUGACUCCACCGGUGGCAAUGUCAAACCUUAUCAUCUGCCCAUCUUCAAAUCAUCUCCCCCCCCCCCCCUGUUUUCCUCCACGGUUGGCCUCUCUGCCUGCACACGCGACUCACCUGACCCACGUGCGCUCGGUGUCUUCUCCCAGUCCCCCCCUCCUCCCUCCCUCCGUGUUCUGUCAAGUUGCAGCGCAAGUUGCAGGAAUCGCAGGCGAGACAAAGGAGGAGGAGGAGGAAGAAGAGGUGUGAAUUCAAAAUAAGCAAAGGUGGGGGUGUAUUAUAUGGAGCCCUGAACACCAGAGACAACAGAAUCACUGUUCCUGCAUCACGCCACCAUUGUUGGCUUCUCCGGAUAUGGGAUUCCUGAUGAUGACACCAUCCCAUCCCACUCACAUCACAAAAAUAAUCCACGCAAACGAUGCUGGGUUACUGCUCAUCCAUGGAUAUCAUAAUCAACCGAGUGAAUCAUUUCUCCCUGGUGUGCAUUUGAAGAAGGCCAACCUGUCUGCAUCCAUCUUUGUGUCAAUAUUAUACGAAAAGCAGAGCAAAGAAAUCAGCUUUCAGCCGGUUUUGGGGCUCUACACCCACAAAGCGAACCGAAACCGGCGCCAGGGGCUUUCCUAUUGAGGGAGAUGGGUAAAAGGAACAAGUACUGCAGCGAGGUGUCUGGUUUUAGCUUCUUCGCCUUGGCCUGCGCGUGUUGUGCGUGCGCGGGGGGUGGAGCUUCAGGAGUUACUGCGGUAAAAGGAGACGCGAGGAGGAAGACGACGGUGGUAAUUGAUCAAUUAUUGUGGGGGACACAGCAAAGUAAAAGUGCAGUAACCGGAUGCCGUAGAACUGCACCCUCUCCUUUCCAUUUCACCGUCCUCUGCUUCUGCUGCUGCUGCUGCUGCAUGACGCGGAUGCCUCGUACGGGCUUGAAAUAAACCAAAAGGAAUUGAAAGUGUUUCCUCCUCCUUCUUCUUCUUCGUCUGGAUUUGAGAUGUGAGCUUAGAGGAUUUGAAAGCAGAAAUCCUCCACCAGGGGUGACCCAAAAACAAAAAAGUCUCAUGAAUGGAGGUAGAUUCCCUCUCGAUCCACACUUGAACUGUCAUGUGCUCUUCCCAAUGACUGUCCUCCCUCCCUAACUGCAGUCACAAAGUACUUCCCAUCUCUAAGCCAAAAAAGAAAAAAAAAAAGAGAGCUCACAGCAACAUCGGUAGUGGUUUUUGUCAUUGAGAUUAGGAAAAGUACAAACCAUGUCGAUUGAGAUCCUUAGUAAUGGAUUGGUUUGUAGCCUUGCGCUUGUCUUCUUCCCCCUCCUCACAGCUCAUGUCUCACGAACUCCUCUCUCUCUCUCUCUCUAUUUCCUUCUUCCUGGACAAUGAUUCUUUCUCCUGUCCUUGGAGAGCAUACAAACUGUCAAGAACAAGCUCAUUAACCAUGUGGGCCAAUCAUGGGUUUGCAGAUCAGCACUGUAGCAUUUUAAAUAUCAGAAUGUGGAGGAGCCAAAUCUGUCACGCACACAUAUUAAAUUGCGUGGAUACAGGUGGACAGUAAUGAGGUGGGUCAUCGAGCUGCACCCUCUGCCUGCAUUAUCUACUCAAAACAAUUGCAGCUACGCAGCUUUAUGGGGGAGCUUACUAAAAGCCUUCUUGCCGGUGGCUGCGAUGCAUCAAAUCUCAUCACCCCCUUCACAUGCCUCCCUUCUGCCAUUCCUUUUUUCUUGCUUCUUUCCUCCUCCCUCAUUCAUUGACUAAGCCAUGACUCGGCUUCACCACCAUUCGGUCUUUACUCCUCACCCAACUGUUUUGGCGUAUGACACAGUGGAAGGAAGAGAACCAAAAGGCCAAGAAAUAAUAUGAAGCAGGAGAUCAAUGUGGAAGAGGACCUACCUCUUCCCAUCGCAUUCGAUUCCUUUCCAUCGAAAUAUCGGGUGUGAAAGAAAAGAGCCACUGCAGUCAAUUUGAUUUGAGUCGUAGCCUGUCGAUCACAGUUCUUCUAUCGUAUGUCUUCGAAGAUUGACUCGUAGCUGCUGUAAGUUUCGGUGUGUGUCUGGUCUUCCGAGGCUUUCGCAUAUCUCUUCUCCGAAUCCAGAGGACAAACGUCGAACACUUUAUCUACCGAGGAGGCUAUCAAGUCCGGUGAUCUCCUAAAACCAGUAAUUAGUUUCCCCUCGAUAUGAUAAGAAAGCAGGGAAGAACAAUGAUUGAGGAAAGAAGGUGUAGUAGGCAUGAUGACUUUUAGGUGGCAAAGAAAAGGGUGAAGCCAUAUGAUGGGAAGCUGCUCCUUUGGGUGCAUCAUUCAACCAUGCAGAUGGAGGCACUGUUGGCGUUCUUUACAGCACAAAGUGCAGAGGGCAGCAAUGAUGGCCGUGGCCAUGGCCAUCAGCCCCAGUUGCAGGUACAGUGACGAAUGUUGAUGCUGUCAAUUCUCUUGCUCGUUGUCCCUCCUCAACAGAUCUGUGCGCAUACUUAAGCUACACAGAACGCCGAUGCCAAGCUAAGAUGAUGGUCAAAUCUUUGAGCAUGGUGAUAGAUCUUCGGUGGAUUUUUUUUUGUGGGAACAACUUUCUUGAUUAUUUAUUAUGGAUCUUCUGUUCUCGUCUAUAAAUAAACAUGACCUAAAUGAUACAGUUGAGAUAUUAUAAUUUCUUUCUCAAUCUCCCUAAUUCUAGUUUUCCUUACAAAUUAACAAUGAUUAUUUAAUUUAAAGACGAUGCGCAGACAUAACUUUUUUUUCAGAUACAUUGAAAGGUACACAUCGUAAAAAUCGAUCUAAUAUUAUUUGAUUUCAAUUCUAAUAUAUAUUUUUUUUCACAUUAUAUAUAACAUAUCCUAGAUUUUAUACUUAUCUCAAUGAUUGAUUGUACAUCUGAUGAUGAGUCAUGUGAUAUCACACUAUAUGAGAAGACCGAAAAGGGUAUGGAGUGCCGCAAAGCCCUGUUUAAGACACACCCACAGCAUUUUUUGAUGAUCGGCAUGUGUUUUAGUAUCAUUAGUGUUAAAUUUGAUGGUACAUUUGUUGGGUUAAAAAAUUACAUAUUUAAAUUAAUAAAUAUUAAAAAUAAAAAAAUAAAAUCACGUCUCACUUUAUAAGUAGGUUAAAACUUUGAUUGAUUUAUAAGAACUUGAUAUGUGUAUUAUUACUAAUUUGAUCUUAAGUAUUUUUUUUGUUAGUGGUUGAUGUUGAAUGAAGUUAGUGAGUUAAUUCAUCAUGUUAGAUCAUGAUAAAUUGCAUUCUUAAAUGAGGAAGAUUGUGAUACAUCCAUUCAAUAAAUGAAUUAGAGUUAUUUAGGAAUUACUUUGCAAGUGUCCAAAUGUUAUUUUGAUAGGUUAAUGUCCCAAGGGAUAUUCUUUCAUCAAUAUAGUUAUUAUUAUUAUUCCCCAAAAAAAUAUUAAAACAUUAUUUUUUUUCAUAAACAAUUUCAAGUUUCUUCAUUUAAAUUUAUCUAGGAGGCUUUUACUUAUAAAAUGAUGAUAAAAAUAUUCAUAAGGAAUAAAUCAUAAUCAUAUAUAUAUAUAUAUAUAUAUAUAUAUAUAUAAUUAUAAAUAUUAGCUGAGUUAAGUUAUUCUUGAGAGGAUGCAUGUAUCUAUUUAUUUUUCUUUUAUGGUCUAUGACAUGGGUAUUUUAGUAAUUUAAAAUUAUCUAUGAUUUAGGGUUUUUAGUCUCCUCUAUAUAUACAUCCAUCCAUCCUCUUGUCUUAGAACAUUGUGAAAAUGAAAUCGGCUAAUGAAAAUAAAUUAUCGUGGAUAAUGAGAUCGACUAGCAAAAAGAUAAUGAGAUGGAAGGGAAAUUGCCCAAAGAGAGAGAGGUAGGGAUUCCUUUCCUUUACUCUUUGUUAAGUAUUGUAAGUAUUGCUAGAAAUUGUCUUGCUUAACCAUUGUUAUAAUAAUAUGUUUGUAGGAAGGAUUAGUGAUAGAGAAUAAUGAACCCUUUUUAAUCUAAAUCAUCUCGAUGAUUAGCAUGUAGUGUGAGUAUUGUUUGCAUGUAAGACAUAUCUUUCUUUUAAGUCAAUCCUUAGAUUUUGUUUCCUCCUCUCUUCACACACUCCAUAGAUUGGUUAAGUCAAUCCUUAGAUGGCAUAUUGCAAAUAAUAGAAAGAAACGAAAAAGACAGAGACAAAAGCAAAUUUUGAUGUCCUAUUUUCCGAAUUAGGCCUAAGUUGGUCGAGUUUAGUGAGCCCAACUCACUUAAUGUGAACGACCCAAUUGGAUCCACAUAGAUAAGUCUCUAUAUUUAUUUAUUGUGUUUUAGUAGUUUGGUAAUAAUGUAUAAAACAAAAUACGAGAGGACUCGAAUCUCGUCUUUAUCAUUUAUUCUUUUAAAAAAUUAAAAAAUUCUAUCGUAAUUAGAACUCAUAUAAUAUUUUUUUAAAACAAAUUAUAUUAAAUUUAGAAAAAUUGAAAGGGGGUUAUAUGAAGAGCUUACUUACGGCAAAAAAAAAAAAACCGAAAUAUUAUGUUAUAAAACACAAGUUCAUAUGAAUUUAAGAUUUCUAGGAAGAAACAUUCCCAAUGAUUCAACUAUGCUAAAUCACACCAAGGCUUGAAAAGUGGCUCAUAGACUUAAGUUUAUGAUAUAAUAAACAGUAUGUUUUUAGCUAAUUAUAUAUAGAUAAACAUAAGUAUAUCAUUAAUCUGAUAGAUAAUGUACUAUUAUGACUAUGUCUUGUGUCAAUCUUGUAAUCUUAAAUUUAUUAAGUAAAUAAAAUAUAGUGGUAUAAUGCAAUGAAAGAAAUCCGGGAGACAAUGAAUGAUUUAUAACAUAAUAAACCAGAAAACUUGAUAGAGUAAAGAGUAUAAUAUUAUAUGGACAUGUGAAUUUAGAAACAUUUGAUUGUGAAAUAUUGUCAUUUUAAUUAUGUUAGAAAUAAAGGCUUAUUCAAUUGCAUAGGAGUUGUAAGAUAUUUUUUCGCAAAUUUAACAUGGAGUUUUAGUUAUAAUUUUAAGUAUCAAGAAUUGUUCGAAUAUCAUGAUGUGUUAUCCUUAUUUUAAUUAAAUGAUAACAUUAUUUAUAUUUAUAUGAUUUAUAAGUACCUAUUUUAGUUAUGAAUUUGUGUUGUUGUGGUUGAUAUAGAAGUAUAUGAGUAAACAUUAUAUGCAAAAUAUACCAAAAAUGUUGUCUACAAAAUGAGGUUUUUGAUUUUCUCGGGUUUAGAGAUGUGACAUAAAAAAUAUAAUUGAAGUAAAUAUAAACAUACUGCAUAGAGAUAUUAUAAGCAUGUAAGGAAUAAAAAUCAUUUGAUGUUAUUGAAGACUUUAUGGCCUAUGCUCUUAAUCCUUAUUGUUCAUAUUCUGCAAGCAUAUAUAUAUAUUUUUCUUUAAACUCAUCUUAUUCUCUAUUACCUGUUUGUGCUUAUAAAAAUCAUUUUAAGGAUCUUAAAUAAUGAUCGGAUCAGAAGGUUAUUUAAUGUGAAAAUAGCUUUGAUAAAUUUUUUUAUUGUAAUAAAUAUAUAAAAUAUUUUAAAUAUUUUAUUGAGAAAAAAUUUAUAGCUCUAAAAAAAAAAAUAUUGAGUUCGGCUAACCUCACUCCACCGUAGCACACAACAUGGUUACAUAGGUUAAUCUCUCUCUUUCUUGAAAGAUGAGUCUGCGGGCAACGACACCCCCUCUCCUUUAUCGCUCGUGAUCGAUGGUGCAUCUUCUUUCUUUUCUAUAGUCGACAACGAGAGAUAUAAACGAUGACAAUGGGCUCUUGUAUCAUAUUUACGAAUAACUAUUCAGGAGAUGGUCGACGGGGCAAAGUGGUACGGUGACGAUCGAUACGAGAAAAAUAAAUAUUUUAAAAAAUAUAUUAUUUAUAAAAUUUUAAAAUAUGAAUGUUCAAAGGAAAGUUUUAAAAAAUAGAAAUUUUUUUUUGGGAAUUCCCACCAUAAAUUGUUCAGUUUUUAUCCUCUACUAUUGACUUCACGAGAGUUCCCAUUCUCUCUCUCUCUUUCUACCCUUUCGACUCCAAGCCACUUGACACCUUCGUCGAUCUCCUUGGGCUUGAAGAGGAGGAGGGGAAUCGAGGCAAAUGGACAUCUUGAUCGCGCAGAUCCAGGCGGACCUGCGGUCGAGCGACGCGCUGCGCCAGUCGGGGGCGCUUCUGCAGGCGCUGCAGCAGUCGGCGGCGGGGCGGGACGUCUCUGCUGUGGCCCGCUCCACCUGCGAGGAGAUCCUCGCUUCCCCGGCUUCCGCCGUCUCCAAGAAGCUCGCCUUCGACCUCAUCCGAUCCACCCGCCUCACCCCGGACCUCUGGGACACUGUCUGCUCCGCCGUCCGCGCCGACCUCGACUUCCCCGACCCUGACGUCGCCGCCGCCGCCGUCUCCAUCCUUUCUGCCAUUCCCUCCCACCGCCUCCCCCGCCUCGUUGCCGACGCCCACCGCGAGAUCGCCGCCUGCUUCGACUCCCCCAGCGAGACCCUCCGCCUCGCUGCCACUGAGACCCUCGGAUGCGUACUCGCUCGCGACGAUCUCGUCCUCCUCUGCGACACCGCCCCAGGCCUCCUUGACCGCGCCUCCGCCUGGUGGGACCGCAUCGCUGAAGGCACGCUCGACCGCUCCGACGCUGUUUCCUGCGCCGCCUUCGCGGCCGUCGGCCGCCUCUUCCAGGAGUUCGAGACCAAGCGCAUGAGCCGCCUAGCGGGGGACAAGCUCAUCGAUGGCGAGAACUCACUCGCGAUCCGCUCCAAUUGGGUUGUCGCCGCCAUUGACCUCGUCUGGAAAAAGCGCAAUGCCCUCAUGGCCCGCUCCCUCAUCAUCCCUGUUGAAAGCUUCCGUGCCACCGUGUUCCCGCUCGUCUAUGCUGCAAAGGCCGUGGCUUCUGGUUCCCUCGAGGUGUUCCGGAAGCUAUCCAGGUCUGGAGAGAGCAGCAACAACACGGGCACCGCCACCGCGGUGGACUCCUCGAUGAGCGCUGAGAAGCACGUCGGGGUCUCGGACGUGGUCUCCCAUCUCCUGCCGUUCUUGAGCUCUUUGGAUCCACCUUUGAUCUUCGAGGUCGGCAUCAAUAUGCUCUCUCUGGCUGAUGUUCGGGGAGGAAAGCCGGAGUGGGCUUCAGCAUCAAUCAUCGCCAUUCUCACACUCUGGGAUAGGCAGGAGUUCUCUUCCGCUAGAGAAAGCAUUGUGAGAGCUGUCGUCACGAAUCUCCACCUUCUCGAUCUCAGCAUGCAGGUACAUUUCUCAGUCCAUCUUUGUCUACUCGAGAAUGAUUUAUCUAUCUAUGUGUAGAGUCAACAGAAAAAGAUGACUAGAAAGAACUUAAGCUACUAGCAGCAGCAUAAUGCAGGAGGAAGGCGUCACUCAAGCUAGUCUAGCUGUUCUGAUGCCACCACCAGCCUUAUAUUGCAUAUGCAAUCUUUAACAUAUUGCAUAUCAGGGACACGCACCUGACCACAUCCAAGCAUCUGGUUUCUUUUGUCUUGAUCUCUAAUAUGUUACAUGUUGAGGACAUGCACCAAAGCACCUCCAUGUUUGGACUGGAUUAGCCACGUUAUCUUAGCCUUUCAAGAACUAGGAAUGUUCUUUGAUAAAGAAUAGUAGACUAAGGCAUUAGCUGCUCACAUUGAUCAGAGAUAUUCCUUUUUUUUCCUAAUAUUGUAGUUCAAAGGCAAAGUUUACUUUUUGUGAUAGCUCAGAGGGGUAAGCAUAGAUUUUCUUUACUUCGACUGCCUUCUUGUGGUUUUGGAGGGUUAUAUGUUGGACUGAAGUUUCUAUCAUUCCUCCUGAUUUCAGGUUUCUUUAUUUAAGAUGCUGCUUCUGAUGGUGAGAAACUUAAGGGCAGAAUCAGAUCGUAUGCAUGCUCUUGCAUGUAUAUGCCGCACAGCCCUUUGUGUUGAUCUUUUUGCAAAAGAAAGUGUGCGACGAGGACAAAAGCCCCUCCCUGGAACAGACAUUACUUCACUUUUCGAGGAUGCAAGGAUAAAGGAUGAUUUGAACAGUGUAAUGAGUAAAAGCUUGUUCAGAGAGGAAUUAGUUGCUUCACUAGUAGAAAGUUGCUUUCAAUUAUCUCUUCCGUUGCCUGAGCAGAAGAAUUCGGGAACUGAGGGUAGAGUCAUUGGUGCUUUAGCCUAUGGUACUGGUUAUGGUGCACUUAAUUGGACAGAGUCAGCUUUGGAGGUUGUAGAAGUGUGCAGACCAUGUGUUUUAUGGGACUGUGAUGGACGAACUUAUGCCAUAGAUUGUUACCUGAAGUUACUUGUCAGGCUCUGUCACAUUUAUGAUACAAGAGGAGGUGUGAAGAGGAUCAAGGAUGGUGCUUCUCAGGAGCAGAUUCUGAAUGAGACUCGGUUACGCAACUUGCAAUUACAACUUAUCAAAGAUCUUCGUGAGGUUAGUCUUAUCAUUUAUCCCAGUCAAGGAAUCUAAUAUUUCCCAGAUUGGUAUGUACCAAUCGGUAUUUACCAAUCAAUCCAUGGCCUAGACUGUAUAGAUUGGUGUUGGUCAAUAUUUAAUACUUAUUAUUUUUUUGGUGAUACCAUACGGUAUAUGUUGGUGUACUGCCCGGUAUACGGGUACCACACUGGUUCGGCCAGUUACCAAACUGAUAUUAGACCAACACUAUAAAAUAUUAAAGCAUUGUGCAGAUGUGGGAAAUUGCAAAUUUGUAGUAAGUAAGCAUGACCUAUUAGAGAUAAAGUACGUUCAACUUCGAGUAAUUUGCUAUUCUCUUCCUUGCUUCCUCUUCAGGUUUAGUAUUCUUCAUGAUUGCAAUAAAAUCUGUUUUUAUAAAUGCUUCCUUUCUUUUCUCACUCUCAUAUUCAUUUGUGCUUGAAUCCGGUUAAGUUAUUUGUUGCCGCAGGGUGCUUAGGGGAUUAUCUAUUGUAUGUAAUUGUUUGGAUUCUUCUUUUAAUAUUCAUGCGAUAGUCUGACACUAUGGUAUUUGUGAAAAAAGAAAUCUAACAAAGAGUUCUAUCUUCAUAUCAGUUUAUUUGCUUUGUUCAGGAUAAAAAUGUAACAGUUUUUUCAUCCUUAUGCAUUUGAAGUUGUGAAGGUUCCUUUCUUGGUGAAACAACCAAGAUCCUCUUUAGUAAUCUCAUAUGUCCUUAAAACAUCAAUUCUAGUUAAUUAGAAAACAUCACUUGUACAUCAUAGGAUCUCAUGUUUCUCGUUUUUUUAGAUCUAUUUUAUAUCUAUAAACACCUAUGUUUUCCUUGUCUGCCUAUUUAUCAUGUUAAAGUAAGAUUUCAUACUUGAUUUCCUUUACAAGGUGCAUACACCAAGAAUAUCUGCACGCUUAAUUUGGGCCAUUGCUGAACAUUUUGAUAUGGAGGGUCUUGAUCCACUUCUAGCUGAUGACCUGGAAGAUCCGUUAAACAUAAUUAUAUCAAAUAUACACAAUGUGUUGUUCAACACCGAGUCCUCUGCAACUACUGCAAACAGGCUACAAGAUGUGCAAGCUAUCCUUAUUUGUGCACAACGUUUAGGUACACGGAAUCUCAGAGCAGGUCAGCUGUUGAGUAAAGAACUUGAAGAUUUUAGAGGUAGCACCUUAGCUGACUCUGUAAACAAGCAUCAAAGUCGCUAUAUAUUGCAGAUAUUGAAGUACGUUGCCGGUCAUCCAGAAAGCAGGUCAGUCGUGUAUGCAUGUUUUUACAAGUUCCGCAAAUGCCUUUUGUCAGUUAAUUGAGUUCGCUCUCUGUUGAAGUAUCUAUUAGAUAUCAAUUUUAAUAUAUUAGCUGGUUAAAUUAAGAAAUGUGUUUCAGUUGCUGAUAAUAACAUUUAGCAAAAAGCUUAAAAAUGGCCAAGGAACACUUCAGUUUAAGUCCAUUUGUUUAAUUCAUUUAUCCUAUAUGUUUGUGGCUGUUGACUCUAAGAAGUUCUAUUGAUAGGAAAAAAUAACAAUGGCAAUGCAACUGUAACUGCAUUUAGCAGAAGAACAAGGGUUUUUUUGUGAACAAAAUAUGGGGUUUUCUCUGGGGAUAUAGAUGGUUUGUCAAACUGAGAAAGCUAGAGACAUGAUUUGAUAAAUAUGUGCUUAUGGCUUGGGGGAGUGUUUAUGGCACAAGUUAAUUUCGUAUGCAGAAAUUUCACAAAUGUUAAUCCAAUAGUGUUAUAAAGUUGUUAGUUUACUUUACUUUUUAUAUUGUACUAAUAUAAAUCUCAUAUUCGUUAUGUAGCAUAGUUUCUUUGGAACUGCAGUACAAUGAUUAUUUAGUUUUGUUAUAGCUACCAAUAUGCUUCUUAGAUAAUUCAAUUUUCAAUAGUGAAAACUAUAAUUACUUUUAGUUGUAUUUAAUGGACUAGAAUAGCUGGUAAAAAGCAAUAACUUAGUGUCCUGCAGAGGAUAUACUUGUCACGGCCAGAGGUGCAUGAUUGGUUUUGUACCUCAGACCUAAUGCAUGUAGGACUUUGCUACACUUGGAAUUUUGGAGCAUUAAUAUGCUUAUUACGAUGGUUUUAAGGAUCGGUCAAUUACAAUUCAAUUUUGAUCCAGCCUCGGUCCUAAGUUUGAUUUAGUUGAUGAUUAUCCCCUUUCUAAUAAUAUUGCAGUUGAUUUCGCCAGAAUGUUGUUGGAUUGGCUGGUUUGGAUGGAUAUUAUACUAGAGAACCAACCUUGGCAGAGAGUUCUAGGUAGAAGAGGAAAGUAAAUGGGACAAAAGGAGAGGAGAAGACAAGAGGCUGAAGGAGUCCGAAGAAAGGUUGGAGAAAGAAAUACUAAUCUGUUGUUUGCUGGAUGCCGUUAUUGCUUGUCCAGUACAUUAGCAGAUAGUUCUUUAUGUUCAUUGGUCAAUAAUGACAUCAUUGUCAUUUUUAAGUUCUAUGGAGUAAUCUAGACGGUGAGACAAAGUAAAUGAGGAGGGUUGGAAAUUGGGUACAUGGUCAGUACAUGUGGUUGAGUAGUUGCAUGUUCUGAAUGGUGAGGGAGUUACUAUCAGAUCCAACAGCUCUAGGACUCUGAUGACACUAAAUUGCUAUGACGUAGGCCCAGGAUAUACAUUUUUGCAAAACAAUCCUCACCUUUUCAAAAUAGUAGAUUUGGACUUUAACAUGAAACUUUCAUAUGCACUUUAAGAUGAAAUUUGGAUAAGAUAUACACAUAUACGUAUAUAUUCAUAUGUGUAUGUCUGUAUAUAUACACAUUUCAUUUUUUUAAACUUUUGUAUUCUUUUCGUUCUCUUGAGCUGAUUAUCGAUCCUCCAUGCAUACAUAUGUGGCCCAUUAGGUGCAAGUCAUGUUUUGAUCUGUUCAUAUCAUCCAGGCUAUACUGCAUUAAAAGCUACACGGUAGAUUUCUUUUGCCCAAGCUUAUUGUUAUACUUUCCUCUUCUAGAACCCAACUUCUUGGGUCAAAAUGUUUUAUGCUUUGAAGCUUUUAUCUGAGAGGGCACUCAGAUCCAUGAAUCAUAAUUUUGUAGUGUUGCUAGUGCAUAACACGAACAAGAAAUUAAUUAGUAAUUAUCUCUCUAUAUAUGGUAUAUUUCUGUGAAAGGAUUGAUAACACAUUCUUGAAUCUUUCACCUGUGCUGAUGUCAUUCAUACUUCAAUCUUCUAAAUCAACUUUAGUUCUG
rnacentral:lncRNA from 1 species